rnacentral:lncRNA from 1 species
GGACCAGAAAGUUGGUUAGAAUAAAGGUGCAAAACUUUGAGCUUAGUUAAAUCACCUAGAGUAGUUGGAAUUGGGCUAGAAAUAUUGCUACUCCCUGAGGUUAAAAACUCAAGUGACUUCAUCUUCCCUACUUCAACAGGAAUGGAACCAUUUAAAUGGUUGUGAAAGAUGUCGAGAGCAGUAGCGGAUCCAGGAUUUUUGUUCAAGAGGUUCGACAUAUAAAGACAAGCAUAUAUAAAAAGUACGUUAUAAAAACAAAGUGAACACCCGCUAAAUUUUAACUUGCCUUAUCAUGUCCUUUUAACAUUACUUUCAAGUGUUACUUUGUGAGCCUUCAUAAAAAAUGGUGUGUCUUUUAUUUCUUUCACUUUAUAGUUUUAUUUUGUAUUAAUUUUUUUUCUUACAAAUUAAUACCCUCACACACACAAAAAAGGUUUUUGAAAAGUGUAAGCAUUGAAUUAUGCUGAAUAAAAAAGACUGAACAACAUCAAUAUUAAUAUGUUUAAUAAUAAAAUAUAUUUUAAAAGAACGAGCUAUAUAAUUCGAUAAAAUAAUCUAUAAACGUUGACAAAGCAAAAAUUUUGUAUAUUAUGUAAAACUAGUCAAAUUUAUGAAGCUAUUUUGAACAAACGUGACACAACGUAUAAAAAGAAAUAUGCAUCGUAUUUUUUUAUUUUUUUAUUUAUUUACUUAUUUAUUUAUUUGAGGGUGGGAAGGGGGUUGAGAAUUAAUUUGAAAAUUAUAUAAUUUUAGCUAUGACUUUAAACUAGUAUUGAGAGUAUCGAAAAAGAAAAAGUUGAAAUACCAAAAUACUUUGAAAAUAAUAAAUAAAUAAUUUUUUAAAAAAUAUAUAAUAAAUACACAUACAGUAAUUUUUCUGUUAUUAAGGCCCAGUUGCCAACGUGAAACAAGCAAAGCCCAAUUGAGCAUUAAAUAGGAAAAAGAUUGAGAAGUGGAAACGAUUUUAAAGAAUUACUAAAAGAGCUGCAAGUGAGGUUCGAACCCACGAUGUGGAUCUCAAAAUGAACCACCUGUACCACUAAGCUGCACCUUUCUAUUUUAUUAAGUGGGUUCAUUAAAAGCUUUAUAUCCUUGUACUUCAACUUUGACCUUAUAUACAUAAUUGAAUUUUUUGGUUGAGCGGGUUGAACCCCCUCACCCCAACGUAGAUCCGCCCCUGGUCGAGAGUCUCAAGUUUGGUUAGUGAGCAAGUUAAGAUGGACAAGAUUAGUGAGCUUUCCUAGUUCAGAUGGAAUGGGGCCGAAGAGUUGGUUCAUUCUAAGCUCAACAUAUUCAAGAAAAGGGAGAGAUGAAAAUGAAAAAUCAUAGUGUACCAGUAACACCAACAUUUGUAAUAUUCCACCUGUUUAUCCGACCAUUAAAGCAUAUAAUUCCGUUCCAAUCCCUGCAUGCAUCAGUACUAAGGGUCCAAGAAGCCAAUAACAAAUUAUUCUGGUUGCGGAAAGUUGCUUUCCAUUUGAGAAGAGCAGUUGCUUCCUCAGUGGAAGCAAAAGAAACAGUGAAAAGAUAUAAGAGAGUGGAAUACUGAAGGAAAAAAAAUAUUGUUGGAACCAUCAUCACGGCUAAAAGAUUUCAGUUGAUUGUUUUGGUUAUUUAUGAACUUGUGCAGGACACAGUUGUAUAAUGUGUGUAGAAUCACUGCAAGACUUGUGACUCAAUUGUAAUGUACUUCUCAGCUUGUAAAAUACGAUUAAUAUUAGAACUAUUUGUAAGUCAAUGAGCCAAUGUCUAUAUCAACAAAUUGAAAGGGUGUCUCAAUUGUGGCCUAAACUUAACGUUGUGAAAAUAUUCUCCAGAAAAUAUUCAAAAGUCAUUUCGUAAUUGACGAGCUAAUGGACAUGCAAUAGGAACAAAUUGCACGACUUAGUGAGUGUAAGUUUGUAAGUCGUGCAUAACAUAACUCGUAGUAUAUUAUGAUAGAAAAUAUGAGUUUAUGCCUUCACAAAAAAAUUGUUGACUAUUAGGGAUAAAAAUUAAAGAUCAACAUGAAGAAUAUAAUUACAUAGUUGUACUUCGUUUUCAUGGGCCUUUGUUUUUUUUUUUUUUUUUUUUUUUUUUUUUUUGCAAUUUUUGCUUAGAUGGCCUAGAAGAAAUGUCUCACACACGCUUCCCGUUUCCUCCCCCCUCCCCCCCCAUCCCUUCCUUUUUAUUUUUGUUUUAUUGGUUCUUUAUUGAUUUCUUUUCUUUCCAUUUAAUCUCCUGAUCAAAAUUUACACUUAACACCCAAUUAACUUAAUCAUAAUUUAAGUGGAGCUUUGACUUAACUUAUCAAAAGUUUUCACAAUUUUUAAUUUAAAAACUUUUUUAUCACCUUACACUCAAUUUUCUCUUCUUUCUUGUUCUUUUUCUUGGUGCCUUACCAUAUGUUAUGUAUUUUACCAAAAAUUACAAUUUUAUCAAUUACUCCCAUUUUCCCCCUCUAUAACUUUUACCAACUGCAAAAUUUGAUAUUUUUAUUGUAUUUUGAAAAAACGUGGAGUUGUGAAGAUUUGUGAUCAAUAUUAUUUAACUCUCAGCUUGUAAAAUACGAGUAGAAUUACAAUGUGUACAAUGAAGACUUGGAAGUCAAUUUCACUGUAUCACUGUCCAUGGAAGUAUAUACCGACGUGUAGUCUCAAUAGUGGCGUAAGCUUAACGUUGUGGAAAUACAUUGGCAGAUUUUCUCAAAAACAUAUUCAAUAGUUAUUUCGUAAUUUACAAGCUGCUGAACAUGCAAUAGGAAGAAAUUUUAGGACUUACCCUUCAAAUAGGCCAAUCUUUAAAUUUUGUCCUUUGACAAUCGAAUUAAUGAUUAGUGAGCAUAAGUUGUUAAGUCAUGGAAGGCUGAUCCAAAAAUAUAGACUUAUGCCACUCGACAAAAUUAUUUGUCAUGAAUUAACAAAUUAAAGACCAACACAAUAUCUAUAUCUAUAAUUCAUAAUCUAUAAUCUAUAAUCUAUAUCUGUCUGUAAUGUACUCCCUCCAUCCCAAAUUUUCUAAUUUGAUUUCUCAUUUUACUUGUCUUUUUUCAUUAAUCAAGAAGAGACAAUUUUUUUUCCAUGUUUUACCUUUGCAUUAAUUACUUUUUCUUCACAUUAAAAUGUAAACAUCAUUUAAUAGGGGUACUAUGGCAAACUAGCCAUGUUAUUGAUAAUUUUUCUUAAUCAAUGUGUCAUCUCAAUUUGGGACGGGUAAUUUGACACGAAGGGAGUAUAAUGUAUAAUCUAUAAUCUAUGAGGGAGUACAAUGUAUAAUCUAUAAUAUAUAAUUUAUAUCUAUAAUCUAUAAUCCAUAAUAUAUAUCUAUAUCUAUAUCUAUAAAUUAUAUCUAUAAUCUAUAAUAUAUUAAAAGAGUGAAGGGCCUUAGAAAUAUUCUUUCAACUUUUUAAACUUCAUUACAAGUCAUUACUUUAGAUCAAAUCGUAUUUUCACUAUUUUUUCUAAUAUUUAGGAGUUGAAAAUUAAUUGAAUAUAUAUUUAUGAUAAAAUAUGUCCUUAUUAUAAGUCAUCAUAAUUAAUGGCAACUAAUAGUUUUUCUACUAGUUUUAGAAUUCUAAAUCAUUGAUUUUAAGAAGAUCUAAAAAAUCUAGAGAUAAAUAUAAAAGUGUUAGAAUAAGAAAACUUUGAGAAGUACCAAAUUUUAAAAUUUUUUAAGUAAGUAAUAAGAAUAAUCAAAGAUUUUGCAAAAAUUUUGACUUUAAAAAUAAGAAAAUAGUAUUUACACUAAAAUAUAUGUUUACGUUUAUAUUAUAUAUUAAAGUGUUAAGGAUCUUUGAAAUUGAGUUGAACUUUUUACACUUCAUUAAAAAUCUCGGCAAUAAAUAAAUUAUUUAUUUUUAAAUAGUCAAAUGUUAUACGUGCAAGAGACGUGUGAUUAAACCAGUUAUAUUAAAAGUGUGAAGGGCCUUAAAAGUGUUAUCUGGACUUUUUGACCUUCAUUAAAAGACUCAACAAUAGAAAAAUCGUCUUUUCACCCUUUUUUUCUCCAAUUAUUAUUUAAUAAUUCUUUAUACAAUUGACUAGAUUCCUAAAAUAUAUAAAAAACAGAAAAGAGAUUAAAAUGCCCUUCCCAUUUGCUUAUUAGGCCUAAAAUGCCCUUCUCACCUACCUAUUGGACCUAAAAUGCCCUUUCCGUCUACCUAUUGAGCCUAUUUUGUCCUUUUAUUUAGGCAAAUUAUAUGAAAAGGUCAUCCUUAAAACUUAAUUACAUAAAUAAUAGUACUUUUUCAAUAUUAUAAAAAUAUAUAUUUUUUACAUAUAUAGCCACUUAAGAAAUCAGAAAAAAAUAAUUAUAAUUUCUAAUUUAAUGGUAUAACUAAUUAUCAAUUCACCUUAAUUUAAGAGAUAUAUUUUCAAUCUUCAAAUUAACAGUAGAAAAGAUAAUCACUUCUUUCAAAAUUUUCUCUCUCUUAUAUUCAAAAUUCAAAUAUUUUUAAAUAAACUAAGUAUUCCAUUAUUUGCUUGUGUAUGUUUCGUUUUGUUUUCGUGUAUGUUAAUCAUCUAGUAUUAUUUUAUUAUCGUGUAUUUUUAAUUCUAAUAUAAUGGGUUAACCAUAAUUUUUUAUGGAUAAAUAUUUAUGGAAUAAAUAUCAUCAUGUUGGAAGUACAGAUAUACCAUGUAUUUGUGUUGUAUAAAUACAAUUUAUGUCAAUGUCAAAUGGGACUUUGGGCUGUAGGUGACAAAAGAGUUUUAAAAUAAGGUGGAGGUGACAAUUUGAAAAUAACCCACAAGUUUUUAAAUUUAUACUUUGAUCCAAAUGUUAGUAAAUAUAACAGGAAAUGGAGGGGAAAAAGACGUGUUUCUCUCUCUUCUCAUCCGUUGUUGUUUUCUUUCUUAUCACGAUUAUUAUUGUUCAUUGUUGCUGCUGCAUUAUUCAUCAUCUUCUGCUUUAUUAUCAUCAUCUUCAUCUUCUUCUUGUCGACCAUUGUUGUUGUUGUUGUUAACGCUACUGUUGCUAUCUGACCAAUUUCUUAGGUCAAAUUUUGUUUCCUACAUCACUUUCCACUUUGGCAUUACUUCAUAGGUGACUUUGGUAAGUAAAAUUAUGAUUUUUCUUCGAAUUUGUCAUCUGGGUACACAGUCCUGCUGUUUUUCCAACAAUGGAUAUAACCCGAUCAUAGUCCAAUAUAAGUGCCCACAAUUUAAACAGAUCACUCAUCUGAUGUAUCAGAUGAUUAAUCUAUUGCAACAAAAGAUUUAUCUGUUGCAACAGACUAGUUAUCUGUUACAUCAGAUCAAUUAUCUAUUGCAUCAGACUGAUUAUCUAUUGCAUCAGGCUAAUUAUCUAUUGCAUCAGAUUACUUAUCUGUUGCAACAGAUGAUUAAUAUGUUUGGAACAACACAAAUCAAUCCCUGCCACAAACUCAACAGAAAACCAAUGUAUUUCAACUCUUGUUAUUGCUACUGGAUUCAAAAUUAUACCUUACGUCCAAUUGUCGACAUGCUUGUUGAGAAAAUAAUAGACAGAAUGAAAACUAAAUAUCCUCCCAUCUCAAAUAACUCGUCCUUAUCUAUUGCGACAAAUGAUUAAUCUGUUUGGAACAACACCAAUCAGCCCCUGCCACAAACUCAACAGAUAACCAAUAUGUUUCAACUCUUUCUAUUGCUACUGGAUUCAAAAUUAUUCCUUUUGUCCAAUUGUCGACAUGUUUGUUGAGAAUAUAAUAGACAGACCAAAAGUUAAAUACUCCCUCCGUCUUAAAUUAUCUAUCCCAAAUUUCCUAACUUAAUUUCUCAUUUUACUUAUCUUUUUUCAUUAAUCAAGAAGAGAUAAAAGAAAAUUCCAUGUUUUACUCUUGGCAUUAAUCACUUUUCUUCAAAUUAAAAUGUAAACAUCAUUUAUAGGGGUAUUAUGGUAAACUAGGCAUGCUAUUAAUUAUUUUUCUUAAUCAAUGUGUCAUCUCAAUUUGGGCCGGGUUAAUUUGAGACGGAAAGAGUAUGAAUUAAAACAUCAAAGCCGUAUAAAAGACUAGUUGUCUAUUGAAAUAGACUAGUUAUCUGUUGAAACAGACUAGUUAUCUAUUGAAACAGACUACGUAUCUGUUGCAACAUAUGAGUAAUAUGUUUGGAACAACACAAAUCAGCCCUUGCCACAAACUCAAUAGAUAAAUCUUAAAUUUUGCUAUUGAUAAUGGAUUCAAAAUUAUUCCUUACGUUCAAUCGUCGACAUGUUUGUUGAGUAGAUAAUAGACAGAAUGAAAAUUAAAUAUGAAUUAAAACGUCAAAGUUGAUCAAACAUAAUUUUUUAUUAAACUAAAACAAAUAAAAAUACAUAUACAUAGACUUAAAAAGAAAGAAACAAAAUAAUCUAAUUAUUAUUAUUAUUAGCAUCUUUAUUAUUAUUAUUAUUAUUAUUAUUAUUAUUAUUAUUAUUAUUAUUAUUAUUAUUAUUAUUAUUUUCAGUCGGCCAAUCUUCGAUCGACCGAAGUAGCGCCCUCCUCAUCCUGCGGAUCUCUUGCAACAUCCUUACUCUGAGUGGCCAACUCCCAUUGUAUAUCAUGAACCUGCCUCUGCAGUUUCCUACGGUGUCUCAUAAAAUAGUGACAUCCCACACUGGAUCAACCAUAUCUAGAAUAUGCAUAAAUUGACAAAAAAUGUAUAAACAGAAGUAAAGAAAAGAAUUCAAAAGUAAAGUAAUACAAUGUAUAUUUACACAAAAAGCAAUAAAAAAACUUACCAUAGAUGGAAAAGCUGUCAAGUCCUUGAAGAGAAAGUAGUUGAAGGUGUAAUAUGAAAGACAAGAGCAAAAAAUAAAUAGAUAUGUGUAGUAGAAUGAACAAGUAAGGAGGGACCUAUUUAUGGAGGAUUGAAUUUAAACGAAUUAGACAAAAAGACACGACUAUUCACCUUUAUUUAUUAAUACUGGUGCCAUUUUUAUUGAGUUGUGGCAACAGAUUAUGUGUCUGUUGCAUCAGAUAACCCAUCUGUGACAGCAAAUAUACCGUUUAUUGCAACAAAUCUACAAUCUGUUGCAUCAGAUAAUAUAUCUAUUGCAACAUAUAUCUUUUUAAUAAUCAUCAUAUCAUUAUCUUUAAUCCAAAUUUGGUGUCUUUUUUAUUAUAUAAAUUAAAAAAACAGAUUCAAAAAUAAAAAGCGCAAUUGUUCACCUCCAUUUAUUAAUUACAUUCAAACUGGUGACUUUUUGAUUACUGUGGAAAGUUAUGACUUGAUAAGUUCUUUUCAAUAAUUGUUUUUAUUGAGUUGUGGCUACAGAUUAUAUAUCUAUUGCAUCAGAUAACCCAUCUGUGACAACAGAUUAUCAUUUGUUGCGACAAAUUGACAAUCUGUUGCAUCAAAUAAUAUAUCUGUUGCACAUAUAAGCUAUAUUUUUUAAUAAUCAACAUAUCUUUUUAAUACAAAUUUGGUGACUUCAUUAUUAUAUAAAUUAAAAAAAAAAUUAAAAAUAAAUAUGUCAAAGAGACGAUCAAUUAUUAAAUUCUAUUAUGGUUAUAAAUUGUGUUUAUCAUUUAUUUACUUAAUAUUUAUUUACGAACUAUUUUCAUAUUAAAUAAUCGAAAAGUCAUGACUUUUCACCCUCUCAAUAACAAUAACUCUUUUUUAUCAAUAACCGUCUAUUGUAACAUAUGAUCGAUCUGUCACAUCAGAUUAACCUUGGUCGACAGAUUGAGAAUAAGGAAUAAAUAGAAUGAUAAUUAAAUACUAAAUAAGAAUUAAAAAUUCAAAGUCGACCACCAUGUCCAAACAUAGAUUUUUGAAUCCCUUGGAUAGAUCCGAUAUACAAAAAGAGGAAAAUACACACGUACAUACGCUAAAAGAAAACCCAUAACCAUAACCAUAACCUAAUUAUUAUUACAACUAUUAUUAUUAUCAUUAAUAUUAUUAUUAUUACUAUUAUUUUUGUCAAUCAGACAAUUUUCAUUCGACAACAACAGGACCCUCCUCAGCCUUGCUCCAAAGUCGGCCAAAUUCCUCUGGAAUUCAUCAAACUGCCUUUGAAGUUACUACAAGGACUCAUUAUGAAUCUUCUUGUAUGAAACUGAAUCAACCAUAUUUAUAUUUUAAGUGUAGUAGAAUGAACGAGUGAGAGUGAGUAAGGAGGCCGGAGGAAACUAUUUAUAAAUGAUUGAAUUGGAAGGGGUUAGUCAAACAAAAAGCUACGACUGUUCAUAUCCCUUAAUUAAAUAAAACUGGUGACUUUUCGAAUAUGUAAAUUAAAAAAAAAUGGAUCUAAAUACAACAUUUAAUCUUUUAUUUAGUUCAUAAAGAAAAGAAAAUUGCUUUAAAAUAAAUCUAACGGAUGUGUAAUCUGUUGUAAAAUAUAUUUCAUUUGUCAGAUAACUUACAACAUAUUGACAAUCUGUUACAACUGAUGGAUAUAUCUGCAAUUGUUCCACAAUUUAAAUAGAUGUGGCAUUUGUUGCAACUUGCUAGUCAUCUGUUUAUUCAAUUUAAGCCAUAGAUGGGCUAGGAAGAAUAAGGUGCGUGCAAAUGAAUCCACUAUCGUAUGUGUGGGAGUUAAGUAAGUAUUACUGAUAAGAUCACUGGGACAACACACACAAAGUAGAAUAUUUUUGUGAAUACAGUUUUAACCGAUUAAGCAAUAAUCAUUUAAACAAGAUCCUACAUUGUACUGUUAAGUUUGAUGGGUUCAAAUUGAUAAGGCUGAGGGCCUCAUGAAGAUGGUGCAAAUACAUUGCUACGAAUUACUGAAGGUUGUUGCUCGUAUUUAUGUGUGUUAAGUUUUGAGAAGGGAUCAAUAUUUCGUGUCAUUGCAGAGAUUCAAUAGCGGUUGGACUUAACUUUAAGUGUGCAUUGGACUCUGAGAAGGCCUUCGAAGCCUUGUACUGCAUCAAACAAGAACGAAAAACUAAUUGAAAUUCCCCUGACCUAAAUUUAUAAGAAAGGGUUGAUCAAGAAGAUAAUUAUACACUAGAAGGAGCCGAAGGAGAAUGCCUGUGAGGUAAAGAAGAGUUAAUGAAGGACUAUAUCAUCUGAGAGCUAAUUGAAGAAGAGACAUAGGGUCUAAAGUAACUUCUAGCGAAUCUGGCCGAUGAAAUUAUCUUAUAACAUGAGAAAUCUGAAUCAAGUGCAAAUAUGAAAGUAUGUCGAGUAAUGUAAAUUUGUUUGUUGUCUCUUUGAAAGAAAAAUAAUGCAAUGGACACUUUGAUAGGAAGCUACGACUAGGUAGAGUUAUUGGGAUUAUCACCUAGAUAGAAAAUAGUAGAAGACCAAGAAAGCAGCCUUACGGGCAUCGAGGGUUGAAAUGAUGUACAGUAAGUCUAGAAAACUUGCGCCAAUAACAACUGCAGUUAAAUUAGGGAAUCUAAGUGAAGGGGGCAAUUUUUGAAUUUUAAAUUGCAUCCCAUGCCUUCUUGUUUGUGGUUCCGAUUAGGUCCACUGCUAUUGACCUGAUUGGAACCACAAAUGAGAUUGAAAGGAAAAUUGAGUAUCAUUACUUGCUUAGCAAUAUGGAUUAAUUGGUAGUGUUUUCUUGCCUUAGCAUGCUUUCAAAAUUUCUUGGAGAAGAUCAAAGGCUUGCUAUAGUAUGUGAAUCCCAAUAAUUUUAAAGCUUGCCUCUAGCUUGCUGAUUUGGUAUUCAAGCUUGUUGUUGCCGUUUUUGAAUUUGUCAUAGAGUUCCCGAUCUUUUGUGAGCUCGAUCAGUAACACCAUCUUCAAAGUUGUGGCAUUCUAGAAGCUCUUCAAAAAACAUUCUUCAGAAGCCUUAAAGGAUACAUGUAGGGCCGAUGUGUAUGUUUUUAGGUCAAAAUGUGUUGAUGCACACUCAAGAUGUGGUCUCAAUCGUUGAACAACUCACUUUUAUCGAGCAUUGCUCAAUGCAUCUUGCUCAACCAACCUUUAAGUAAUUUGAUAAAUUAAUAAGCAAGGAGUUACAUAACAUUUGAUCUAAACUGGCUCUACUAAGCCUAUCAAAUGUUACGUAACUCCAGGCUCAUUACCCUAGUAAAAAACUUUGCCAGAGUUAGUGUAAAAAUCAAAUGAGCUCAAUCUCUCAACAAAUCUGCUGAUCGUUCUUCUACGAUAUAGAUGAUAAGAUAUCUUCCAUGCAAAAGUCUAUAGCAUCGCUAGAAAUGCUUGACAGGGCGCAAGUCUUCAGAAGGUAUCAAUAGUAAUCUCUCAAUAUCAAGUGAUAUUGAGAGAUUUCUAGUCAUGCCUUCCCAAGACUUUCACUAUGGCAAGAAUUUCUGCUGAUGACAAGAUAUCCGUCAUGCAAAAGUCUACACCGCUAGCAAAAAUUCUUGCCAGGGAGAAAGUCUUCAGAAGGCAUUAUUAAUAAUCUCUCAACAUCAAGAAAGUCUUGUACGAAAGACUUCAGAAGGCAUUAAAAAAUAAUGAAGUUUUCAACAAUGACUACAUAUAGUUACAAUAUCAAUAACCUCACCAGAUUCUUUCCUCGUUCAAAAGAAAAGGUAAAAAUAUUUUUAUUUGCAUUAAUAUGUUAUUUAUUUAAUAUUUUUUGGUUUGUUAAGUAAAUAACAUGCGAAUACAAAUAAAAAUAUUUCUGCCUUUUCUUUUGAACUAAGAGAGAAUCUGGUGAGGUUGUUGAUGCCGUAAUUAUGUUUAGUCAUUGUUGAAAACUUUUUUAUUUUUGAAUGUAUUCGGAAGACUUUAGUACAAGACUUCCUUGAUGUUGAGAGAUUAUUAAUAAUGCCUUCUGAAGACUUUUGCUCUAGCAAGAAUUUCUGUUGAUGGUGUAAACUUUUGCAUAGCAGAUAUCUUGUUAUCAGCAGAAAUUCUUUCCAUAGCGAAAGUCUUGGGAAGGUAUGACUAGGAAUCUCUCAAUAUCACUUGAUAUUGAGAGAUUACUAUUGAUGCCUUCUGAAGACUUUCUCCUUGACAAGCAUUUCUAGCGACGGUGUAGACUUUUGUAUGGCGGAUAUCUUGUCAUCUAUAUUGGAGAAGAAAGAUUAGCAGAAAGGUUUAGAGAUUGAGCUCGUUUGAUUUGUUAGAGAUUGAGCUCGUUUGAUUUGUGCACUAACUCUGGCAAUGUUUUUUGAUAAGUUAAUGAGCCUAGAGUUACGUAAUGUUUGAUAGGCUUGGUAUAGUCGGUUUAGAUCAAACGUUACGUAACUCCUUGCUUAUUAAUUUAUCAAAUUACUUAAAAAUUGGUUGAGCAAGAUGCAUUGAGCAAUACUUGAUAAAAGUGAGUUGUUCAAUGAUUGGGACAAUAUCUUGAGUGUGCAUCAACAUAUUUUGACAUAAAAACAUACACAUCGACCCUACAUGUAUCCUUUAAGGCUUCUAAAGAACGUGUUUUGAAGGGAUUCUUGAAUACCACAACUUCGAAGUUGGUGUUCCUGAUCUAUCUCACAAAAUAUCAGAAGUUCUAUGCCAAAUUCAAAGAUGGCAACGACAAGCUUGAAUAUCAAAUCAGCAAGCUGGAGGAAAACUUGAAAAUAAUUAAAAUUCACAUAAUAAAGCAAUCCUCUGAUUUUCUCCAAGAUAUGUUGAAAACAUGCUAAGGCUAUAAAACACAACAAUUAUAACCAUAUUUCUAAGUAAGUAAUGAUACUCAAUUUUUCUUUCAAUCUCGUUUAUGGUUCCGAUUAGGUCAACAGUGGACCUAAUCGAAAUCACAAACAAGAAGGCAUGGGAUGCAAUUUAAAGUUCAGAAAUUGCUGCCUUCGCUUAGAUUCCUUACUUUAACUACAGUUGUUGUUGGUGAAAGUUUUCUAGACUUACUGUACAUCAUUUCAACCCUCGAUGUCCGUAAGGCGGCUUUCUUGGUCUUCUGCUAUUUUCUAUCUUGGUGAUAAUCCCGAACACGCUACCUAGUCGUAGCUCCCUAGAAAAGUGAUUAUUUGAACUAUUUUUCUCUUAGAGAAACAACAGCCGGAUUUUUCAUUACCAGAUACAAUUUUAUAUUUGCACUUGAUACAGAUUUCUUAUGUUUUAAGAUAAUUUCAUCGGCCAGAUUCGCUAGAAGUUACUUUCUAUCCUAUGUAUCCUCUUUAAUUAGCUCUCAGAUGAUAUAGUCUUUCAUUAACCACCCAUUUUCCCUCUAAGGCAUUCUUCUACUGCACCUUCUGAUGUAUAAUCAUCACCCGAAGCAACCCAACCAUAUGAAUUUGGGCAAGGGUAAUAACUAUAUUGGCUUUCCAUUCUUGUUAGAUGCAGUGCUAGGCUUUGAAGGCCUUCUUAGAGUCCAAUAUACCCUGUUAGUUUAAUUGCUAUUGAAUCUCUUCACAAUGACACCAAAACCAAAUCCCUUCACAAUUCUUGACACAUAAACAUGAGCAACAACUGACAUUAAAUCUUAAUAGGGUAUUAAAACCAUAUUCAUAGUCCCUCAUCCUUAUCAGUUCGGACAUACCAAACUUUACUGUAAAAUUAUAGAUAUCUUGUUUGAAUGAUCUAUGACUAAUUGGUAAAAACAUCAUUCACAAUAUUAGUGUACUCUAUGUGUGUUUCCAUGAUAACAUUAUCAGUAAUAUAUACCUUCCACAUAUGAAGUGGUUCUAUCUACAUGCAGCUUAUUCCUCCAAACCCAUUUUUACUGCAGCCUCUUGUGACGGUCGGGCAAAAGUUGAUCAACUUUCAGUUUUUUAUAUCUACAAAGAAGAGGAAAAAAAUUAUAUCACAGAAAGAACAUUAUCCAUCUAUUGCAAUAACUAUAGAGCCUAUUGCAUUAGACGUGGAGUCUGUUGCAAUAGAUAUAGAGUCUGAUACAAUAAAUGUCGAGUCUGUUGCAACAGUUGUAGAGUCUGUUAGAAUACAUCAAAUCAACCUUGCUGGUGGUUGAUUUGUUCCAACAGUUACUCCAUCUAUUUCUCAUCAACAAUAGCAUAAAUUACAAAGAAAUAACAAAUAAAAAACAUCAACAGCAAUAUUUGUUCCAACACCAUCAACAACACCACACCAUAAGUUCCAACAAUGCCAACCCCAUCAAAAACAUCAAUAACAGCAUAAAUCACAAAGAAACAAACAAAAUACAUACAAAAAAUGAUACUGUCAACAAGGCUUUUAAACUUCUCCCAACAGAUGACUUUUUUUGCAUAUUAUAAUAAAAAUUCUUGGUUCGUUUAUUCAACACUUAUAAGUUCUUUCAAAUUUUUUAAAUAAAUAUGGUAUGUAUAAAUGAUAAUUAAAUAAAAACAUAUGUAAAUAACUUACAAAGAAGAAGAUAAGAAUGAAAGAGCAAUAGUAAACCAUACCUUAAUGUCAAAAGGGGAUCAAAACAACAAUUUUAGUUGAAGAAAGAUAUGGAUUGGUUUAGAUCCGAAAGGAUAUUUAUGAGAAAGAGAAGAGAAAGGACAGAAAAAAGGCUGUGAUAACCCUAAAGAGGAGAGAAAGACAAAGAUGAGAGAUGAAUAAAAUAAAUUUAGGGCUAAAGAUAAAGGAGAGAUGAGAUAAUUCUAGAUGUAUUGUAUACAUAUUAAUAUUUGUUAAUAAUUUGAGGGGCAUGAGGAAGACUAGUGAUAUUGAAAAGGCAGGAUAAGACUACUCAAUGAACUCAUUUUUGAGUUAUCCAUGAAACUCUUCAUUUCUUACUACAUUUUGUAGUACUACUUUAUCUACUCGAACAAAAUCUUGCUUUAAAAUUAAAAGAAAAAAAUAUUUUAAAAUAGAUAUGUCAUCUAUUGCAACAAAUAGCAAUAUCUGUUUAAACAUCCCAACAGCACAGUCAUUUGUUAUAACAGAUACAAAUAUCUAUUUAAAAAUCUCAAUAACUCCUAGAUACAAAUGUCCACUUGAUAAUUAAAUCAGAUAUGUCAUAUGUUACAACAGAUAUCAAUAUCUGUUUAAAUAUCCCAAUACCUCAGUCAUCUGUGACAAUAAAUACAUAUAUCCAUUUGAUAAUUAAAUCAGAUAUAUCAUCUAUUACAACAAAUAUCAAUAUCUAUUUGAAAAUGUCCAACAGCUCAAUCAUUUGUCACAACAAAUGCAAAUAUAUAUUUGAUAAUUAAAUCAGAAAUUUAAUCUAUUGCAACAGAUAUGAAUAUAUGUUAGAAAUUUCCAAUAUCUCUAUCAUUUGUUCCAACAGAUUUUAUUACAAUUGAUAUAGGUGGAACUAGGGAUGAAUGAAUGAGUUCAUAAGGUCAACUACAACUUCAAUUGAGUCUUUGCAAUUGGAUGGUGUUAGCAUUGCAUUUAUCUCGAUCAGAGUCGUCGAUCGAUCACUCUAAGUUGAAAAGAUUCUCAUUAACUUAAUGUUAAGCUAGUACCUAAAUUGAUUUAGGUGGAACUUGAUACAAGAACGAUCAUGAAUAUGGGCACUUUUGAGUAUUUUGAAUGCAACAUACAGAGUGUAUGAUUUGAAGUGUAAAAAGGGCUCCCAAGUCACCCCUAUAUUGCACUCCAUGGGCUCUAUUUUGUUCAUUUAACACUAAGAGGGACUUUUAUCAUCUUAUCUCUUAUUGUAAUAAGUCUAUAAAUAGAACAUGUUAGGUUUUAGCUCAUUGGUUGUUGAAUGUUGAUGAUAGAACACAUCUCUUGAGAGAGAGAUCCUCCCUAGGUCAAAACUAGGACAUGAGCAAGUGUGGAUUCACUUGUGAAUGUGUAUUGCUUGGAAAAGAUAGUGCUUGAGUGGUGGAAUCCCUCUCGUGUCUUCGUAAAAGUGUGGUGUUGCUAUCGUAAGUUCUAAGGGUCCAUAGAUUUAUUAUAUCUUGGGGUUAUUGGGUCUUAUUAUAGUGUAUGUCUCACUAUCUAUCUCUACAUUUCAUGUCUUAGUGUUGUUUAGGGAAAUCGUUGGUUUUUUUUGUUCAUGUAUCUUGUACCCGUUUGUUGUUGUUAUUAUCCUUAUCAUAUUGUUGUCUACAUUUUUGUGUUCAUUACGUUUUAGUGGCUGUUUUGGAGGAUAAAUUAUAAUGCCCCAGUUUUCUGAACCAAAAUGCUACAUGGUGCUUAUGACUCCGAAGGACCACAAGCUAACCCAUGACUGAUAUCUCUACCUGUAAGCUACAUAAUAUCUCAUAAAAUAUGCAGACACUUGAACUAUAAGGAAAUAAGGUUCAAUACUGAUACAUAUCUGAAGAAUAUGGUAUAACAAUACCAAAAAGAAACAUAAAUACUGAAGUCUGGACAUCUGAUCUGACAUCUAGUUUGAAAGCCUCUAACUGAACUAAAUAAGGAGUUGAACGAAGAUGUCUUCAACUAACUCCAUGAACUGAAAAACUAAUCUAAAAUACUAUAAUAAAGUAAUAAUAAUAUUGUCCUCGAACGAAGAUUUGCACUGACUACUGAAAUCUGCAAUGCUACUGCUGCUCUGAAACUCGUACCUCUAUACCUAUGGCGUCAAAUAAAACAUCAUAGUAUGAAUGCGUUAAUACGACUAAAUGCACUGAGUAUACGAGUGAGGUAGGCAAAAUGCAAAGGGUUUUAUAUGCAUGAACAAAGCUAACUGAUAUGAACGUGAGAAUAUAUACAUACAUACGUAACUGCAACUAAACUCGUGGUGAUACUACUACUGAGUCUGAAUACUGACAACAUGAGUUUACUGAUGCUGAGAUACUGAAUGACUGAGUUUACUGAUAUUGAUAUGUAAUUCAUUAAUAAGUGAGGAACUGAUACUAUAUUACUGAAUAUUGAGAGACUAAUACUAUAUUAUUGAUAAAGGAAUGAUUGUUUCUGAUAGUUCUAAUUAUGAAGAACUAAUUUUAUUGACCGUAUAUAAGAGUCCUAAAACUGAGCUCGUGAUAACAUAACUACUGAGUAUAAAUACUGAUGACAUAUAUUUACAGAUAACAUAUCAUGAAUGAUAAUUGAAUUUUGAUAACUGAUAUAUCUGAUAAAUUUGAGUUCUAAUAACUAAUAGCAUGAAUGAUUGUAUCUGACAGUCCUAAAUCUGAUGAAACUAGCUGAUUUUCGUAUUGUAUCUGAGUUGAUUGUAUCUGACAGUCCUGAUAUCCUGAAGAACUAUCUGAGUUUUUUGAAUGAGACUGAUAUUGAAACUGUGGGAAGUAGUUAUCUAAUCGACCUAACCUAAAUAUGCUAUAAUAGCUAAGCUGGGGUACAAUCUCUGCCCUGAUUGGAAGGGUGUCAAUACUACACCACUGGUAAGGACAAGCUGUGAGUGACCCUUAUCUGGUAGGUAAUCUAAUGAGAACGGUAGGAACCCUCAUCUGAUAGGUUAAGCCACCUCAUCUACCCUCAAUUGAUAGGUAUUGACCUCUCAACCUAUGCUGGCUACAUAGUUCUGGAACGCAAGGACUGCUUUUAAGAAUCACACCCUCUACUGGCAGGUGGUUCCCAUCCUUCGGUUCGCUCGGUGCUGAAUCCUACUCCCAACUGAAUGACACUGAACUGAUUAUACUGAACUGAUUUCCUAGUUCAUACUAGAAUUAACUGAACUAUUACUGAUUGUUCUGUUUAACUAAACUGAACAUAGACUGAGUUUAUUGAGUUUCGAUAACUAGCGGAACACUACUGAAUUCUGUUAACAGACUAAAUGCUACUGAGUUCUGUUAGUUGACUGAGUUUACUGAUGUCUAAACUGAAUACUGAACUAAUUUGUACUGAUACUGAGAUAUACUGAAUUCCAUAGACUGAUGAAAUAUUACUGAGAUUAUGUAGAUUACUGAUUAUUGAGUAAAACUGAACUGAUACUGCCUUUACCUGAGUUUUCCUGAGUCAUGAGACUGACUGAAGUCUACUGAACAUGGAUUGACUAAGAGUAUCGUGAAAACAUAACAUGGCUCUAGGCACACAGCUAUAUUUUUCAGGUACGAAUACCCCCAGGACUCGAUGGAAGAAAACUGACAUGACUUGACAUACAAGAGUACUUGACCAACAUUAACAAUCCAUAAUAUAGCAUCUAUGGAAAAUUCAUAAAUCAUGUGGUUUUCAUAACCUUUUCAUAUAGCUAACAUCAUGGUCAAUUCUAAUAUCAUGACAAGCCAACAACAUAUUCAUAGCACAUUAAUAGCAUAGAAAUCAUAUUGAUCAAGUAGACAUGGCAUAACUUAAUAUACAUGGCAAAAUCUUGGAGCAUGGAUACUAGGUACUUGAUCAUCAUUUAUUCGUUGAGGCACAUUAUCAAACACAUGGUAGGCAUGCUUUAACAUGGGAGUUAACUUAAGCACAUGGAUAUGGCAUGGAAUCAUCAUUUAGAUCACAAAUAGGUCAAAGUGCUUAAUUCUUCUUCACUUAGGUAUUUUAACAAGCACCUUGCAUGCACUAUUUAGGGCAUAGGCCUAAUGAUCAAUUUUAUACACCAUAACACCAUAAUUCAACUCAAUUCCACCAAUUGAAUCCACAAAAUAUCAUGGUAUCAUGAACAACAUAUAAAGAUUCGAACUUUAUUCACACAAUAUGGAAUUCACUUGAAAUCAUAAAACAUGGAGUAAGGACUUGUUAAUUGAGUACUCUUAAAUCAUGAAAACAUGAUUAUGCCUAUUCUAGGUAUUUCGUCGAACACCUUGCAUGCACACUUUAUGGCAUAGUUGUUCUUAAUAAUUUAGUCAUCUUAAACCACCCAAUUUCAUGGGCUUUAACUACAAGCAUGCAUACUUCAUGAGAAUCACCCUAAAUUAACAUCUUGAAGCAUAAACAACAACCAUCAACAUGUACAUGAUCAUAUCUCAAUAAGAUAAUCACAAUAUAGUAUUUAAAGCAUGGUUCUUUGACUCCUAUGGAUGAAAGGAAUCCGUGGAUGAACACUACGCAUACCUUAGGUGGAAGAUUCUUGAAGAAAUUCUUAGACAUGUUCUUCAUUCCUUGAGAGAAAAUAAAUUGGCUCUUGAGUUAGAAAAACCUGAAUAUCAUAUAUUCUUGAAGAAGGAUUUGAUUCUUGUUAUAAGUUAUGAUCUUGACAGAAACCCUUCUUUUGAUGUUGAAGAUAAAUGAGGAGUUAUGUUCUUCAAUUGAUGGAAUUUGAGUCUUCAAAUUGAAUCCCUAGCUUGAGUUCUUGAGAGGAUUUUGAGAAGAGGAGUAUAUUUUUCUGCAAAUAUGCCUUAAUCCUGUGUUUGGGGUAUAUAUAGGGGUGGAAGAUGACCAAAAUACCCCUAAGGAACAAUUAAGGUCAAAUUUGUCCCUAAUUGACUGUCUGAUAUGCUGAAGUAAAUUGAUCAUAACUUUUUAUUUAGAUAUCCAAAUGGGAUGAAACCAAUUGAAUUGGAAAGAAGACUCAAAGAUAUUUCCAUUGAAAUUGAACCUAAAAUACUAAAAAAACUGGGCAAGCACUGGAGUUAGCAGGAUGCGCGGGCUAAUUGCCCGGGGCUUUUGUUUUGGGAACCCAAACAUGCCUUUACGCUACUCUAAAAAAUUUUAAACUCACCCGGGAUAUACUACGAGCUCUCCCAAUCGUAACUCAACUUGACAAUUGAAAAACAGACAUCGGGAAGGUCGCCAAAUAAAUCCCCAAAGUUUAGAGGUCUAAAAUAAAACUAAGUGUUGAAUCUUGAACACUUAGCAAAAUUUUCUAAGUCUUGGGAUCUCUCAUGGAGCUUUAUGAUCUGAAUUUGACACGCGAUUUUGUGGGGUAUUACAUAAAUACACCUUGUUUCCUUGUAUUCUUUUGUUGUAGUUGUUUGACCGAAACUAGCUCUCAAAGGGGUCCUCGGAUUCCUAUUGAUUUGUGGACUAUUUUGAGCCUUUUCUUAUGAUCCUUGGUCUUCUUGUAUCAUAACUGGAACUAGGAAUGAAUGAGUUCAUAGGGUCAACAACAACUUCAAUUGAGUCUUUGCAAUUGCAUGGUGUUGGUAUUCCGUUCAUCCCGACUCAAUUCAUCGAUCGAUCACUCUGAGUUGAAAUGUGUUCUUAUUAACUUAAUGGUAGGAUUAAUAGUACAUAAAUUGAUUUAGGUAGAACAAGGGAUGAAUGAGACCAUAGGGUCAACAACAACUUCAAUUGUGUCAUUGCAAUUGCAUGGUGUUGGUAUUGCUUUCAUCCCAACCCGAGUCAUCGAUCGAUCACUCAGAGUUGAAAUGAGUUCUCAUUAACUUAAUGUUAAUAUUAAUAGUACCUAAAUUGAUUAGGUGGAUCUAAGAAUGAAUGAGCUGAUAGGGUCAAGAACAAAUUCAAUUGAGUUAUUGUAAUUGCAGGGUGUUGGUAUUGCGUCUAUCCCGACCCGAGUCGUCGAUUGAUCCCUCUGAGUUGAAAUAAGUUCUCAUUAACUUAAUGUUAAGAUUAAUAGUACCUAAAUUGAUUUAUGUGGAACUAGGGAUGAUUGAGCUCAUAGGGUUAACUACAACUUCAAUUGAGUCAUUGCAAUUGCAUGGUGUUGGUGUUGCGUUCAUCCCGACCCAAGUCAUUGAUUGAUCAAUCUGAAUUGAAAUAAGUUAUCAUUAACUAAUUUUAAGAUUAAUAGUACCUAAAUUGAUUUAGAUGGAAAUAGGGAUGAAUGAGCUCAUAGGGUCAACUGUAACUUCAAUUGAGUCAUUACAAUUGCAUAGUAUUGGUAUUGCAUUCAUCCCGAUCCGAGUCAUCGAUCGAUCACUCUGAGUUGAAAUGAGUUCUCAUUAAAUUAAUAUUUUAAAAAUUAUAUCUUUUAAAAUUUUAAAAAUUAAUUAAGAUCAAUUCGGACCAAAUUAUUAAUUUCAAAACUUGUCAUUCUUUUCAAAAAUUAUAAAUCAACCCAUACAAAUUAUCCAUGUAAGGGAAAAACUUUCCCUCAUUUUAAAUCUCAAGUUCUCGGACUUCUCUCUCUCUCUCUCUCUCUCUCUCUCUCAAUAAUACAGACAAUAACUACUCAACAUAUUGAUCAAUCCUUCAAAACAGAUCAAUUUUAUUCUCAUUUCCGACCACAUAGUUGUUAUUUUCUUACUUCAAUCUCUCUUGUAUCUAUCGUUUUCUCUGUCUUUGUAGGUAACAGAGUUCGAGAAGAGUUCUAUAUUUGUUCUUUAUUCUAAAAAUUACGGCUUCUUAGUUAAUGAUUAAAAAGAAGACUUUUAGUUGUAUUAUCUUUGAGAAUGGGUUAACAAUUUUAUGUUUUGAUGCUAAAAAAGUUGGAAGAACUCAAUAAAACCCUAGUUUUUAUCUCAGUAUUUUGUUGACUAUCGUGGUAUUAUUGGAUGGUGUUUGUAGUGUUGUUGGUGGAUGUUGUUGGUCGUGUCGGUAUUUGUGUUUUUAGUAGUGGUGUCGAUAGUCUUGGUAUUGGUCUUGGUGACAUUGAUGGUGGUCUUGGUGGCAUUAGUGGAGGAAUUGGUUGUGGUGUUGAUGAUCCAUCUAUUACAAUAGGUGGAAGAUCUGUUAGAAGAUAUUAAAUAGGCCUUCAAAUGGAUUCCCCAUCUGUUCCAACUGGUGGGUUAUCGCUUGGAGAAUUUUUUUGUAAUGUGGUGUUGAAUAAUUUAUUAAAAUUUGUCUUGCCUUUUUUAAAAAAAUUAUGCAGACUUCAAAUGCAAUGUAUUUUUUAUUUUUCUAUUGUUUGUAGUUGAAAGAUGUCUCCCAAAAGAAAAGAAAUUGAAAGUGGAUCAACUUCUGACCACCCAACAAAAUUGCUAGAGUACACAUAGAUUCCAAGGAAUUUUCUAAACAAUCUCAGUCAGGGAAAAAUGAAGCUGAGGAGAGUGAUAACUUAUUCUCACCAAUGAGUCGUGAAUUACUAUCGAAAUCCAGUAUUAUCCUUUCAAAACCAUUAGUAUCGACAGGUUUCGAGUUGCAAUGCCGAUGGAUAACCCUGACAAAGUAACUGGUGAUUUUGUGCUUAAAUGUUAGUCGGGGAAAUGUUUUGAUGAAUUAUGGAGAAUUAUAAAGAAUGAAAACAUAGACAGACCUUUUAACAAGAGCUGUUUUGAAUACUUUCUUGAGCUGUCUGAGGACUGCACUCUCCGUUUCCCAAUGAGCAUGGUAUAUGGUCUUCUCAAGCACAGGAUCAAGUACGUGGGGAAUGAUUAAGAUUUGAAGGAGUGCAAAAAAAGGUGGAUAAAAUAUGGAUCAACUAUUGUGGCAUACCGGUUUGUUUUAGGUUGAAAGAGUUUGCCAUAGUGACGGGCUUGACAUGCGAUCGUCCAGAAGAACCUCUCAUCAAGGAAACACCCCACAAAGGGUCCAACAAAUGAUAGGGAAAAAAGAUGGGUUUUGGGCAUUAUUGGACGCAGCUAUAAAGCGGAGGAUUUGAUGGCAGAUCUCGAGGAUAAAGACAUACCAAAGAACUACAAGGAGAAAUUAUGCUUAGUUUAGUUUGCCCAUUCCGUUUUAUUGGCAAGAGACAUCAAGAAAGUCAUAUAAGAUGAUUUGUUGGUGCUUGCUAAUAAUUUUGAAAAAUUUAAUGAUUAUCCCUGGAGAUAUGACAGCUACUACUUGACUAUCGAAUAUUUACUGACAAAGAUAUCCAUAAGGACGAUCACAUUAUAUGGCUUUCCUUGGGCUGUCAUGGUAAAAUUGAUCAUUAUUUUUACUCAUUCAUUAAUUUAUAUUGAAUAUAGUUAUUAUGAAUAUUUUUUGCUUGCUUCCCAUUUAUAUUUUUUUGGCUUGGGCAUGUGAAGCCAUUCCUCCCCUCUAAAAGCAAUUCAAGGAUUACCUAGAUAUGGUUUCUCAUCCAAGGAUCCUUUGGUGGUUGGCGGCUGCAAAGGGCAGCAAGAAAAUUAUUAAGGAGCAGAAGGCUGAUCUAUUUAACCCAUUGGAUGAUGUAGUACAUUUUCUUUCAACUAAUAUAAUUUGCCUCAAAGAAAAAUAUGAAAUAGUUGUUCUAUCAGUUGCGAAAGAUGGGUUAUCUAUUGUAACAGAUUACCCAUCAACUACAACUGGUGCAAUAUAUAGGUAAUCUGUUAUGACAGACAAUACAUACUUCAUAACAGAUUAACCAUCUCUUGCUCUGGCUCUCUGAACGUGACUCAAUAGAUUACCUAUCUACUGUAAAUUAUGCAACAGAUAGGUAAUCUAAUGCGACAUACAGAUCAGCUAUUGCGGAAGCUAGAUCAUCUAUUGCAUAAGUUAGCUGUGUUAACAUGUAACCCAAAAGACUGUAAAUUAUUAUUAUAUGAUUUAAAUGCCUCCUGUCUUUUUUUGUAGGUUAUGCAUCCUUGGAGAUGUGCCUACCAUUAAUGAGUUAGGGAUGACUUUUUUUCUUACUCUAGGUCUUAUUGAUACAAAAGAAAACUCAAUAGUGGAGUUAAUGAAAAAAGAAUUGGCUGGAGCAACAUCCAUAAGAAGAGUAGUUAGGCAAGGUCAGCCUAAUAUUGAAACUCUUCACGACCAACCUACUGCAGCAGAUCUGGGUGCUUCUUCUAGGGGUGUUGCUGGUGGAGUUGUUGAUGAGUGUGGCAACCAUCCUGAUGCUGCUGCUACUGCAAGUCAUGAUUAUGAGCAUGUUACUGCUAAAAAAAUACGUUUGAAAACACCCCUUGCACAGUUCCCUCUUACCCCUACACCGGUCCCUCCCACCCUUAUAGUGGUCCUUCUUACCCCUCUUCAACCUCAUAUUCUCAUUCCAAAUGCAAAGUGUGCAAGGAUAGAAAGGAUAAACUCCUUAAAAACUAGAGACUAUUACUGAAGCUGUCAAGGAGUUGAAAUCCAAGAGGUGUUUCAUACCAUCCAAGAAGGUGAGAGAGCCAUACACUCCUACAAUGACGGUUAGGAGAAAGACAAGAAAUAUUAGACAAAUACUCUAUAUUCUGAAAACAACAAAAAUUGCAGCUCCUUCUACUCUAAGAGUUGUUAAAGUUCAGGGGCCGCUGAAGAAGGUGGACAUAUAUACGACACUUGGCGAUACAGAGAAGAAGGAACUAAAAGAGAUCAUGAAUGAUGAGACGAAACUUCCAAAAGAAUGCACCAUGCAUUCAUUUGAUGCUAAAGACUUCAAGAGUAUGACAAAUAUGUAUGUGUGGUACGUGGACAAUAUAAGAUUAAUUUUGCUAACCUAGCCUUCCAAUCUACUCCAUGAAGAAGAAGCUACGCAGCAGAUGUGUAAUCUGUUAAAAUAGCUGGGUAUUCUAUUGCAACAUAAUACAUAUCUGUUGCAUAAGUUGUGUAUGUUGGGUAAUCUGUGUACUGAUUCAGAGAACCCUCUACAGCAGAAUCGUUCCACUGUAUUUUUAUUCUUUACAAUUGCUAACCUAGUUAAAAAUUAUCUUCUUAUACCAUAGUAUGUUGAUGAAAUUCUCAGCCUGAUGAGGGGCAGACAAUUAGCAUACCCAGAUGCUUAUGAUGCUGCCAAUAGGAUAAUGGACCUUAAUUUCUACAACUAUUUCAAGGAUAGGUACGAUGAUCUCUGUGGGAAGGUUGUCCCAAUGUCAGGAGAUUUGAUAAGUUAGUUUUUACAUUCUAAUGGGAUGAAGAUGUGAUUAACUAUGUUAGAGGGAAGAGGCCAUAUCCACACGACAAGAGCUAGACCAAGGCAAAGUGAAUCCUUGUAGUCAUGAAUGUAGAAUUCAAACAUUUUCUCGCUGCUGAGAUACUACUCUAUGAGGGGAAUAUUAAAUUUUAUGACUAUAACUUACCUAUGUUCAAUGAGGACACAUUUUUAACCCACGUGAAUCCACUCUUAAAGUUAUUCCCCAAGUUGUUGACGUAGAGUAAGCUGAUGGAUCAUUUGUUAGUGAAAGUCUUCAGGAAGGAAUCAUGGGUUUUUGAAGGUUGAAAUAAGAACAUUUAGCUCCAAAGAAAUAGAAUUGGUGCAGCGUGCGGGUCGUACUCGCUUGCAUACAUCGAGUGUUUGCUGACCGACACAGAAAUAACCAGUAUGUGCGACACCAUUAUGGGAAAGAUACAAGAGGUCUAGGCUUAUGAGGUACUAAAUAAAUAGUUGGAGCCCAUGUAUAAUAAAGAAUAUGUACAAAGACAAAAACAAGCACGGUAAUAAUUUUUUAUCUCAAUCCACUUCACUUUACAUUAGGUGGCAAUAAUUUUUAUGUUUGGCAAAAGUUGAAUUUUUACAAUGCAAUAGAUUUUGUAUAUGUUGUAAUAGAUAUAAUACCAGUUGUGACAAAUUGAUUAUCUGUUGGAAUAGAUUGAUCAUCUGUUGCAUUAUGCAGAUGUUUCUCAGUCUUUCUGUUGCAAUAGAAAUACAAUAUGUUGCAACAUAUAAUAUAUCUAUUGCAACUGAUAGGUAAUAUGUUGGAACAAAUCAAGAAAGUAGGAAAACUUAAUAUACAAUUUCCAGCAAAUGACCUAACUAAAUGGUUGGAUCUUGUGUAUAAGCAGAAUAUAUACAAAGACAGAGAUGAACAUGAUAACAAUUUUUUAUUUCAAGCCAUCUCACUUUACAUGUAGUGGCAAUAGUUUUCAUGUCUGGCGAAAGUUGAGUUUUUAUAAUACAACAGAUUUUAUAUCUAUAUUAACAAAUAGAGUACCUAUUGUGAUAGAUUGAUUAUCUGUUGGAAUAGGUUGGUUAUCUGUUGCAUUAUGCAGAUGUUUCCCAGUCUGUUUGUAACAGAUAUACAAUCUGUUGCAAUAUAUAAUCUAUCUAUUGCAACUGAUAGGUAAUCUGUUGGAACAAAUCAAGAAAGUAGGAAGACCUGUUAUAUAAUUUCCAGCAGAUGACCUAUGUGUUGCAUCUCAUGUUGUAGUAUAUGUCUAAAUCUAUUUGAUAGAUAUGUCAUCUAUUGCAGUAGAUGUAUUAUCUAUUGCGAUAUUUAAAUCUAGUAUUCCAUUUCAAUUAACAUGUUCAAAACUAAGGAUUAAAUUAUUCAUAGAAAGCAUAAAAUAAAUUGAAGCCUUUGAAAAUUACAUCAAAUAACUCAACAAAUAAAUCAAAUGUAAAAAAAUUAUUAUUGUUACAAAUGAUCUACUCUAUAAAUAAAUCAACAAGUUAAACCAAGGAGGAUAGGUUAUUACACAGGCGAACUCAAGAUAUAAAGAUCUACUCAAUAUGGACAAGUUUUUCUUUAUCCGGUGCUACUAAAUUUAGCUUUGGUCGUCAUGGAUCUUUAAUGUCACUUGUGUAGGGCUUCUGAGCUUUCGCUUCUCCAUAUUUCCAUAAAAUAGCAGCAUAUAUUUUGUGGAGUAAUCCGGCAUCAAUUCCAUCAUUUUGUACUUGUAAUCCACCACUCAAAUACUCAGCGUAGGUGGCAACAAAAAGAUCCCAAUUCUUGUAUUUUAAAAAAAUAGAUAAUUCAUAUCUUGCAGUUCAUACAAGCAUUGUGAAAUUUAUGAAAUGAAACUAAAUCAUGUCACUUAAACUUAUAGGCUACCAAUGGUUUGUUGAGAAAUUCCUUCAAUAUAUUAUAUAUCAAAUGGAUUACCCAUUUUAUAUCGGUAUGCUUCAAUCGUCGACCAAUCAGUACGAACCUUUUGGUCUAAAAAGCCACUCAUAUCAAGGUAAGUAGGAAAUAUUUUGACCAGCUUUGGUAUUUUAGAUGAGGGCCCAGAACGUCUCCUUCACGACAUCUAGUCAUAAACUCGGAUGCGCCUCUCUUUUAGAAUGAUGACAGACAACACCCAAUGGAAUUCAUCACCAUAAUUAAUUGGGAUAUAUGCUUCGUCGACCAAAUGCCCAGGUAAGCCAGCUAGAAUGCUAAAAUCUUUGAUGAUGUUGAUUAAGCAUUCCUUAUUUCGGAAAAUUUUCGGUUGUUGUUGACAAUACCUAUCGUAGGCAUUAUUAAUGUAAACUUUGUACAAAUAAUUACCUGUCGUGUAUCUGUAUUAUUCUUGUAUUUACAACUUGGAGUUCUUUCAAAGAUAGUAAAAAAUGAUAUUGAUGUGCUACACAUAUUAUCAAGCAUUUCAACUUAUGUGACGAAAAAAUUAAUACGGAGAUGAAAUUAAAUAAAGUAUUAAUUAAUAGUAAUAUGUAUGGCAUUUAAACAUCACCAUUCCAGCAAAUUUGGGGCUGUGACAUCAAAUAGAACCAAUUCUUCAUUUUGGGAUGUGCAACAAAAAAUUUGAACAUAUCAAAACCAAGACUCAAUUCGUUCACUUUGUAGUGUUCGUCAUUUUAUUUUCUACAUGAUGAUUUAUAUAUGUUAAUGUCAUGGUCUUACAACGAGAAUUGUAUAAACCAAUAUCAUUAAAAUUAAUUUAUGUACCUGCUAGAAUUAUGCUUUAACAACCCAUCGGUAAUCCAUUCUGAAUAGUUGUUAAUCAACUGUGUUAGUUCUUUUGGAGCCUCGUUCGAGAUGUUGAACCCUUCAAAUGGGUAAUUCUUCCAUUCUCCUGAACUAACAGGCUCUAUUUUUUCCUUUGGAAGAAGUUGAUGGAUUAUAAACUGUGAUAUUAUGCUCUUCAUCGGUAGCUUCUACUGUGACAUCCACCUGGAAAGCUAGAAUUGUCAAUGCUAAUUACAGAUAUAAUACAGAUUGUCCAUCUGUUGCAAUAGAUGGGACUUAUGUUACAACAGAUGGAUCAUCUAUUGGGACAAAUUUGAAUAGGUAAAUCAGAGAAGUACAAUAAUUUCGAACAGAUGACCCAUAAAUUGCAACAUAAAACUGAUCUAUUGCAAUAGAUAACACAUCUAAUUCAAUAGGAUAAAUAACAGUUGCAAUAGAUGUAUAUAUUUGUUUGAUAAUUUUUAGAAAAUGUAUCAACUGUUGAAACAAAUAUUUUUCUAUUUAUUUAUUAGAACAUAUGAUGUACAUUUAUCUUCUUCAUCACAUGUUGCUCUCCUCUGGCCUUUGUACACUAAACAACGGUGCAAGACAAAGACAAAGGCAUUGCAAUUUUGCUCUUUUUGAUACUUGAAGGUGUCUUGGAAAUAUGUUUCCUUUUCCUCUUAGCCACCUUGAUGUCUAGUGGAGUAUAUGGAUAUGAAAUUCUCUUUGAUGGAAUGACACUCAUCUUAGAUAUCAUUUUCUUUACAGAAGUAGUAAGUGCAUUAAUAACAUUAAUCGCUCCAUCGUGUUUCGCCUUGCAGUCUUGACAUUUUCAUGCAGAACAUUUGCUAGAUAUGUAAAAUUUGGAGAAAAAUCUGUACAACUAGUAUGAUCAUAAUCAUAAUGGUUUGUUGUUUCAAAAACUGUAAGAGGAGCAUCAUUAGCCCCAAUAGUAGCACCACUACCACUACCACUACCACUACCAUAAUCAACAGCAACAAGCCCACCCUCCAAAAUUAUUUUUCUUGUGAUGGUUGUUGCUCCAAAUAAUUUUAUUUUUAUUUCAUCAACGACCUUAGGGUCCGAUAAAGUUUGCACAUACCGUAAAGUAAGAAAAAAUGACAUUUUCAACUCUCGGUUUGUCGGAACAAGCCACGGAUGGACAAUCUAAAAUAACUUAGUAUAUAUAUUAGAAUGAUGAUGAAAUCAUUUAAAAUAAUCAUUAUAUUAGAAUGAUGAUGAAAUCAUUUAAAAUAAUCAUUAAUUAAAACAAAAACUUGAUUAGAAUUGGACUUACUGCUUUCUUCGGGGAACUGAAAAGAUUAAGAAAUUUUGUAUUUUUAUCAAUUUUGGCCGACAACCAUCACAGGAUUCUUGGACAGGAAACUUCUUCCUGAUAGUUCACUUGUUGUCUCAAAUAAGGAAUGACUUCAAUUGCCCAAGCCUAUAACGUAACGCCAAUAAAUCAAAAGCAUUGUUAAAUAAAAAAAAAUGAAUCAUAUCAUGAUAAAAGAAAUAUUUACCAUGAAGGCCCAUGGAAAGCCACAUAAGAUAAUUGUCUUUGGCAUUAAUGGAGUCAAUAAAUAUUUGACAAUCAUUUUAAAGCUUUCAUAACACCAAGGAUAGUUGUUAAAUGCCUCAAGAUCCUCUGAUAGAUUUAUUAAACCAAGGCUUAUGUUGUUGUUAACGUCUCUCGCCCAAAGAAUAUUAUGUACAAACCAAACCAAGCACAAUGAUUUCUUGUGCUUCUUUGAGAGUCCUUUACCUUUCAACGCUUCUAUCAAAUUUUUAUUUUUAAAGCUUGAACCAACAAUGGCCACUAGGUCAUCACGAUCACUCGACUUAACUUUGCCUUUUUUGAGUGUGCGGGGUGCUUUUUUUUGGGUCAGAGUAGGUAUAACUUGAGAAGGAGAAGGAGGAUAACAUUUUAGUCCAGUAACUAUGGCAAAUUCCUUCCAAUCAAAACAAAUAGGCAUGCCAUAAUAAUUUAUUCACACCUCAUCUAUCUUAUCUUUAUUUUCAUACAUAAACCUACGUUUGAGAAGAUUGUAUACCAUUUUCAUCUAGAAACGAGCAUUGUUGUCCUCCGACAAAUCAAGAUAUUGCCCAAAGCAGCUUUCUCUAAAAUAAGCAUCCAAUUUUUGAUCUCGAAGUAAUUUUUUGAAGGCAUUAAAAGAUUUUUCCAUGGCUGACUUAACCACAAAAUCACCCGUUAAAUCUGUGGCACCAUUAUAUUGUAUUCUCACAGGAUAACGAUCAAUGCUGAAGGUUUUGACCAACUCUUUGGUGGAAGGGCUAUUAGUAUUUGGAUCAUCUCUUUUGAAACAUUCCUCCUCCCCGUGUUCAUUAUCUUCUACUUCUAAUUGAGAUAACGCUUGUAAAGCAAGUGCAUAGAGUGGUGGAUGUAGCCGAGCUGCUGCAUUUAUUCCUUUACUUGGACUUGAUUCGGUUUCUUUUCUUUUGGGAGCCAUAUUAUCUUAAAUAAUAGAAAUAUUAAAUAGAUUAUAAUUUAUUAAUGCAUCGUUAAAAAGGGAUAACAGUAAAUCUAACAUACACAACGGUAAAAUAACAGUUCCAAUAGACCACAAAGCUGUUACACUAGGUAUGUUAUUUGUUGCAAUAUAUAAUCGACCUGUUGCAAUGGAUGAGUAAACUAUUGGAAACAAUAAAAAUAGAUCACUAAUCUGUUGCACCAGGUAUUUUAUCUGAUGCAGCAUAUAACCAACCAUUACAACGGAUGAGUAAACCAUUGUAAAUCAUAAAAACAGAUCAUUAAUCUGUUGCACUAGGUAGUUUAUCAAUUGCAAUAUAUAGCCAACCUAUUGUAAUAGAUGAGUAAUCCAUUGGAAACAGUAAUAACAGAUCACUCAUCUGUUGCACUAGGAAGAUUAUCUAUUGCAACAUAUAACCAACCUGUUUUAAGGAUAAGUAAUCCAUUGGAAACACUGAAAAUAGAUCACUAAUCUAUUGCAUCAUGUAGUUUAUCUGUUCCAACAUAUAACCAACCUAUUUCAAUGGAUGAGUAAUCCAUUAAUAACAAUAAAAUAGAUCACUAAUCUGUUGAAACAGAUCACUUAUUUGUUGCAAAAUGAGUUAUCUGUUGGAUCAAUAUUGUUUAGAUUUCUUCCAAACAGAAGAGUCAUCUGUCGUAAUAGAUAAAUGAUCUAUUAGAUUGUUCAUCUGUUGCAUUAGAAUUUUAUAGUUACAUUAGAUUUUUAUCUAUUGCAUCAGAUGUUUUCAUUUGUUGCAUCAGAUAUUUUUAUCUGCGCAUUAGAUAUUUCAUCUGUUGCAAUACCAUUUUUACCAAGAAAAAUAACAAAUCAACCCUAAAACACCAACACAUCACACAGACACACACUAAGAAUAUCAAUUGUGACAAAAAAUCACCAACAAAUCCAAAUCAGCAGUUCGACAACAAGAAGAAAUGCCAAAAAUUAGGAUUUUAUUCAGUCCACAUUUCAAAUUUAACCUAGAAAUAUUGAAAUUGUUAACAAUACUAGAAGAUUAGUUGGCUCAAGUUUCUCUAUUUCUUCAUAAUUUUUUACCUGUAACUAUGGAAAUGGGAUGAUCGAGAACUUGAAGUUGUUAUCGCCAGAGAAGUCUUCACGUCGAUAUAUGGUUGAAAGUCAAAAGGAAACUCGCCUGACUAUUUGUUCGCAGAGGUUGAAGUCAUCGGGGAUUGAAGAGAGAAUUUUGCAGAACUGUUGGUUGGAAGAGAGUUAAAAGAAACUAUCGAGAGCAAGAGAAGAGAGAUGAUUUAUUUGGAUUGAAGGGGUGUGUGGGUUGAUUUGUAUUUUUGAAAAGAUUAGAAAGUUUUGAAAAUAUUAAUCAAGUCCACAAUUAACUUAAUCAUAUUUUCUAAUGAUGUUUGACCCUUUAAGUUGGUCAAUGUCACCAAUCCUUUAUGCAAGACUUAAAAGACACCUUUCCUUCAAUUUUCUCAAGUCAAAUUAUUAUUAUUAUAUUUUUGAUAUAAUUUAUGAGAUAAAUAUUUAUGGUAUAUCUCAAUAUGUCGGAAGUACUUUUCUUGUUAAAAAAUUAUUUAUUAAAUAUAAAUAUAUGUUUCUAGUAUUUCAUGGCAUAAACUUUUUAUAUCUAAAAUAUUAUAUUUAUUCUCGUAUUUCAUGGCAUAAACUUUUUAUAUCUAAAAUAUACAAUAUAUGUUUAUGGUAUAAAUAUAAUUUGUAUGGUAUAAACAUAUCAUGUAUUUUUAUGAUAUAGUAUAAUUUGUAUAAUAUAUAAAUAUACCAUGAAUUUUUAUGACAUAAAUAUACCAUAUAUUUUUAUGGAGGCAACAUGAAAGCAGACAAUAAAAAUGAAAACAUAAAAUUUUUAUAUAGUAUAUAAAAAAUGAAUGAACAAAGGAUUCCAUAAAAAUAGGAAAUAAAUAAGAAAUAUGGGAAUUUAAUAUAUAAUUAUUUUUUCAUAUAUUAGAAUCUGUUAUAAAAGUAAAUAUUUUAUAUGCUAUAUCUGACAACCAACUAAUAUGGCUAUGUAUACGUAAUAAUUUUUUUAAAAAUGGCUAUUUAGGUUGUUUUUCUUUUUUAUUUAUCAGAUCAAUUUAAAAUAAUAAAAAAUUGAUAUUGUGCGCUAUUUAUUUGAUUAAUAUUAAUAAUAAUGAUAGGGAUUUUAUGUAGUUUAAUAAAGAUAAGUUGUGGUAUUAUAUAAAUUUUUCUUAAAUAAAAGGGCAAAAUAGCCUCAAUAGGUAGACAGAAAGGGUAUUUUAGGACCAAUAGGUAGAUAGGAAGAACAUUUUAGACCCAAUAGGUAGACGGAGAGCAUUUUUGCACCAUUUCACAUUGUUGAAGAACAGUUUAGGCCCUUUUCCAUAUAUAAAAUAGGAGAAUUACUAUAUUAAAAAAAAUCGUCCUAUAAUUAAUAUUUGGUACGUGAUCAAUUGGAAAACAACUCCUAAAAUAACAUAAUUUGCAUAACUAUAAUCCUUCCAUGUUUUAACUUGCAAAAUAUUAGAGUCAACUAUUAACAAAGAACAUUGACAAAAAUUCAUGAUUCUUGUUUUCAUUAUAAUUUAGGUCAAAACAUGCAACAAGCUUGUGAGCACAACUUAAGACAAUCAAUUAGUUAAGUUAUGUUCUUGGAUAUUUGAAAUGUAUAACAUCUUCUUUAUUUUAUUAUACCCUACAUUAUCAUCAUCAACAACAACAUACCUAGUGAAUUCCCACCUAGUGGGUCUGGGGAGGGUAAAAUAUACGUAGACCAUACCACUACCUCCAAAGAAGUAGAGAGGUUAUUUUCGAUGGACUCUCGACUCAGGAAGCAAAAACAAUAAAUAAGAUAUUAAUAAAACAUAAUAAAAGAUGAGAAAAAUAUAAAUAAGGCAACCACAAAUUAGUACGAUACGUUAACAAAUCGCAAGCACCCACCUCCUACAACCCACCUAACUAGAGACUCCAUCCUAUGUUUAUAAUCCUACAACUACUAGCAGACUACCCCACUACACGCCUAACUACUGGUUACGACUCACCCACACGUACUAACCUACUAACCGAAUUUAUGUUCUUCAUGCCUUCAUAUCUAGGGUCAUGUCCUCAGUAAGCUGUAACUACUCCAUGUCAUGUCUAAUCACCUCCCUCCAGUAAUUUUUUGGCCUACCUCUAUCCCGUCUGAAACCAUCAUAAGCUAAACUCUCGCACCUCCGAACCGAGGAAUUUGUGCCCCUCCUCAUCACAUACCCAAACCAUCUCAACCUCACUUUCCGCAUCUUGUUCUUCACCGAGACCACUCCUACCUUUGCCCUAAUAAUCUCAUUCCUAACCCUAUCUCCUCUAGUAACUCCGCACAUCUAACACAACAUUUUCAUUUCCACCACCUUCAACUUUUGGAUGUGAGAGUUCUUGACCGGCUAACACUCCGCUCCAUACAACAUGGUCGGAUGGACCGCCACUUUAUAGAACUUUCCUUUAACCUUGGGAGUUACCUUCUUAUUAUCACAUAAAAAUCCCGAACCUCAUCCUUAUAUGUCAUGUCACUGAACUUAUAUUCCAAGUAUUUUGUCUUGGUCCUACUCAACCUGAACCCUUUUGACUCCAGAGUUUGUCUCCAAAACUCUAAUUUAUCAUUAAUACCUCCCCGUAUCUCAUCAAUCAAAACCACAUUAUCUACAAAUAGAAUACACCAAGGCACCUCUUCGUGAAUAUAUCAAGUUAAGACAUACAUCACUAAGGCAAAGAGAAGCGGACUAAGAGUUGAUCCCUGGUGCAACCCUGUCAAAAUAGUAAAAUACUUUGAAAAAUCUCACACUGUCCUCAUCCGAUUCUUCGAUCCAUCAUACAUGUCCUUAAUCGCUUUAAUGUAUGCCACGGGUACCCCUCUUGACUCCAAACAUCUCCAGAGCACCUUCCUUGAAACUUUGUCGUACGCCUUCUCUAGGUCGAUAAACACCAUGUGUAAGUCUCUCUUUCUCUCCUUAUACAUCUCCAUUAGUCUCCACAAAAGGUGGAUUGCCUCUGUCGUCAAGCGACCGAACAUAAAUCUGAACUGAUUCUCCGAAAUAGACAUGGACCUCCUCAACCUCCGCUAACCAUACUCUACCAAAUCUUCAUAGUGUGACUCAACAAUUUAAUGCUCCUAUAAUUGUUGCAGCUCUGAAUGUCACCCUUGUUCUUGUAAAGAUGAAUCAUCACACUCCAUCUCCAAACCUCGGGCAUUUUCGUGGUCCUGAAAAUGCCAUUAAACAAUCUGGUCAGCCACCUCAAACAUGCCCCGUCUGAAUACUUUCAAAAAUUCAUUGGGAUCUCGUCAGGCCCCGUCGCCCAACAAUUAGAAUUCUACCUUAUGUAGGAAAGAAUUUCUGUAAUUUUAUUUAAAUAAUAUUUUGAAUCAAACUACAAGAAACAUACGAUUUCUUCUACUUUUUUUUUUUAAAUCGAUUCAAAUCUCUCUUCUUAUAUUCAUUGUUAUCACUGUUUACGCCUAUCUUUCUUUAUUUUAGUUGAUAGCUUUAAAGAUUAUACAGGAAUUAUACAUAAUUAGCAAUUGACAAUAGAAUUUUCCUUUUAAAUUUCUCAUGUUUUUCUUUCAGUUGUAAAUUUUUUAUCGAAAAAUUGGACGAAACAAUAUGUUGUCGUCAAAUGAAGUAGUUGAAAAAAAUAAAAGGUUAUUUCUUUGGCUUAUGUUAAUUACCUACGAUUUAAGUUCGUUGCGUAAGUGUUAUUUUGAUUUUGGGUUUUCGAUAUUUUUUUUAUGUUAUUCUUUGAUUUAGUUGUUGUUGUUAUUAUUAUUAUUAUUAUUAUUAUUAUCAUCGUCAUCUUGGAUUUGAUGAUUUGGUUUGUGUGAUCCAUUUAUAUUUCUAGGCGUUUCUCUAUUAUGAGUUGUUUGGUGUGAGCGUGUAAUAAUUCUGGGAUAAAAUUCAGGAUUAUUUUAUUCUUUAUUUGGUUGAGUGUAUUAGUUAGUCUCAAAAUUAUUUAUCUCAUCAUUUAUACCUUGAUAAUUCCUGUGGGAUAAUUUAUUCCCAACCAAAUGACCCCUGUAAAUCAUUAUAAGUAUUCUGGGAUGCACAAUGGACGUUUUCAUAGACUAGUAAGUAUAUAAGUGCCAAUGACCCUGUCAAUAAUAGUAUGGUUUUCGCGGACCAUGUUGUGUGGAAUGUGACAAUGCACCUGUUUGAACUGGGUUAUGAAAAAAUUAAUUAAAUGGGAUGAGUGACUUUGUAAGUAAUACUCUCAUAGUUUAGUAACUUUUGGAGUAAAAGCUAAAGUUGAGUAACUUUCUAAGAGAAGAGUCCUUAUUUGAGUGUCUUUUGGAGUAAAAAUUAAAGUUAAAUAACUCUUUGAGUGAAGAGUCAUAUGUUGGGUGACCAUUUGGGCUAUUAACCCUACAUCGUUGCAUAUACAAUUCAUAUAUAUUAAUUUUCUAAAGAUAUAUAAAACAAUACUUGUACAAAACUAAUUAUUUGGACGUUGAAAAUUUGUGUUUUUGACUAUUCUAUCGUGAUUGAAAUGUCUUUUUGUGUAAUUGAUUAAGGAAGGAAAAUGCAUGCUUGGACUUUCUUUUGAAUAUUUUGACAUGUAUAAGGUGUUGGUAUGGUAUAAUUGAGAUGCUUUUGUGAAUAGACGAAGUUAUAAUUCUCUAUUAUAUGAAUACACGUAAGUUGAGUGAUUGAUGUUCCACAAAAUAUCAAAAUUGAUAUUUUUUUAAGUACCUAAUCAUACCGAAUUAACUGAUAUGACAAUGGGACAGUAUUUUUAAAAUCAACAAUCAAAAUUACCGAGCUGAAGUAUUUAAUACCAGAUCCACCCCUAGUUAUGUCCACUUCGCCCAAUAAAUGACAGUGAGAAUUUGGGGGAGGUGCACAAAUAUUCGCUUUUGGGAUCAUUGUUUAACUUGUCUUUACUUUGUAAUUUUCUUUUCUUAGGGUUCCCGUGGGGGUGGGGGUGGGGGGGCAUGUUUAGCAGUUUUGGGAACAAUUCAGAUGUAGCGAUUGAAGUAGAAUUAACGAAUGAUUUCAAUUGUACAUGAUUGAAAUGGAUUUAAAGGUUAUUUUAGCUACGUGUGUCUAAAUGUGUUUGGCCAUUUUUUUCUUUUCAAAUUUCAACAAUUCGACACCCAAAUCUACUCCAAAUGCGGCUAAAUUUGAAUAAAUUCCAUAUAUCAUAACUUCUAUUACCCAGUGACUUUUUUAUGUUAAAUUUCCUGUGUUAGAUUACAAAAGCAACUACAUAUAUAAACUUUUGGUAUAAUCAAAUCAACUUCUUUGCUAUGGCACUAGAACUGAUCCUUUAACAUAUCUACUCAAAAUCAAGUGUUGUUCCCACACUUGAUGUAUUGGAUUUAAUGCAAAUCCUUUGGUCUCAGGCAAGAACAUCACAAUAGAAAUAGCAAUAACAGCAAUUCAACCAGCCCCAUACUUGAAGUGACAGAGCAUGGCCAAGAAUGUUUGAGGCAACACGAAUGUGGUGGCAAAGUUGAUGGCCACCCUUAUGCUUUGCUCCAUUAUUCGAAUGUUCAUUGGAAAUAUUUCUCUUGGAAUGGGCCAACUUAGAGGACCCCAUGACAAACCAAAACCAGCAGCAUAAAUGCACAUCAGGGCAAUUACUAAGGCAGCGUAUUGCUUGCUAAUGUGUUUGCUUCAGUUUUCGCCUAUAGAAGCUGCAAGAGUAGAAGCAAUAGCCACCUUCACUAAGAUCAAACGAAAUAUGUAAUUUCUAUUCAACUUAACUAUACACAGCUUGAAUGUAAGAGUUACAACUGUGUAAAGUAUUUACAUUAUAUACAUUAUUAGUAUAAAAUUUACGCUAUCAAUGCAAUUUAAAUUGUUAUAACAUGUUAUUACUCUAUUUUUCAAGCUACCUUAUUUGACUUGUUAUGAAAAGUUACAUGUUGUGAGUCAAUUCAACCUAAUGCUAUAAAGAAUAUUUAUGCACUUCGAUUGCAAAAAACAUGAACUCAUUAACCAGUAUGAAGAGAACUCAUGAACAAAACAUGAACUCAUGAACUCAGUUGGCGAUAAGCUAAAAACAUAAAUGACAGAUGAUCAUUUGCCCUCCACCCUGUAUGUAGAGAAAUCUCCGACCAAACCGAUCAAUAGUACUAGUAGACACAAGGAUAGAAGCAAGAUUUCCAAAUUGUUGAACCGUAAGAGUUGCGUACCAGAAUAGGGACCAGGCCCUCGAACACAUUCUACAGAAAAUAUCAAUAAAUAAGAACUUACAAGUAUAAAAAGUAAAUGACACAAGAUGUUUAGUAAAACCACGACCUACCUCGUAGGAUUUCUCAAUUACUUCACUAUCUUCAAGCAACAUUGAAUAGUCUGUAGUUGCAAGGUUUAGACUUUAAUCCUCAAAUAUCUUGCAACAACUCUAUUACAAGACACUACCUGCAAUAAUUCUUUUGCCACAAGCUGAAACCACUAACUCUAGCCAACUCAAUCCACAAACUAACUUUAGUCUUAGAAUGUCAAUAACUCUAGCUAACAUCUUCAUCAAGCAUAAGAAAGGAAGUUCAAAACAACUACAACAACUUUACUGGGGGGGAGAUUCUCGAAGGAUUCGUUGCCGCGUGAAAGAGUAGGAUUACACUUUUUAAGAACUAUUUACAAAGACUCAAAUACAACAAGGACUAAGCACAAAACAAGUUGGUCAAGCAGGCCUGUGUUGCUGAUGAGGCUUUGAAUGUGAACAAGACAACUUUUUUUGCUAGAAGAGAUCAAUUAGUUUUUUGUGAAUACAAAACUAGGUUUUCAUCCUUUUUCAUAUAUAUGACACAUGAAAACCUAGAACCAUUCUCAUUGGUUGAGGUGAAAAGUCUGCAACACCUAUGCUGUGUACCCAUCAAAUUUCUACCAAAAGUACAAAAUACAGUUGUAAUGCUUACUGCCAAGAAGUGCACAAAAUAACUAUCACGACUUGAGCCGGGAACCUGGCCGCGACGAGUAUCCCAAACCAACAAGGCCCGAGAGACCCCUUAAAAAGAAAUCAUAAGCAUAGAUCAUAUGGUAUAAAAGUGCAGAAGAUAAACUGAAAACACGGUAGUCCCUUAAUCAAACUUAAAACUUCAUAUCAUUGUAUCAAAGAGGAAAACCCAAACAAACCUAAAACAAUCGAGAAAUGAAAAUAAUAAUCUGUCUAAACCGGGACAAGGCCCCUGCCAGACCAUAACACCACUGAAAACUAACACAAUGCAUAUGACACCUUUCGAAGUAAGAGAGGCUCACCAAUUUCAGGAAUUCUGAAAUAAUCUAUUGGGUUGUAGGACCAUGGGACUGGGCCUCCAAAACUGAAAUAUAGAGGGCCAAUACUCGAAGGUAUUGGUACGUAGAAAAAUCCAAAAUAACAUAUAUUUCUUGUAACAUAAUUGAGAGCAUUGUGAAAAUAAUUUAUCAUUACAUACAUACAUACAUACAUAUAUAUGUGUGUGUAUAUAUAUAAACAUGGGCAUAAUUUAAAACUUUCAAAACACAUUCUUGUUAUCAUGGCACAAUUCUUUGCUUUACUUCUGCGCUAGAUGGUACACCCUAUAAUUCUGUAAUUCCAUAGGCUAUAUGGAAUCCGCAUUAACUCGGCGGCCAAGCUCCAAACCUAAGUUUGUCGCAAGGUAUGGAGUCUCUUCUCUCUACUAAGCAACACGGUCUUCGCCAUCACACAAUCCCCUAUUUCAGGGAAAAAUAAAACCCGUGCCCGCAAAAUAUGAUUUUGGCAAUGAGUUAUCUGAACUCGUGCCUUCUUUGGGUAACCAUAUAACUCUCUUUAAGCCCCAUGUUAGUCUCUUAAGAUCAUACUUCCUUCGUAUAAGAAUUUAUUUUCUUAUUCUGUUUAGGGCACAUCAUAACAAGAUAUCGUCAUACCCAACUUACAAGUCCUUCAUUUCAUACCACAUUAUAUCUAUAGCCCUUCUUAUUUCAAAGAAUGUUAUUCACCACUCAAAAUACUUAAACAUCAUAAGAGAUUUUAUAUUUCAAAAACAUAUGAUAAAACACUCUCUUUUCAAAAUUCUAACAUACGGUGCUCAUUUCCUUCAUCAAUUACAUGCAAUUCUCUAUUAGGAACAUGAGCAUUUAUAAAUCAAGGAAACACCUUCUUAUUUAGUCAUAGAAAAAGUAUAAUUCAUAAAUGACAGCAAACCUUCAAACUCAAGCGUUUAACCAUCCGUAUAAUCAACCCACAACAUGUAAAAACAAUGGGUUUCUUAGCAAGAGAGAAAAUUUUAUAAAUCAUGCUCUCAUAUAACUUCUCAAAACUUCUAACAUUCAUACUCAUGAAUAUAAUUCAUGUUUUGGGAAAACCCCCAUAAUUUAAAUAAGAUUUCAUCAUAAAACGGGGUUCCCGAUGCAUGCUCUUUAACAAUUUCCAAAAUUAUUUUCAUAUACAUACAUAUAUAUCUGUAAAACUUGUUAAAAACGUAAAGAUUUAUUCCUAUGAGAUUUAGGAUAGUCCUACAUACCUAUUUGAUGAACUAAAUUUGAGAUAUCUUUAAUCUAAGUCUAGGAAGCAUGAGUUUGUUGAAAGAAACCUAACUUUUCUCUCUUGAGAGUAUAUAGGAGAACAAACGAUAAAAAAUGACAUAAUAAUGGGCAAUUAGUGUUUAAGCCAUGUUUUAAGUCAAGGGGUAGGGUUUUAGGGUGAUGAAAAGACCAAAAUACCCCUAAAGAAACCAACUAAAAUAUAAGAUUUUCCUUGGCUAAUGAGCGAUCAACUUGGUGACGUCCCAUCAUCGUAGUUGUCAAUUAUAGAUGGAAUUUGGUCUUUGCUGGUUAAGAGCGACGACUAGGGUUGAUGCUGGCCACCUAGUUGACGGCUCGUCAACUUAUUCAUUACCUAGUUGACAACUCAUCAACUUUGUCAUCAUCUUUUUAUAGUUAGACACUCCAAAGUAAAAUACGCAUAACUUUCGACUCCGAUAUCGAAUUAAGGCAAAAUUGGCAGAGUUGGAAAGAAGAUCUGAAGAACUUUCAUUUGAUAUAUAGUAUGCCACCUAACUCCCUAUAUUCUGGGAGUAAUAGUCAUUAGAAGUUGACUUAAGUUGAAACAUUCACUAAAACAUAAUCGGUAGAAGAGCUCUCAACUCGUCUUUGAGUUAGGAGAUUUUUGUGACCUUAAUUCAUAUUCAAGGUUAUUCAAAAAUUAUAUAAUGGAUAAUCAUACAUAUACUAACAUGGAAUCAUAUAGGUUUAGGACUACAUGCGCAAGAAUGAUGAUUUGAAUUCUAGCUUGAAAAUGCGGGGUGUUACAUUAUCUCCCCCUUGGAAUUAUUCGUUCUCAAAUGAUGGGUAGGAACUUGUUAAAGCUAUAGAAGUAUGGAAUAAAGAAUGUAACAUCACAUUAGGAAUUUUUUUUCACAACAAAACAUACAUAGUCAUUCAAGAGGAGUUUCAUGACAUCACCAAGUAAAUUGUAUACGCAAAAAUCAUGAGAUAACGACUUAACAUAGACAUGACCUUGGCAUGUGUUCUAUGGAACAUGAUCAUAACAUUGUAAGGCAUGAAUUAUUCCUACAAAUCCUUGCCUGAUUAAUAUUCUAACGGGACAUAAGAAUCAAAUAGAAACAUUCUCUACCUCAAAUGAUACAUCUACUAGCCUUUAAAUAUCACUAUACUUCUCAACUAUGAUUUUAUCUACAAUACCACAUUUCACCAUUUCAAUCUUAGAUUUUCCAACACAACACAUUGCUACAAGAGCUGGAGUCUAGAUAUACCUUGCUUUCAUGUUUAACCCUAACCCAAAGUUAAAAGAUUGCCAACUUAAGCUAUGGGUCUCUAUACUUUACAUCUAUCCAUGAAUACUACUCCAUCCUAUCAUUGUAGUCAAACAACAUCAUAACAUAGAGCUUGAAUACUUGGAAGAUUUGAUUACCGAUACAUCAUUGCCUAUAGUUUGGAGGUCGGAGCAUGACAAAAGGUGCAUCGAGAACUAGAACCAUAGGCAUAGGCAUGACUUGAAUACAUAAGACAUUUGCAGAAUGGACUCUUAAAUUGAAGUAGGAGAAGUUUUCUCGAAUAGAAAUAGAUUUAUCAUGACUUUUCCCUGAAAUUUGCCACCGUGAGAAAAUUUAGAAACUACCUUAACUCAUCAUCUCCCCCUUAGAUCAAAGUCAUAAUCCUAGACUUUAGGACAUAUAUUCUUAUUAAAUCUACAAGCACAACACUCAAUACAAUGGGGUAUCACCAUACACAUAAUUGCCAAACUCCCCCUAAUAAACUAUAUUCUAAAGGAAUUGCUUUCCGGGAACGCUACUCUUAACUUUUGCUAGCCUCUAUAUCCAUCACCCUACAACUCAUAGUCUCAUGAACAUACAUAUCCUCACUCCUUAUCAUAUAAAAAUAACUCUCUACUACUUAAUAUUCUACCCUUAGACCUCUCAUUACAUAACUUACAACUUAAUAAAAUUUAUAAAACUAUACCAAAGACGCAUAUUGCCUACCUAUAUUUCCUCAAUUCAAAUCUAAUGAAAACCAUACAACAAAUCCCUAGACUUCUCCAUAAUACAAAAUUCAAGAAUAUGAACUAGGUACACAUGACACUUAUACGUAUAAAAGCUUAUCUAAUAAUAUGCUAACAUAUGCUAACUGGGGGUUCAACUUAUUAUUAUAUACUUACACACUCAUCCACCUUAUGACACAACCACAAUUCAUCGUUUUACUCUUAUCCUCAUGUAUAUAUAACACAAUUGUCCACGCAUUAUUCCAUAAGUUUCAAAUCUAGGCUAUUGCAUAGAUUAAACCAAGCCUACUACUUACUCCCACAAAACAUGCAUCAUUAAUCUUAAGCUACUAUUAUUACCAUCAUAAUCCAGAUCUAAAGUUCAAGCCUAUAGUAUAGCACUAAUCAUGCACCGUGAUUACACCGCGUCAUGGUGAGUAUUGCAAUGAGCAUGCCACCGCAUUGCGAUAAAGCCUCUAUCGGCACUCCAGUUCCAAACUUAUAAUUCCAAGGGUAGCUUAGUCUUUUCCCAAGCCCCCAAAUCAUAAUAAAUAAAAGAUUUAACCUAUUCUAAGUAUGUUAUAUUGAUUUUUAACCAAAUUUCUCUCAAAGAAAACCCUAGAUCUUUAAUUUCAAACCUCAAGAAACCCAAAAUUUCACCAUUCUUUUUCCAAGAUAAUCCAAAAUUCAAGGUUCCCAAUUUUAGAACAUCAAGAAACAAUAUUCAAGAGCACAAAUAGGGAUUCAAAGUCAAGUGUCUUCAUCAAUUUCAUUAAUUAAGGUAUUUAAGGUUAUGAACAAGGGUACUUCUUCUUUUCUUGUGCCUAAAAUAUGUGGCAUACUUUUUUAGUAGUAAGGGAGAGGUGGAGAAGACUAUAUAUCAACCCAGACCUUAUAAAAGAAUAAACACAUAGUAAGAAGGAAUGUGUAGUGAAUUUGGUUGAUGAAAUUGACAUGAAAAAUAAAAAAAAUGAAUGAGCUACAAAUGUGAAAAUGUAUCCAAAAAUAAAAAUCCGUCAGUUUAUUUUGAGAAAAAAUGUUGAAGUGGUCUAGAGCUAUGCACUUUGUUAGGGGACUACAACUUGCUAGUAUGGCUUGAAUGAAGACCCACAAAAUAAAAUACCAAAACACUAAGUUUACAGCUUUGCAAGAAUCGAGGGUGGUAAGAUUAUCGGUCAAAAACAAAACCUGAACCAACAACUCCUGAAUUACAAAUAAAGGAUCAAGCCAAGGUGGAAAUUUCUGAAGUUAAACUUACAUCCCAGGCCUUCGGCUUGUGGUUCUAGUCUGGUCAAAGGCAGAGGAAGCAAAAAGGCAUAUAAUUUCUGUCUAGCUUCAGACCUUUUUUUUUUCUACUACCAUUGACCAGAUCAAAACCACAAACAGAAGGUAUGGGAUACAAGUUAUACUUCAUAAAUUGACAUCUUGGCUUCCUUUAUUUUUACUUCUGGAUUUGUUGGUUUAGGUUUCAUUCUUAACUGAAAAUAUUACCAAUCCUCUGUGCUCGCUAAGCUGCUUCCUUAGAGUUCUGGUCCUACAUUUUGUGGAUUUUCAUUCAAGCCACACUAGCUAGUCGUGGUCCCUAGAAAAGUGUCCAAAUCCACUCCUCUUUAGCAUUUUUCUUUUUCAAGAAUGACUGAUGGAUUUUAAUAUUUUGAUACACUUUCACAUUUGCAGCUCAUUCAGUUUUUCAUCUUUUUGGUCAGUUUCAUUGGCCAGAUUAGCUAGAAGUUCCUUACUUGCUUCCCUGUGUUUCCUCUUAAACAAGGUCUGAGAUGAUAUAUGGUCUUCUCCACCUCCUCUUUCCUAUAUAGGUAUUUUCCCAAGCACCUUUUGCUAUACAAUAGUCUCCUCGAGCAACCCAUCCAUUAAAUUUGGACCAAGGGAAUUUUGAUUGUUUUUUCCAUUCUUGGUUAUUGCAGUGGAAGGAUUUGUAGGCCAUCUCAGAGUCCUUUGCACCAUUAAAAUUGGUCCAAUCACUAUUAAAUGUUUACAAUGCCAUCAUAAUAUUGAUCUCUUCUCAGAACUUGAUGCAUAAACAUGAGAAAAAUCAUCAUUAAAUUGAAAUAGGGUAUCGAUACCACCAUCUUAGAACCCUUUGGCCUUAUCAGUUUACACUUAUCAAGCUAACUAUAAAAUGCAGGAUUUUGUUUGAAGGAUCAAUUUCUAAUCGGUAAAAAAUUACAUUCACAAAAUCAUUGUACUCUAUGUGUGUCUAUCAUGAAAUCCUGAUCAAUGAUACAUAACUUCCACACAUGAAAGUGGAUCUAUCCAUCUGCACAUACCUUAUUCUUCUUACCCCAUCAAUGUCAGACAAUAUUUAUUCUUAACUUCCCAUCAUUAAGUAGUGUACAAGACUACUGAGGCUCAAAGGGUAACCAUCUUCAAUGUCAAGGGACUGCAUGUCUGUCAAGAAAAAUAAGUGCUACAAGUCGUGACUUUUCACCUUUUUUGUUUUAAUAUAUUUUUUAAUUUUAUAUAAUAAAACAGUCACCAAUUUAAAUUAAUUAAGGUAUGUGAUGGCUAUAAAAAAGAGGUGAACAGUUGUGACUUUUUGUCUAACACAUUAAAAAUAACCAAUGAAUCAAAUUCCCUAUUUUUUGCAACUGAUGAAUCAACUAUUAGAAGAAAUUAAAACAUGUCUUCCAACAGACGGUCCAUCUAUUGCAAUAGAUAAUCCAUAUGUUGUAAUAGAUAUCUUAUCUAUUGCAUACAUAGACCAUUUGUUGUGACAGAUGGAAAAUCUGUUGCAACAACUCAACAAUAAGGGUUGUUAUUAAGAGAGAAACCAUUUUGAAAAGGUGAGAAGUUUGAAUGCAAAAGAAACAAAAAGUUAGCAGUUUAAAUAUAAUUAAUACAAUAGAGCUGAACAAUCGUUCCUUUUUACCUAACAGAUACAGAUUCAAUCCUUUAUAAAUCCGUCCCUCCUUAAUUUUCAUUCUACUCUAUUUUAUUUAUUUCUUACAUUUUUUCUUUUCGUAUUACAUAUUCAACCACUUUUCUUCAAAGAAAUAUUCCUUUCUCAUUGUGGUAAGUUUUUUUUUGUAUGUAAAUCUACCAGUUGGCAGUAUACGUUGUAUUAUAUUUGAACUCUUUUCUUUACUAUUGUGUUUAUGUUUUUUUUCAAUUCAUAUGUGUUCUAGAUAUGAAUCAGCCUAUUUGGGACAUUGCUAUUCUGUACAACACCGUGCAACAACUUCAGAGGCAGGUUAAUGACCAGUAGUGAGAGUUGGUCGCCGUGAGAGCAAGAAUGUUUGGAGAGAUGUGCAGGCUGAGGAGGACCCUGCUACUGCCGAUCGACAAUUGGCCAGCUGACAAUAAUAAUAAUAAUAAUGAUAAUAAUAUUUUGGUGAUGUUUUUUCUUUUAGCUUAUGUAUUUUAAUUCUAUAUUUAGUGUAUUUUGUUUUUGUUUAAUGAAAAAUUUAUUUUUGGUCGACUUUGGCUUUUUAAUUCUUAUUUAACUUUCAUUUUGUCUAUUUCUUAUUCUGAACAAACGUAUCGAUGGUUGGACGUAAGGAGCAAUUUUGAAUCUAGUAGCAAUACCAAGAGUUUUGAGUUUUUUCAACAAAUAGACCAUCUGUUGAAAUAGAUUUGUCAUCGGUUGGAUUUUUAUCAGUAGAUUAUUCAUCUGUUACAACAGAUUUGUUCUAUGUUGAAGGAACACAUUCUAGUUUGAUGAAUUGUAUUGUGUUCUUCCAGCUACUGUCCAUCUAUUAAAAUAGAUGGGUAAUCUAUUGAAAAUAAUUUUGUGGUCUGUUGUAUUUAGUUCCUGUUUUGACUCUUUUUAUUGAUGUAUAGGUUAUUUAAAAAGAUAUUUUAUAUAAUAAAUGAUAACUUUUAUGUUCACAAUAAUGAGUUAAAUUUAUAAAAGUCCAUAACAAACAACAACACAAGUUUUUGCUAUCACAUCAAUCAAGGUGGAUUACGAUUCGAGCAUGUUGUUGUUUUAUGGCCAAUGUUCUUACAUACAUAACUGUCACAACCCGAACUAGGGCCUGGCCGUGAUGGACAUCCCAAACCACGAAGGCCCGAACGUCCUACUCUAUCUGGUAAUCAUGCACAACAUUCACGUAAUAAAAGAAGAUGUGGAAAUAUAAUCUGAUAUAGAAACAUGGUCAUACUCUAGAUUUAGUUUAACAAUAAGGAAUGAAAUCCAAAAUCAACUAAAUAACCUCUAGAAUAGUCUGCAAAAUCUCUACUACAUAAUCUAAUGACAAUUGUCUAAAAAUAGGGACAAGGCCCCCAGUAGACCAAAACAAAGAAAUAACAUAAUCUGAAAUGACAGGCCUUCUGGAAUAAAGAAGGAUCACCACUGCACGAAUCACUUCUCUCUGGAUACUCUACUGAUUAGCCGGACCCCUAGACUGAGCCUCUAAACCUAGGAGGUAGAGGGUCAAUACAAUUGUACUGGCACGCAGAGCAAAUCCAAAAUAAUCAUUUAUAUUCAACAUAGAUGAGAGAAAUAUAACGCAGUUCAUAAAUAUAUCAUAUAGUAAGAAAUCACAUGGGCAUUUCUGAAAGACUUUGAAAAAUUAUCUGAACUCUGUGACAUUCUUUGUUUUACUUUUGCGCUAGGUGGUAUACCCUACAAUUUUGAAAUUCCAUGGGGUAUAUGGAAUCACCAUUGACUCGGUGGGGAAGCCUCAAACCCAAGUAUGCCGCAAGGGUUGGAUUCUCUAACUAAUAUACCUGGAUUGGAAAAUCAUAGUUUUAGGCUAAGAGUUACUUGAACUCUAGCCCUCUUCAGGAAACCACCUAACUCUCUUUAUUGACAUUUUUAACUCUUUAAGACAUGCAUUCUCUGAAACAUACUCUGAAAACUCUAACUCUAUUAUGGCAUACAUUUAUAUGGUAUCAUCAUACUAUUGACUUGCAAGUCACAUUCUCUGAGACAUUUAUAGCAAAUUAUAUCUCUGUUCUCAAAAUCCUGGAAUUCAGGACCACCAUGCCAAUGAUUCUUUCAAUAAACUCGUGUAAAACUAUUCAAGUAAUUCUCUUUAUCAAUGAUUCAGUAAACAAAGGUGGUCACAUUAAAAGUCCCAAUCUCAUGCAAUUCUUUCUCUUUAACAUCAAUAUAGUUAUAUUAAGAAAUACCCUCUCUACAAUUCAAAAGUAUAUUCAAGUACUAUGACACUGAGAAAAUAUAUUUCAAAUCAUAAAACAUGCAUUUCAACUCUUUUCCAACAAAAAUCAAAAUCUUUAAUUCAUGACAAGAGAGGGAGUCCAUAAUUUAUGCUCUCUAACAAUCUUUAAUCUCAAUUCCAUACAUAUGAGUAUACAUGUAAAUCAAUUUAGGGGGAAAAGACCACAAGGCCAAAGCAAUGAUAACAUUGAAACAUUCAGAAUACAUAAUCAAAACUAUAGUUUUCAAAGCCCCUUUAAAAUACAUGCAUCAAAACCUUUAAAUCAUGCUUUAAUAUUUUCAAGCCCAUGUAGUUUUUAGAAUAAACCCCACGUACCUCAAAAUAAGAAAUUAGAUGGAUGAUUGUUAAAGCCUACGAUUUGGGGAUUCCAAAUCUUCAAUCAAUCUUGAAAGCCCACAGUUGAAUCUUGAGUUAUUUGGAUUUUUAGUUUGAAACCCUAGAGAGUGUUCUUGAGUAAUUUGGAUGAUUGUGAAUGUAUUCUGGUGUCUUGGGGAUUAAAUCUCAUCUUUAAGCUGAUAAGGGGGUGAAAAACACCCAAUAUACCCUUAAUGAGACGGAAUAAAAAUAUAACUAGGGGCCCAAUUUUAUGGGCCACCGCGAUGUACCACAAUCGUGGUAGCUCUUGGACUUAAACUAGCCAUAACUUCUUGUCCGGGUUUCGAAAUUGGGUGAAUCUUAUAUCAACAAAAAGCUCAUUCAAUUUCCCACAUGAUAAAGUCAAAAUUAGGGAAAUUAUACAUGGUUUAACCUUUACUAAUUUUGGAAGCCAAAAAUGAGACUAAGUCUCUUUGACACUAUUCUAGUUAUUUAACUCUAAGAGCUUAUUACCACGAGUUAAUGCAUGGAUGAUUUUUGUGGGCUGUUAGAAUAACACUUGUUUUUUAAUGAUGCAAAUAAUUAUCUGAAUCCACGACUCCUCUUAUAUGGCCCUUUUUCUGGUUUGAUAGUGCUUGGGUCAAUAUAUAGAGGAGGUAUUAAUCUCCCCCAAAAGAUGUACAGGAACAUUCCAAGAUUCUUCAGGAGGAAUUAGAUGUAAUACCCCAUAUGUUCCUAGUUUAGCUCAUUCCCUAGUAAUUUCUUAAGAAAAUUAGAACCUGUAAAUAAGACUAAGUGUUGAGGGGCUUAGUCACUUUUUAACUCUCUUUAACUUCAAGGAUUUUUAAGUUGACUUUUUGGGUUCCUAGACAAUAGUUUUUGAGUUGAUUCAUGUUCAUGGGUAUAAGUAGCAUGUCUCAAAUAAGUUUUGGGUUUCUUGGGUGGGGUUUGGACAACGUUUGAUUUACCCAAAAAUCAGCUCAUCGUGAUUAGACUGUAUCAUAGUGAAGGGCAAAUCGGAAAUAGUCUGAUUCCAUUAAUUCACCGUGAUUGCACUGCAUCGUAGUGAAAAUCAUGAUGACAGCCUUGGCGCAUCAUGGUGAGGGUCAGAAUCAGGUUCUAGUUACAAAUUUUAAUUACCCAAAGGUAGUCUUGUCAGUUGCCCUCACCCCAAGUCAUGAAAAUAGAAGAUUUAACCCUAUUCUAAGAAAAAUACACCCAUUCCUCACAAAUAUUUCUCUCCAAGUUUGAAUUUCCCAAACAAUAUCUCACCCGAAUUAGACCAUGUCGCAGUAAGUAUAGUGGUGGAGGAGUCACCACAUCGCGGCGAAGGGAAAAUUGCAAUUGUCUGAUUCUAUUGAGUCACUCCGAUUGUACCACAUCGCGGUGGUAAUUGCAGUGACAUCCUUGGCGCAUCGCAGUGAGGGUCUGAAUCAGGUUCCAGUUAUGAAUUUUAAUUUCCUAAGGGUUAGUCUUGUCAUUUGCCACCACCCCAAGUUAUGAAAAGCAAAGAUUUAAUCCUAUUCUAAGCAAAAUACACUCAUUCCUCAUAAAAAUUUCUCUCCAAUAAACCCUAAGGCUUCAAAUUUAACUCUAACAAAUCCAAAGUUUCACCAUUUCGUUUUCCAAGACAAUCAAGAGUUCAAGUUUUUUGGUUCAAGAACUUCAAGAAGAAGCUUCAAGAAAAUCAUUAGGGAUUAAAAAUUCUAGCUUCUACAUCUAAUUAAUCAAAUAAGGUAAGUGGGGUUAUGAACAAGGAUACUUCUUUGAUCCUUGUACCAAAAACUAGUUUUUAAAGUUUAAUUUACAUGAAUUUACAUGAUUUACAGUUUAGGGCUCAUACCCAAAUAUAAUUGUUUGAAGUUUAUGAAGUUACAAGUAAUUUAUGCGUUAAAUUACAUAGUUAUUUGCACACAUUCAUGUAUGACAUCUAAUUUUAUGUAUUGAGAAUUGAAUUUCAUUAUCUUGACUAGAAUUGUUAAGGAAUCUCAAGAGUUUUUACUAUUGAGCAUGAACUUUGUGAUGAUUUCAUAUGAGUUUAAAGCAUAGGUUUGUAAGCCCUAAGUUUAAAUAUUGAUGUUUCAAGAAGAUUAUAAUUUUAAGCACCUUCUGAUUAGUUUAUAUUCAAAUCUUGAACAAGAUUUGAUUGUUUGAUCCUCAGCUAAGAUAUGGAAUCCACUUUACAGUUUUGAUUACAGUUUAAAGUAAACAGAUGCAUAACUAGUUUUCAUUGUAAACCCUUAUACAAGUUUUAAAGUUGAUUUUCUAAAGAAUGAUCAUACAUCUUAAAGGGAGUAGUAUUUAGCACUGAGUUGGGUAUGAUUCCAAGAUCUCAUGACCCAGAACUAUGAGUAAACGUUAGUUUAGAUUAUUAGAUUAUUCUAAUUUAUAUGGAUGCAGAUACAGAUUGUGAUCACUUAGCUUAGGUUAUACUCCUUGGCAAAAGUAUGACACUUCUCCCUAAUGUGACGUUUUUCCUUAAGGGGAACUAGACAUUGGACACUAUGAUAUCUCACAUAGUGUCUGUCAGUUAGAAGAAACUCCUGAAAUCCCAAAAUAGAAUGGUAGAACAGAUUUUAGAAACUAAGUGUAAAGGCUCACAAUUUAUUUCAAAUAUUAUUUUACAUGAGACAUUCGUUAUGAGAUUUCAGCUUUUAGUUUUCAUAUAAAAAAGGUGAGUCUUUUCUAUACUUAGCCUACAUGAUUUGAUAGCAUAUUUGACUUCAGUCCUAUUUAUCCUACAGAUAGAAAGAGUAAUAGCACAACUUUUAGAACUCUGUGUGAUGGCUCACAAAGAUUGUCUUUGUGCUUUAUUACAAUUAUAUUUAUAUUUCUUAGUUUUUACAUUCUUUAAGCCAAUGUGAGUCAUUUACACUCAGCAUGCAUUAUUUACAAGUUAUAUGUACUUUCAAAUAAUGUUUUACUACACCCCACAUGCUCAGUACAUUUCAAAAGUACCGAUCCAUAUAUAUGUCUGUAUGCUACUUUGUUUAAUAAUGUAGGUUCAGGUGCUCAAUUUCAGCAGCGUGACUGACUGCAAGCAUCCCUAUCUACAUCAUGACAGUUGGUGAGUCCCCAUAGUUUGGUGACCCAUUUAUUCAAAUUUCUAUAUUUAUAAAGUAGUUUAUUCAUUUGUUUUUAGUCUGUUAGAGUAAGAUGGGGGUCUGUCCUAGCUACUCUCUAGCUAUUAGUGUUAGAGACUUGUCUGACAAUUAGAUACAUUUUAGAUUUACAAUGUUGGUUGUCUAGACUUCCUGGUUAAAUACUUUUAGACACUAUGUUCAUUAAAUUCAGUCCAGUUCAGACAGUGGAUUCAAUAUUUCAGUGUUUUGCAUGCUUAGAUUUCCUUUAUUUUGAGUUUAAAAAUGAGCAACAAGAAAAUAGGGUUGGCUCAGGACUACUUGUAGUUCGAAGUAUCGUGUGACAUUUUGAGACUUAUUUCUGAGGUGUUAAACUAGAUUAAUAUUAUCACUAUAUGCCAUUAUAUAUUUUUCCACAAAAUAAUAUGGAGAGAAGCACUCAUAAAUUUUAGUUUCAUAUUGUGCACUGUAUUGAGCUCGAAGAACUUCCAUAGCAUGUGGAUAAGGUAUUUUGUCCAAGUCAAAAACUCUACACGUAGAAGAUCUUGUUUGAAGAUUAACCGUGAAAACAUCACCAUGACCAUCGAUAAUAAAAUUGUAAUCAUCUAUUUGAUGAGAAAAUAACCUAUUCCCUAGACUGAUGUUCGUUGAUAUUAUUUUUUUCUCUUCUAGAAAAAAUUUGGUUCCUGCAUUCUCGAACUUCACAUGCCUUUUGUGAAAUUUUUUUCCACUUCUAAUUUAUUAUAUCAAAUAGAGCCAUGUUGGGAAAUUCUAUUUCAUUACCAAACAAUGAAUCCACCAAUUCAACUCUGUUUGAUGUCAUAAUGUUGUACCUAUACAAAAGAACCGCUUAGUACAACAUCAUACUGGACUUGUAACUCAAACAACACAUUAAAUUCAUAAGAAUGUACCUAUUUGCUAGACAGAAUGCCUGGCUCUAUGUCUCAAAAAUAACAUGUAUGAGAUGUUCUGCUUCCUUGGUAUGAAUAUCCAUUACUUGAUUGAAAUGGUCUAAAAACUCUUCUUUAUUAUAUGCUCUAGAUUCUCUAUAAAAAAAAGGUCACGACCCUUUCGUUGUGAAAGUUGUUCUAAAUAUUAUCUCCAAAAUGCCUUAUGCAACAACUAAAGUAAGCUGAAGUGUAGAAAAUUGAACUCUACUUUGGAAUACUUUGAUGCCUAUCCAAAACAAAACACAAAUCUUCGGUAUCUGCAAUGCAACUUCACAUUUGUUCAAAAAAAUAUCCAUAAGAGGCAUCACACUCUUUUUCCAUUAUACAAAAAGUGACAGUACAGAUAUGAUUCUCCACAUCUUGUGCCACUGUCGCUAGCAAAACUCCAUUAUAACUGCUCCUCAAGAAGGUCUCAUCGACGGCUAUGACUUUUCUAAAAUGUUGAAAACCUUGAAUCCAAGAACCAUAGGAUACAAAAAAGUACUUAAACCUUCUAUUUUCAUCAAUAUGCAACUCCGUCUUACAUUUGGGAUUUGUGGACUCAAGCAUGUAAUGGUAGGCAUCGAGGACUGCAUACUCGUGCUACUGUGUCCCCCUAAUCAAGUACUUGGCAAUCCCUAUAGCCAUAUAUAUCUUCCAAUAACUGACCAUGACAUAUAAUUCCAUACGGAGUUGAUUGGCCAUAUCCCUUUUAGAAGGGCCUUUGCCAUUGGGGAAUAUAUUCUUGAAAUAUUAAUCAAGGACCUUUACCGUGAUGUGAGGAUUUUGGCCCAAAAUAUUCUCCGUACUAUAUGUGUGAUAAUUUUCAUAUUUAUGUAUGAUGAAUUUGUCAGAAAUUAAUUAUUUCACUGCUCUCAACCACCACUUCCAGUUUGGAUUAGCACAUCUGAAGCAAAAGACUUUGCUCAAAUUAAUCAUCUUCAUUAUUCUGAAAUAUUUUUUCAACCAAUCAAUAAACAAAGAAGUAGACAGUUGGUACUUAUCCUUGAAUGACAUUCCCCUGUAAAAGUUAGUCUCAUUAUCUUGAUGACUGCCAGACUGUAUCGAUCGAGAAGAACUGUCCAGUGUAUUGCUCAUAGUAAUGGGCAUAGGUAUUGAAUCAUCAUCUGAAAUAUUCAUGUCUAAAUCAUCCAACAUAUUAUCAAAGAUGUCUUGUUAUUGUUCUUUUUCUAUAUUAUGGUUCUUAUUCUCUCUCGAUUUUUCAACCAUGUACACCCUUAACACCAGCUUGGGUGAAUCACUAAGGUAAGCACGCAACUGAACAUGAUUGGUUAUCUUGAAAGGUAGUACCCUCUGAUUUUCAAAGUAGUUGUGCAUGUAGUUGAUAACGAGUUCUUCGAGUUAAAAAUUUAUUCCAUAAUAACUGAUGAUUAAGUUCACAAAAUCAUCAUACGAAAUAACACUUUGGACUAUUUUAGCUAUCAUAUCUUGUGUUUCACCCUCCAUCCAAUGCCAUACAUAUCGAUUACUCUUUUCAAUCCAUUGACCAUGACAAUCCACCCUUAUUGUUAUUGAUCCUUCCAUUAGUGGUACCUAAAUAAAGUCAUUUGUUAAAAAAAUGUUAAUAAUGAUAUCAUAAUAAAAUUAAUGGCGAUUUCAUGGUGUCGUAAUAUGAACCCAAAAGAUAUGUAAUUUGUUGCAAUAGGUGAAAAAUAUGUUGUAAUAGGUAAGUGAUCAGUUGCAACAGAUUACUUACCUAUUGGAAUUCAUGCUACAGUCCUGAAGUUGAUUUUAACAGAUGAGUCAUUUGUAGUAAUGGUGAAUCAUAUGUUGCAACAGAUGAAACAUCUAUUAGAAUAGAUGUUACAGUACUAAUGAACCUUUAAAAUAGAUUCCAACAGAUGAUUGACAUGUUGCAACAAAUAACUAACCUAUUGAAGUAGAUGACUUACCUGUUGCAACAGAUGACACGUCUAUUUGAAUCGAGUUCAGGUUUUAUUGCAAUAGGUGACUAAUUUAUUACAAUAGAUAUUUACUAUAUUGUAAUAGAUAACUAGUCUAUUUCAAUAGAUAACUAGUUCGUUUGAUUUUUAGAUCCAAUUUUCUGUGUUGAACUCUUCACUGGUUUCAAAUAGCCACCAAAUGAAAACUUUAGUGAAAUAAUCUUGGAUUCAAAUUUGGAUUGUGCCAGCAGAUUUGAAAUAUCAAUUUUAAUCCAGGUAGACCUUUGAUUUGAUUUUCAAUGCACCCGAGCUCAUUUCGACCUAUUGGUCAAAAAGUUAAAAAAUCAAAAUAUGGGUAUGAGACUCACAUUUGGUUGAAACGAACUUUGAUUGAAAAUCCAACUUCUCCAUAGCGUCUGAAAAUUUGAUUUUAGGCUAGGGGGACCCUUGAUUCAGGCACCAAGGAUUCCAAUCUUAUUUUGGGCUAUUGACUGUAUUUUAUGAAAAAGGAAACUAUAGGUGUUGGCUCCACUUUUUGUCGAAACAAUCUUGGAUAAAAGUUUUGAUGAUUUAAAUGGAUUUGUAAUGUGGUUUACCCUUAAAUUUCACUGUUGAAUCAUGUGAUUUGAGUUCUAAAUGAGUUCUGAGGGUCAAAAAUAAGUUUUUGACUUUGCUGUCACAGGGUACCAUGUCUCUUCGCCGAAAAGGUCUAUAAAUAGACCCAAAGGUCGCGAAUUAAGGGUUUUUUAUUCAUCCUUGAGAGCCUAAAACCUUAUAUGGGUAUGAUGACACAAAAUUAAUCCUUGUGGGUGUCUAGGGAGAUUGGUAAACAUCCAUUAUCAUGAUUUUCACCUAGUUUAAGGUAAGAUUUCAUCACUUUAUUGAUAAAUUUCUUGGUUUUGACCCAAAACUCCAAAUUCACUUAGGACUUGAUUUUAGCCUAAAGAUUUCUUGAUUUUCAUUUAUUUUUUAGGGUUGUAAUUCCUUUUUCCUACAUGAACAUUGGGUUGACUUUGGAAAUCUAUUUUCCAUAAGUGAAACCCACUUGGAGUUUUUGGCGUCAUUUUUGGACUCGAAGCACAAUAGUACAAUAUGGGUAUUUUUAGACUCAUAUUGAUGAUUAGAUUAUGAUUUUAAUAGUGUACUGACAUUUUGAGGAUUGUGAAAUAAAGAUGGGUGUGUGGUGCAUGAAGUGAGAUUUUACGGUUUGGCGUUGAGGUAGGCUUCUUUCUACUUUUAUUCAUAGAUGAUGUGUGAUAUCUAUUGCGUGUGAAUAUAGAUGUUAGGCUUGAUUAUGAUUAGGAAAACUUGGACUUGAUUUUUGAUGUUUGGAGAUUAGAUAAGGGCUUUAGACCCGUAAAAUGGCAGGUUUAUAACCUUUUUGAAUCCUAUUGCUUUUUGUCUCUAGUUUAUAUUUGUUGUAGCGUGGUUAAAAUUUAAACCAUUUUUGGGAUAUGGUUUAAUCUUUUGAAGCAUGAUUUGUAUAUUUGACCUAUUUGGACUAGUGUGGUAAUCUUGAAGAUGUAAUUUGGGUAGAGUUGACUUGAGUACCCUUGUUUCUAGUCGAAAUUGUUAUCUUAGGUUUGAAUAUGAAUUAUAUGACAUAUAUAAGAUCAAAUAGAUACCUUACCCUAGUUUAGGGCAUAGUGUGCCAAAUCAUGGAUAUUGGGGAUUAGGAGUGGGAUCGUUCGGCCUGCUUAGGCCCAAACUUGUGUUAAGUUUUGUGGAUUUAGUUGUGGAUAUUAGACAUAGACGAGGCUAGUAAACCUUAAAAUAAGGUUACUUCAUAACUUGGUAACUUGUAAUGAUGUUCCCGAAAUUUGUCUUUUGGGUUGUGGUUAUGAUACUUCUUGUGGAAGUAAUAUUAGGCAUUUAGAGAUGAUAUUCCUCUUAGAUACGUUAUUUGGCCUUUAGAGAUGCUAUUUUUUCUUAGAGUUGAUGAUUGGCCUAUAGAGAUGCUAUUUCCUCUUAGACUUGAUGAUUGUCCUAUAGAGUUGCUAUUUCCUUUAGUCAUGAUUAUUGGACCUAUAGAUAUGAUGUUCUUCUUAGAUAUGCAAAUUAGACUAGAGAGUUGAUAUUUCUCGUAGUCAUGAUGUAUGACCCAUUGACAUAAGAUAUCCUUGAUGUGUGAGCCGAUGCUAACACAUUUGAAGCUUUUAACUCUAAAUAAUUGCGAAGUCUUAAGCAAGUUUUGUUGUUUAUAAUCAUUUAGUGAGUUAAUGCAGAUACAAGUGAUCAGGGAAGAAACAAAAGAAAAGAAGAAUAAAACAAUUGGUAAUCUGGUGGAAAUAAGCUAAAAUAUAUCUGACGAUCAUUUUAAAGCGCUGUCAUACAUGGGAUAGGUUGUCAAAGUCACCGUCAACAUUAGACAGAACCUGAGAAGAUUUGAUUAACUGUGAUGAUGAUUCAAAAGGGACACCAAGAUCAUUGACAUGCCGUUAGGAUUACAGUCUAAAAAGUUAGAAAAUAACAAUUCACUAAAAUCUUUGAUGACAUCUCGCAUACGUCGUCAGGUGUCUGACGCGCCAUCAAAAGCAUCGUUGUCUGAUCCAAAGAGAAAAUUGAAACUUUAACUUUAUUUCCUUACUUAGGGUUGACUAUUUAAAGACUUGUUUUAGGGUUUUUAAGGAGGAUUGGUCAUUAUCUAGGAGACAUUAACUCUGAGAAGAGAGGGACGAACAUUGAUCUCUUUCAUCAAUUAUUCUUCUUGUUUCUUAUCAACUAUUUUUGGUCUUCCACCUUAUGAUUAAAUUAAAGGAAGUAAUUGUUAUUUUUCAUCUAUUCAUAAGUUCAUCCUUAUCAUCAUGAAUUCAACUUGUUAUUUCAUUCAUCAAAUCAUGAGCGGCUAAUUCCAUUAGCUGGAGUUAUGGGAUCCAUGGAUUAGGGUUUGAUAUGAGGCUAGGUGUUUAAUGGAUUCAAAGAGUAGUAGAACAUCUUAAAAUUCUAUUGUUUUAACUGAAAUCUAGUGGUUGUAAACAUUGGAUUAUACCUUAGGUUUUAUUUGCUUCUAACAGAGAAAUAGACUAGAGGUCAUGAAUUAUCAACAGGGACUCAGAAGCUACCAACCUUCUGUUUAAUAAUUGAUGUCGUAACUGGAUUAAUCUACCUGAUAUAACAUCCUUUUAGAAGUAGAUAAGUUAUCUAAGUUUGAGAGAAUUAGAUAAUAAAUUGUCUAGUGAGGUCGAGAGAUAAGUCAGAAAGUAUCAUAGUUAAAGAUAGUCUGUUGUUCUGCAUACUUCAAGAAUCCCAAUCAUUACCUAGUAUCUGUCAACUCCCAAAAGCCAUGGUGAAAAUAACUCUGGUUUCCCAUUCAUCUUGAUUAUAAACACUGAAGUAUUGAAAGUGACAUUUGACUUUCUGUAAAACUUAAACCCCAUCCUUCGGAAAUAGUAAACUAUCAGCAAACCAUUUUGUAAACAAAUUGAAGUUCACACCUAUUCCCUGUGGGAUUCGACCCUAACCUAGUUGAGUUUUAAAUUGACAACGAUCACUUACACCCAUUCAAGAGUGUAAUUUGAGCGUUAUCAAAAAUGGCGUUAUUGUCGGGCAUUACGGUUGUAGACUAAAAGUUUGUACGGAAAAAUUUGCUGAUAGUUAAGUUUCCUUGAUUUAUGUUUAUUUGUUGUUUUUGUUUAUUGUAGGUACUAUGUUUUUUAUGCCAAACACAAGAACCACUAUUACUAAUCAAUUCGGAACCUCAACUUGUAAGAAGAAUGGCUGAAAAAUAGGAAGCAAAAAGACUAGCUGCUAUCACCAGGGCUCAGGUGAAUGUGCAAAAUUUAGGUCAACAAGCACAUCACUAGAACCCUGAUGAUGAAGAAUUGGGUGAUGAGGAAUUGCUGAAUCCUCAAAACCCAAGGCAAGCUGAAUAAGUUGCUGCACCAGUGCAGCGAAACAUCAACUGAAAUCAUCCAGUCCGAGAAAGAUAUGGACAAAAGCCAAUUCAAUAUGAGGCUGAUGAAGAUAAAGAAGGAAUAGACAGAGCAAGUGCAACGGGUGCUAUCAUUCCUCCAUCGUUGGCACCACAUGCAAAAUUCAGCAUAAUAAGUACAAUGAUCCAACUCUUGAAUCUGAAAGGGUUAUUUGGAGGCUUUCCUUGUGAUGAUCCAAACAUGCAUUUGGUAAAAUUCAUCACUAUUUGAAAAUCCUUUGACAAUAUGGGAGUGAUCCAGAAUGCGAUCAGGUUGAGAUUAUUUCCUUUGUCUCUGUCUGGGGAGGCAACAAUGUGGUUGAAUGAGUUAGAGCCUGAUUCUAUAACCAACUGGAGACAGUUAAAAGAUGUGUUCCUAGAAUGGUUCUUUCUACCCUCUAAAAGAGUACAGUUGAGGGAUGAAAUUAGCAAUUUUAGAUAGCUUCUGACUAAAGCACUGCACGAAACCUGGGAAAGAUUUAAGAAGAAACUUGCACAAUGUACGAACCAUAAUAUGAAGGAUUUGCACUUGAUGGAGUCUUUGUAUAGAUCUUUUAAAUCUGUGACGAAGCCUAUUGUUAAUAAUGUUGCAGGUGGUUCAUUCAUUGACCUCUCUUUUCUAGAUGCUUCUGACAUACUGAAUAGAAUGACCAAGCAAAGUCAGUCUUGGCACACUAGGGAUUCUAUAGUGGAUAGCCCGACUGUUGCUGGUGGUAUUACUGCAGAUCAACGUAGAAGGGAUGAGGAGCGAGAUCAGGACAUGGUCUACUUGAAGACGUAGAUGGACUUGCUGGCCAAGCACUUGCUAUCUGGUAAGCCUGAAAUGGUUAAGGCUGUGGAAUCUCAGGGUACUGUGUUUAUAGGUGCUGAUGCUGAGCCAAACUAUAUAAGUAAUUAGGGGAGUUUCCGAGGCAAUAGCCAAGGGAACCAAGGUCGGACUUUCUAUGACAAGCCUGAUUAUAAAGAUGGGGAGCAGAGACAUUGGAGAAAUAAUAAUGAUAGGAGUGGUUUGUAUAUUUCUCCUGAAAGUCGGGAUGCUGCGACAACUUGUUCUGGAAAGAUGUCUAUGGAGGAUAUGAUGGAAAAGAUGUUGAAGGGAGUUGAAUUUACCAACUCGGGGGUAACUACUAUGAAAAGCGAAUUUUCUAUCCUCAGUCAGUUGGUUAGGUCACACUCUGCUUCUAUUAAGCGGUUGGAGCAACAGAUGAGCCAACUAUCGGCUACCCUAAACCAGAGAAAAGCUGGUACUUUAUCUAGUGAUACGGUUCAAAACACGUGGACUGAUGGCUCUUGUUUGGCGAUUACCACUCGGAGUGAAAAGAUGUUAUCUGGCCUUUUUAUUGGCAAAGCUGUAGAGAAAGAGGUAAAUGUUGAUAAAUAAGAGGGAAGCAAUCUAGUGGAGUCUGAGAAGAUGGAUGGUUUUGUUAAAAUUUUAGAGAAAGAAGAAGAAAAGAAAGGGGAAGUGGUAUUGAAAGAAAUGCUGAGACUACCACCUCCCUUUCCUCAGAGAUUGAUGAAGAAAGUAGAUAACAAAAAAUUUAGCAAAUUUAUGGAAAUAAUGAAACAACUGACAGUGAAUGCGCCAUUGAUGGAGCACUUGAGCAAAUACCAAACUAUGCUAAAUUUAUGAAGGACUUGUUAACAAAGAAGUGGAAAGUAAGAUGUGAGCCGGUGGACAACCUCCACUACUGUAGCACUGUUUCUUUCCAGUCCUUAGUGCAGAAAAACCCUGACCCUAGAUCAUUUACCAUACCAUGCACAGUUGGGUCCAUGAAGUUUACCAAAGCUUUAUCUGACUUAGGAGUAAGUAUUAAUUUGAUGCCCCUUGAUAUCUACAAGAAUCAUGGACUGGGAGAACCUACCCCCAUAAUGAUGCAUCUUGGGAUGGCAGUCAGGUCAGUGAAACGACCAGUUGGUAUAUUACACGAUAUGCUGGUGAAGGUGGAUGACUUUAUUCUUCCUGCAGACUUCGUAAUAUUGGAUUGUGAUAUUGAUUUUGAGGUACCCAUCAUCUUGGGUAGACCAUUAUUAGCCAUGGGAAGAGUGUUGUUUGAUAUGGAGCUCAAUGAGCUAAAGUUUAGGUAUGGAAAAAGAGAGGCCAUAUUCAAAAUGCAUCAUCCUAUGAAGCAGGAGGAGGAGAUAAAUAUCUUAUCAGUCGUUGAUGUAUUUUAGGAAGAUGAUAACGAGGUAGUGAUAUGGCAUAUUGAUGAAGUCUAAGUAGUUGAGAUAACCCAGUCGUGCUAUGACAUUAAAUCAGGCGCUAUUUGGGAGGCAACCCAAUGUUUUAAUUUUAUUGCACUUAUGUUUUUAAUAUUUGUAGCUAAGAGUCGUACAAAGGAGGUGAACUAGUUUCAUUCAACUUGAUGAGGAUUGACGUUAAUUUUGAUGGGCUAUCACAAAUAUGACAAACCGUGAGAAAUAGCGUCAAAAUACUCAAGUCAAAGCCCUAUUCUGUUAAGGCUGACGAAAAUUUUGAAGCGCUGUCAGGUAUCUGAUGUGCCGUCAAAAAUAUCGUCAAAGGAGUUGAGCCUAACUUUAAAAUUUUGGGCUAACUUGGCCCAGUCACAGUUUUUCAAAUUCCCGAGUACCAUAGGUCUUUUCCUAUUAGUUUUAAUUUUCUUUCCUUAGAGAGUUAUUUCCCUUCCUUUUCUAAAUUUAAUCCCUUCUAAGGCAAAAUUUUAAGACUUUCCUUGCUGAAGCCAGAGAUUUAAGCCAAGAAAUAUUCUCCCUCUCUUAUCUCAUUCUUCUCUCAGAGUACAUCAGCUAAGUGUCGCCAUCUAGGUAUGAGAAAAACUUCAACUUCAUCUUUCUUUGGAUCAAUUAUGAACUGCAAGAAACCUUGGUUUCAAAGGAGUAAGCUGAACCCAUUAACAUACUUCAAGUCCCUUCAAAAAUGAGGGUCUGUAGGGGUAUGCAGUAUAAUUUCAUGGAAAUCUUAGUAAAGAACAUGACCUAAGUUGAAAUAGAGAAUAAUGGUAGUAGAAAAAUCAAGUAAAAAGAAGUUAGAAAUUGUAAUGUUGUUUGAUGACAAUCUUUAUGGCCUUGCACCUGUGUGACAGCCAUUCAAAAAUACAUCAAAAGUUGAGAAAUUUUGUAGAUUCUAGAUAAGGUUGACGAUGCUUUUGAAGUGCCGCCACAACUGUGAUGGCAAAUCAGAAAGACCGUCAAACCUAGGAACUAAAAAUUGUGUAGAUGUUAAACUGAGGUGAUCCUUUUUCUUUUCUUGUUUGUUUAUGAGUACUAAUUGAGGAUUUCUACAUUGUACAAAACUGAGCAUGGAACCCAAGAGAAAGAAUCCAACCACACUAAGGAAAGCAGCUAAAGAGAGUGUACCUCGACAACUUGUCAAUGAGGACUCUGAUUAUGAAGACGAAGAGCCUUUGCUCAGAUGGAAAAGAAAGAGGACUAGUCAAAAGACUUCGCCUCUACCUAAGCCUAUUGAAGUAGAGGAUAGUAAUGAUACUGAUAUGACAACCUCAUCUGAGCAAGCUUUGGAGGAAAAAAGAUCAAAACACACUAAGCAGGGGUCUGAGAGCACUGAACAAGAAGUUGAAACUAAAAAUUUUGAGAGGCCUACAGCUGAAGAAACUAAGUGUGAAUCACCAUCUUUGGAGCAGCAAGGUGAUAAGGAUUCUGCAGUAUGGGGAACUUUUGUGAAAUACAAAAACACCAAGGUUAGGAACAAUAUAAGAUGGCAAAUCCCUGGUGAUGAAAUAAUCUAUUUGGAUGGACUUCGCGAAAUAGAUUGAUGAGGUGCCAGAAGGCCAAAUCUAGAAGAGAAAAAGAUUAUCACUACAGGGUUUAUUAGAUGCCCUGAGGUGAUNNNNNNNNNNNNNNNNNNNNNNNNNNNNNNNNNNNNGGAAAGAGGUAUUUAUUAUCCUUCAUUAGUCUAGGAUUUCUACGCGAACUACCAGGAUAUGGUGGAAAAUAUGUGCAAAGAAGGGGAUAGAACUUCAGAUAAGCCUCUUUUGACCAAAGUUGCAGUACGUGGAGAGAGGGUGGAUGUAUCAGAUGCCACCAUAAAUAGGUUUCUUCAUGGGCCAGCCUUUGCUCACGACCCACUUCACGUACAUUCUAUGCCCGGUUGAAGCAUCGAGAAAAUCAGCAUAAGUGUCUAGCAACUCUCAUAGUAGAUAGGGAAUCGAAGUGGUUUAAUAAUCCAGCAGAAAAGAUUACCAAAGCAUCUCUAAAUUCAGAGGCAAGAUUUUGGUGGGGUUUAAUACGGAUUCAUCUGAUACCCACCGAGGGCGACAACAUAUUAGGGGAUGAUCGAGAAAUAUUGGUUGCAAGCUUGAAAGAUAAAACCCCUUUGGAUUUUGAAGAAAUUAUAGAAGAAGAGAUCAAGAUUCAAAUCGUAAGACCCGAUGCUACGUAUCCAUUCCCAUGUCUGAUUACUAGGUUGUGUGAAGCAGCUCAUGUACCUAAGAUUUAAGGUAUUUAUGAUGAGAUACAUGCCAAGAAGACUCACAACCCUGUCAGCAAAAAUGAAAUUCGGUCAAGCUUGCGACUUGAUCAAGAUGCAGUUGGUGCAGCAGAUCCUCCAGUCACUGAGACUGUUUCAGCACUAGAUGUGGGGGUAGAAAUCCCCUAAACUAUGUGAAGUACAUCUAGUGUGACCACUAUGUAUCUAUUUGUGGCACUAGCAUGGCAAAUAAAUAACCUGUAGAAACCAAAUGCAUGAAAUGGAUAAAUAGUGAUACGUUAUAUACUUGUGUACCAUAUGUGUGUAAGGUCCUACUCAGUUCCCAUUUUGUGUUGAAUCUAGAAUUUGCCCAAUUAGUCAUGCCAUAUUCGUAGGAUAGGUGUUUAAGGAAGGAUCAUAGGCCAUUUUUGCAUGUUAACCCAUUUUAGCUUAAAUGACCAUCCAAGUGUGAACAAUAUCCCUUGAUCCCUUUUUGAGCCUAAACAGCCUAAUUCUUUCUUGUACACCUUUCACCUUCCCAUUACAUCACAAUGAACCUAUUUUGGCCCUGGUCCUCCUUGGACACUAUGCACCUUGACUUACGCAAAUAGCCUAUGUUGAGGGUGGUUACUAUAGAGGUGCGUGAUGCAUUAUGAGUAUGAAGAGAGGUAAAAUAAGGAAAAUAAAUAACAAGUUGGGUGUAGUAAAAAAGUAAAUAGAAAAUAGAAAACUAAAAAAUUUGAUCUAAUGCGUGAACGGACAACACCCAUCUUGAGAAUACUUGACAAAUAAAAGUGGGAAGAACAGAAGGUCAAAAGUUGAAACCCCGUGAGUCAAAGUAGUGCCAAGGAGGUGUAGUCACUAUGAUAUACCCUUGAAUAUCAUACCAGCCCCUAUCCUACGUUACAAGCUUAGAAAAGCCUUAUAGUGAUCCUAACUGACUUAGCUAAAUACUUCUGUACAAACUAUCAGGGCAAGCCUAUGGCAUUCGAUACACAAUAUUGGAACUUUAUUCUGAGAGUGAGCCUUACGUUCAUCCCUAUGUUAAUACAUGUAAAUCUAAAUGAAAACGGGAUUUCUUUGUUGUGAUGGCACACCAGGUAUAUUGUUAUUAACUAUUGUAUUCGGAGAAUGUAAUUUGGGUAUGUUCUAGUUUGUUAUUGCUGAGAUUUUUACCAUAUCUAGAUGCUUGUGAUUUACAUGGUUGUUUUCAAAUAUAGACACAAUUGAUUUUAUGGGAUCCAUGGAUUAGGGUUUGAUAUGAUGCUAGGUGUUUGAUGAAUUCAAAGAGUAGUAGAACAUCUUGAAAUUCUAUUGUUAUAACUGAAAUCUAGUGGUUUCUAACAUUGGAUUAUGCCUUAGGUUUUAUUUGCUUCUAACGGAGAAAUAGACUAGAGGUCAUAAAUUAUCAACAGGGACUCGAAAGCUACCAACCUUCGGUUUAAUGAUUGAUGUCGUAAUUGGAUUAAUCUACCUGAGAUAACAUCCAUUUGGAAAUAGAUAAGUUAUCUAAGUUUGAGGGAAUUAGAUAACAAAAUUGUCUGGUGAGGUUGAGAGAUAAGUCAAAAAGUACCAUAGUAAAGGAUAGUCUGCUGUUCUACGUACUUCAAGAAUCCCAAUCAUUACCUAGUAUCUAUCAACUCCCAAAAGCCAUGCUGAACCUAACUCUAGUUUCCCAUUUAUCUUGAUUACAGACACUGAAGUAUUGAUACUGACAUUUGAAUUUCUAUGAAACUUAAACCCCCAUCCUUCAGAAAUAGUAAACUAUCAGUAAAGCAUUUCGUAAACAAAUUGAAGUUCAUACCCUAUUCCUUGUGGGAUUUGAGCCCAAGCUAGUUGGGUUUUAUAUUGACAAUGAUCGCUUACACCCAUUCAAGAGUGUAAUUUAAGUGUUAUCAAUCCUAUAGACAAUUACAUGUCUAUCUAUAUUAUGCCUCCAAUAUGUUAAAUACCUCCUAUAUAUGAGAUGAUUAUAUAUAUGCUACGGCUUAUAAAUAUGAUUAUUGAUAUGAGUUUUGGAUAUGUAUAUGGGCCUAAGGCCGUGAUUAUUAUAUUGUGACUAUUCCAGAUAAACUAAUGGGCCAAGGGUCAUGUUAUGAUAAUGAUUGAAUAUUUAAAAAGUGUUUAUCAGUGUAAAGAAAACAAUUAUAGUUUAUGAAUAGAAUUUAUAUGUAUACACAUCUCUCUGAUAUGGGAUAAAGAAAGAUGUGGUGUGUUGCUUACGACUUUAUUGAUUGGAUAUUGGUGACGGCAUGCAUAGAUUUGGGACAUUCAUGAGUAUUAUAUCAGUAAUUAAUGUGAUUAUAACUGAAAUAUGAUCUUACAAUUGUUCUGCCUAAUUAACGGUUAAGCUAUGUUAUAACUAGUUGUCUAUUAGGGGACUAUAGCACUUGAUGACUAGGAAUCUAGUGUAUUAGUUAAUGAAUCUUACUUAGUUGAAAUAUGGUAGCUAGUGUUGGUUAAUGCGUUUACGGUGAGGUCAAGUCUAGCAUAGGUGGAGGUUAGUUUGUAUUGAUGACUAAGUUUGUGAUGUCUAUUAGUCAAUAAAUUUGUGUGUUAAUGAGGCUAGAUAAUAAGAGAUAUCGGUAAUAAGAGGUGACUAGUUAAUAACUUUAAAUAGCUGCUAAAUGGUUAACUAAUGAAUAGUUAAGCAAGGAUUAGUUGGUAAAUGAUAGUCAGUUAAGGAUUUGUGUCGGUUAAUAAAAUAUGGUUAGGUGACAAGUAGUAUUGUGUUGUCUAGUAAUAAUUAACGGAUAUAGGAUGAUUAGUUGAUAAUAAUGAAUGGUGGAUAAAUUUCAGUUUUGAUCUAGUGAUAAACCUUGACUAGAUGUUAAAUGUUGGCUAUUAAAUAAAUAGUGGUUAGUUUCUAUCUCGUGAAUAAGAAUUAUGUGAAGCAUAAUCUUUAGGCUAAUAACUAGAGGUUAUUGAUGACUAGCAAACUAGUUAUUCUAUUAUAAUAAGUGUUGGUUAGGUAAUAACUAGUUAUUGGGAAGUAUUGACUGGAUUGAUACUCUAUGCUGAUAUGACUAUGUUUGUAAGUAUUUUAGUGUAUGUUAUUUGGUAAUGACUAUUAUGAUUAUAUAUUGAUACCCAAAAAGGCCAGAGGAUACUAUUGAUGAUGUGUUUAUACCCAGCAAGGCCGAAGAAUGGUUGAUAUCCGACAAGGCCGGAGGAUACUAUUGAUGAUUUGCUGAUAGCUGAAAAGGCCAGAGGAUAUAUUUAUUAUAUGUGGAUACUCGACAAGGACGGAGGAUACUAUUCAGGAUGUGUAGUUACCCAAAAAAGGUGGAGGAUAUAUUGAUGAUAUGUUGAUACCCGACAAGGACAAAUGAUAAUAUUGAUGAUGUGUUGAUACCAACCAAGGCUAGAGGUUGAUUAUGAUGAUGAUGGUCCUGAUGAGGAAAAUUAUGAUGGGUUAUGAUAUUGAUUGUGUACUUUCCAUUCAUUCCUUCAUAUGCAUCACCAAUCACCAGUAUGCACCCAUAUUUAUCAGUUGGUAUAGGAUAGUUGCAUAUAUAUGGGUGAAGAAUAUGCCUUGUGUUAUUGUAUGCUGAUUGAAACUUCCUAGUCUAGGGCGGUGGAAGUACAAAUAUUCUCAUCUAGGUAUUUGGUUUUAUAGAGUAGCCAAUUAUUUACGAUGUUAUUGAUAUUGUUAUUAUCAGUAUUGUGAUCAUUAUUAUGGCUAGCCUAUGAUAGAUUGGUCACUGAUUCGGUAUCGGGAUUGAACAUUUUGCCCUUCAUUAAAAAACUCUGCAAUAGAUAAAACUAUCUCUUCAUUAUUUUUCUAAUAUUUAAAACUUAAAAUUCAUUUAAAUUUAGUUAUUAAAUAUUUCCUUUUAUGAAUUAUAUACCUUAAAUUUUAGACUUUUAAAUUAAUGAAAAUAUUAACUUAACUAAAUCCUUAAAAGAAAGUCAAUUAGUUGAAAAUUCUACAAUGGCCAAUUACGUGAGCAAUUAAUAUUGUGGUACUACUUACGUAAAAUACCAUUGUUUUAAAGUUUACCAAAAAUAAUCUAUAUAAUAUAUAUAUAUAUAUAUAUAUAUAUAUAUAUAUUAUACAAUAUUUUAUAAUAUUAUAAAAGUGUGAAAAUUCUUAGAAAAGUGAUUCGAACUUUUUACGCUUCAUUAAAACACUCUUCUUUAGACAAAAUCAUCUUUUUACUUUUUUUAAAAAAAUUAUAAUUAUAAAUAAAUACAAAUAAUAUAUAUUUUUGGAAAAAUAAAAAAUCACCAUUAUUAAAAGAGUCCUAAUUAUAGUACCUUAUAUUUGGAAAUAAAUAUAAAUUUUCCAAAUUUGAAAUAGAAUUCAACAUAUACACUAAAGUAAUGAAUUUUUCCUUUUUUUUGGACAGUUUCUUUAUUUUUGAAUAAAAAAAGGUCUAAAAUGUAUAUAAAUUAUUUUAAACUUGAAUUCAACGUGUGUGUAUGUAUGUGUAUAUAAAUAUAUAUAGCUUUUUCUACUUUUACUAUAUUUUUUUGUUUUAUUUUCAUUCAAGUCGGCCUUUAGGAUCAAAAUUUCCUCUCAAGCAAAGAUUGAAAGGUAGUUUUAAUUGCAUUAUUUUGAUAACUUUAUUAUCGUAUUGUUUUAUUUUAAUUUACAGAUAAUAGAUGAAUGUCGAGUUGCUUUGAAGAUUUUUUUUUAGGUAAAGGUUAGGUUUAACUAUAUUGCUUUAAUAUCUCGAUUAGUGUAUUAUUUUGUGAUAGUUUACAGGUCGUAAAUGAUAGUUUAUAGGUCGUAGAUGAAUGUCGAUCAACUUUGAGAAUUUUUUGUCUGUAAAGGUUAGGUUUAAUUGUAUUAUUUUGAUAUCUCUUUUAUCGUAUUAUUUUGUUAUAGUUUACAGGUAGAAGAUAAAUGUCGACUGACUUUGAAUAUUUUUUUAAGGUAAAGAUUAGAUUUAAUUGUAUUGUUUUGGUAUCUCUGAUUUGAGAAUUUUUUUUUUUAAGUUUAGAUGUAUUGCUUUGAUAUCGCUAUUAUCAUAUUAUUUUGUUGUAGUUUACUGGUGACAGAUGAAUGUCUGUCGGCUUUGAGGAUUUUUUUUGUAAAGGUUAGAUCUAAUUGUAUUGUUUUAUAUAUCUUUAUCAUUGUGUUGUUUUGUUGUAGUUUAUAAGUGGUAGAUGAAUGUCGAUCGGCUUUGAAAAUUUUUGGUAAAGGUUAGGUUUAAUUAAAUAAAUUCUCCAUCUUUACAUAUUUAAAAGAUGUUAAAUUUAAUUAUUAUACUUAUCUUAAUCAAUUUAAAUAAAUAUCUUAUUUAGUGUAACAUUCAUUAAAAUGAGAUACAUGCGCGAAGCGCGUAUACCUAAACUAGUAUAAUAUAUAUAAAAUCGAACAGGAACGAUUUGUCGUUAUGAAAGAGACUCCUAAAAGAGAUGGAAACAAAAAUAAUGUUUAGGUUUUAGUUGCAUAUAAAAAUUAUUUACGGAGAUCUAAUAUAACACAUUUACCCUGCAUCUUCGAUCCGCAGCUAGUGUGCUCUUUGCUCUAUACGCAUGCAGUACUAUUUGGUGGAGAAAACAACCAUAGUUGAUUGCCGUAUUCAUUUACAGGUGGAGAAAGCAACCAUUGUUGAUUACCAUCUACCCUAUUUGAAUUACACUUUUUUGGGUUAAAGAUCUUGAAAUAACUUUUCUACCUCGCAAAAUAGGAGUAAGAUCUAUGUAUAUUAUACUAUAUCCUCAAAACUUACUUGUGAAACUUUAUUAAAUCUGUUAUUAUUGUUACUACUGAUUAAUAGAGAGUUUGAGCAUAGGUAUAACAGACAAUAUUCUUGAAAUUUUUUUGUUAUUGUUCGGUUUCUACAAUGUUUAUUGUUUAUGCUUUGUAAAAUAGGAUUCAACAAAUAUAUUUUUUAUUUUUGGUUAGUUUGUUAUAAAGAACAUAAUUUUUGCAACAAUGCACAAUAAUUACAUUAUUAAUUAUUUUAUGUUACUAAUGGUUUUUUUAAAAAAAGAAAAAUUAAACCGAUGGUAGAUGAAUGUUUGAUCGGAUUUUGAGAAAAACUAUUUGUAAAGAUUUGGUUUAAUUUCAUUAUUUUGAUAUCUCUAUUAUCGAAUUAUUUUGUUAUAAUUUAUAGGUGGUAGAAAAUGUUGGUCAGCUUUGAGGAAUUUUUUAUAUAAAGAUUGAUAUAUUGACUAUCAUAUUGUUUAAUUGUAGUUUAUGAGCUUCAGGUUUUAGAAAAGUAGGUUAGUUUAUAUAUAUGUUGUAUGGUGUUUGUGCAGGGAGGCUUUAAUCUUGGAGAUCUGUUAUUUCAUUGAGCAACCAAAAUCUGAAAAGGAAUUUUACUAAGACUCUUCUUCCCACUAAGUUGGUCGGUCUGGACAUGCAACACAACGCCAAGGCCAGUGGCGGAUUCAGGAAUUUUCUUCAGGGGGUUAGAAAAAUAAAAAUAUAAAUGUGUGAAUAAGCCAAUAAAAUAUAAUUUCAAGGGAUGUAAUAUUAUAUAGUCUAUAGAUAUAAAAUACUUAAACUUAAGUAAGAGUAGUUCAUAAGUAAAGCAAAAAGUUAACCCUUUACAAUGUGUCAACCAGAACUAGGGUGCAUUGUAAAUAAAAAAUUAGUCCUAUAAAAUGUAUCAAUUAGAACUUGAGUACAAAUUUAGAACUCCAAAACGAAAUCACUGCCAAUACUUCUCAAGAAUAUUUACAAUACCACUCGACGAGGUUUCAUUGGUUGAAAAUACAAAAUAAUAUUAUCAGUUGAAACGUUAUUAAAGACAUCUUUUUCCACAAAAAAACCAUGCAAUCACUCAAAAAGUCAUCGUUCAUUCUACUCCGCAACUAAUUCUUAAUAAACAUCAUUGUUGAAAAGGCCCUUUCAACAGAUGCAGUGGCAACUGACAGAAGCAACAAAAAUUUUACCAAAUGAAAUACAAGAGGAUGACAGGAAUGCUUUUUUGUCUAAAUCAAUCUUUUUGAAAGAUCACAAAGCCUAUUUAUAUUGGAGAACCUUUUAUCAAUGUCACAAACAUCAAUAAUGUUAUUUGCAAGCUGAUUCUUAAGUGCACACAUAUUAAGGUCAUCAAAGUCAUCAGGAUAUAAUUCAGUCAUUCUCAUUAUUUUCUGAAUGUCAAAACUUGAAAAUGAGUCUACCGGACUCAAACAAGAAACACCAUGAAGAAACUCAGUUGUCAGCUCAUCAAAAUGAUCAUUAAGUUCUUGCAAUUGCCAAUCAAUUAUUUUGCAAAAGACUUCAACACGAUAAUGAUGAAAGACAGUAUAGUCAACAGAUUUACGCCAUGAUCUUUCAGAGUUCACAUACAGCUCAUCAAAAGUAGGAACCACAAUGUUAUGCUUGAUACAAAAUGUAGACACCUCAGAAACAAAAAAAUCCCAUUUAUUAUCUUCCCUCAACUCUUGCAACCUUCUCUUGGCUACAUCAAUACGUAGCAUGACAUUUGCAAUAUCUUGCUCUUUAUUUUGUAAACAUGUACUAAGAUCGUUUGUAAUUCCUAAAAUUUCUUUCAUCAAAUGUAAUAUGAAUUCAAUCUCACACGUUUGAGCAGCUCUAAUAUAUCCUUUAGCCCUAGAUCUUUCAUUCAAAGAAUGUGCAGUUUCAACAAUAUUAUCAAGUUUAUCUAUAAUUUUAUCAAACUUAUGAAUAAAAUAAUUAAAAUAUUUGAAGUGAGAUGCCCAACGAGUAUCAAAAGCCUCCUGAAUUUUUGUUUUUUGAGAUUCUGUAUAUUCAUCCAUACACUUAUAAGAAGAUCCCAACAUAUUAAAAAUAUCUGAAACCAAGUGCACAAGUUCUCCUACUUGAAGACAUCUUUUAGAAACACCAAUAAGAGUCAAUUGAAGUUGAUGAGCAAAGCAAUGAAUAGAAUAAGCCAAUUUACUUUCAUUGUUAAUCAACAUCUUAAAACAAUUGAUAUCACCUUGCAUAUUACUUGCUCCAUCAUAGGAUUGUCCAUGCACAAAAGAUAAACUCAAGGAAUUUUGAGAAAGUAAAUUGACAAUUGCAUCUUUUAGAGAUAAAACACUGGUAUUUUUUACAUGAACAAUAUCAAGAAAUCUCUCUAACACAAAUUCUCUAUCAUCAACAUAUGGUAAAACAACUGCCAUUUGCUCUUUGCAUGAUAUAUCAAAAGAUUCAUCAACCAAUAAAGAUAAGUAGUCACCAUUUAGUUCUUUUAUGAUACCCUUAAUUAUUUCAAUUUGCAAGAAAUCAUAAUUUAUUUUUGAAUUCUUGAACAAGUCAUUUGAUUAUUUUGAGGAGCCUUUUCCAGCACAAAUUUCUGAAUUUCAUCACACUUUUAAGCAUAAAAUGAAAGAAUUUCAAGAAAAUUACCUUUAUUAAGUAAUUACUUAGAUUCAUUAUGACCUCAAAAUGCCAAUCCUUAUCUCAUGAGAAUCCUUAAUUGCUACAUCCAGGGGUGGACCUACAUAUUUUUUUGGGGUGCUCCGGCAUCUAGUUAUAACGAUAUGGGACUAUCUCUUAGUCGUCACAUGGUGCUUACGACCCCAAAGGACUACAAGCUAACCCAUGAAUGAUAUCUACUAUAAGCACUGAACAAUAAUACUGAACUAAAUGCAAAAUAAUGGGCUAAAAUGCCAUAAGGUUCAAAACAUCUAAAUUAAUGAUAAAAUAUAAUAUCUGCAAAAUUGAAUACUGUCUGAAAAUCUAGUCUGAAAAACCUCUAACUGAAUCUGUUUGAAAGUGGAGUUGAUGGGAGAAUCCCCUAACUAACUCCAUCUACUAAAAUACUGCUAAGCUAAAGUACUAAAAUAAAAGCAUAUCCUCGAUAUAUGAGGACUCAUUGCUAAAUCUGCUACUGCUGGCUGAAUCUGACUAAGCGUGGUCAGGAACCUAAGCGUCCGAACUUAUAAUAUGAAAUAUUAUAAUGCAAGAAAUGAGUAUGCAAUCAGUACGUGAGAAUGUACUGGUAUGUUAAAUUAGGUAAGGCUGACUGCAUGGGUUUAUAUGCAUGAUCAAUAACUAACUGAAUGAUAUGCAAAAGAUGGAUUAGCAUACAUGGAGGAUCUAUAACUACUGAACAUACUGUGCCUAUUAUGACUGAGUAUACUGGAACUGAAUUUGAUAACUGAUAACUGAAUAUACUAAUAAUCUGGGAUCACUGAUAAUCUGAAUUACUGUUAACUGAGUGACCAUAUCUAACAGUCCUGAUUCUAUAGAACUGAACUGAGUUUUAUUUUGAAGACUGAGACUAAAACUAAAACUGUGGGAGGUAAUUAUUUAACUGACAUACCCCAAAUAAGAUAAGAUAACUGAUCUGGGUUCUACUAACCCUAAUUGGAAAGGUUUUAGUACCGUGCCACAGAUAAAGACAAGCUGAAAAGUAACCCUUUACUGGCAGGUUCCCUAAACGAGAAUGGUGGUACCUUCUACUGGCAGAUAGAGCACCUCAUCAACCUUUAACUGGAAGGUUUGAUGUCUCAAUCUACAUUGGCUACGUAGUUAUGGAAGGCAAGGAUUUCUUCUAAGGAUCACACCCUCUACUGGCAGGUGAGCCCCCAUCUUUGGGUUCACUCGGUGCUGAAUCCUACUCCCAACUGAAAGACACUGAAUUGUUAUACUGGACUGAAUUCACUAAGAUUACUGAGUUUUUCUAAGUUCUGUAACUAACUGAGUUCUACUGAGUUAUGUAAUGGACCGAGAGUACUACUGAUCAUGAUACUAUUCUGUAAAUGACAUUGGCUCUAAAUAAACAGUUAAGUUGUCGGGUAUUAAAUAACCCCAGGACUCGAUAUCAUGAAAAGCAAAAAAAUCAUAAUCUUGAAUAACAUAACAAUGUUCACUAGGUCAUAAUACAUUCAUAGAGACAUUCUAUCAAACACUUGUAAUGCAUUAACUUGUACAUGAAUGGGGAAUACAUGUUAGCAUGCUAUAAUUGCAUUAUUUCAUUCUCAUAGACAAUUUAUCAAAUACAUAAGAAACAUACUUGGUUCAUUAAAUGAUAAACACUUUGGGUUAACAUGGCUACAACAAUCAACUUGCAAAUUGAAGGGUUUAUCAUGAAUACCAUGUAAUUCAACACAUACUAGAAUCAAUUCUUGGAACUUGUAAUCUAAAUCAUGGAUUAAAACUUAAACAACAUCAUGAACAUGAAUUCAAUCUAAUUCAAACAUGAAAAUCAUAAAUCUUGUAUUUUGAAAAAAGAUUCUUGAGCUCCAUGGAAGGUAAGGAUCCACGGAUGAACAUCUAACAUACCUUAAUUUGAUGAGUUCUUGGAGAAAUUCUUGGGAUUGACCUUGAUUCUUGAGAGCUAGGGUUUGUUUUCUUGAGAGAGAAUUAUCUUUUGAUUUUGGGGAAAAGUGAAUAAUGAAGGGUUUUACAUGUUUUUAGGGAUUAAAUCCCACAUCUGGAUGGAAUAAAAUCAUGAGAAAAGACUGUUUCAACCCUGGGCACAACUUUAAUAUUUUGAGAAAUUUUUUCGAUUUGGACCCCUGGCGCGACGCGCCGCCAUCGUACUGGGCCACUGAAAAAUGAUGACUGAGAAAUUCCAUGGUGGCGUGACGUGGUGGUAUUGCGUUGCCACUUUGUUUGUGAACUGUUGGUACACUAGAAAUUGACAAUUGUGAACUGGGUCUAUGGCGUAACGCGCCAAUAUCGGGGAGCAACACUGGAAAUUGAAAAUUGCUAUUUUAACACACUCCGCGACGCGCUACUCGCCUGAAUAACGAUGUUUAACAACUGAAAUUUAAAAUCGCCAUAACUUCUUAUCCGGUUGUUAGAUUUAGGCGAAUUUUAUAUCGUUGGAAAGCUAAUUGAAUUUUCUAUGCAAUAAAUUUUAUUUAGGAUAACCCAUAUAUUGAGGACUAAUCUAGGCUAGGAAAAUACGGGGUAUUACACCAGUAAACUCGAUGUAGAUUAGGUAUAAUUAUAUAAGAAAUGCAGAAAAAUGGUAUAAUAUAUACAAAAGCACGUAGAGAAUAAAAACAUAAUUGGGUGUUGUGGCUUUAGGGCCGAACUUCUGUGUCUACUGUCUUGGGUUCCAAGUGUUUAAUGCAAGACCCAAGUGUUUUGGGUUUGACUUUUUUUAUUAAUUUUUUUAAUUUUUUUACUUCUUAAUUUAUUAAAACCUGAACCUUUUUAUUAUUAAUUUAUUAAUUUACUUGAAUCUGAAUCUAUUAAUUUACUUUUUACUUCAAACACAAAAACUGAACCGUCUGCCUUCUCCACCAAAAAUGCAUGUACUAUUAAACAAAAUCUUAAAUAUUAAAUUUCAUCUUCUUCUCUUAUUCUUUUAAUUUUAUUUUCAAUUUUCAUAAUCUCAUUCACAAAUUUCAAAACGUAGGUACUUUAAUUUUCUUUAGAGUUAAAAAUUCAAAAUAUGAUUUUGGGUUUAAAUUUUUAUAUGAUAUUUAUCUAUGUAUCAUCCAUUAUAAUUGCUAUAGAAAAUAUUUGAGUUAACAGAUUUUUACGAGUCGAAAAAAAAAAUUCAUGUAUCUUGUUUAGAAUUUAGCAAUUAGUUUUGAAAUAUUUUGGUACUUCACCAAUCUCCUAAAUGUCACAAUAAUGAAAUAAGGAUUUUAGAUUUUUUUUCAUUAUUAUUCUAUUGAUAUGAUUCUAUGAAUGAUUCUUGCUUGAAAGUCGUAUUAAUUGAAUCUUGUUUUGCAGGAGUUUUUAUAAAUCGCGAUGGAUAAGUUUUCCAUUAGAUCAAAACGUGGACAACCAAGCUCUAAUGCUACUAUCUCACCCGUUGCUUCAUUUAUACCUUCGGAAGUUUAAAGAGAUACUACUUCUUCAAAUAUCGAAUUUACAUAUUUAAAAGCUGACCCGACAGAAAGAAGUCCUAUAGUAGAAUGUGAUGCUAUUAUACUUGAUGAAGUUAGAAGAUUUUAUAUUCAAAAGGGACCUUGUUAGCCUAAGGAUCACAUUUUUUUCGAAAACUCAAUUUGGGAAGAAGAAAAUUACAAUGCGUAAAUUUCAUCCUGCUUGGUUCAAGGGUCAAUAUUCCAAGUGGUUAGAGUACAGUGUAUCAAAAUAUGUUGCAUAUUUUUUGUGUUGCUACUUGUUUAAAAAUGAACAUGAAGUUCGUGAAAAUAUGGCAGAUAUUGCUUUUAUGCAAAAUGGCUUUAAGGGUUGGAACAAUGCUUUGGAGAGGUUCGAAACUCAUAUUGGAGAGGUUAAUAGCAUCCACAACAAGUGUUUCAACAUGAUGAUUGACUUGAUAAAUCAAUCACAAUCUAUAUGUACAUCUUUUGACAAGCAUUCUAAGAAAGAAAAAAAUGAAUCUCAUCAUCGCUUGAGUGCUUCAAUUGAUGAGGCAAGGUUUCUUUUGAGAUUGAGAUUGUCAUUUCAUGGUCAUGAUGAGAGUGUAUCAUCUACAAAUAGAGGUAUAUUUCUUUAGCUUUUUCGAUGGUAUGGAAACAAUGAUGAGGAUGUAGGGAGCAUUAUUUUAGAAAAUGCCCCUAAAAAUAAAAUGAUGUGUUGUCCAAAAAUUUAAAAAGAUAUUGUUGAUGCUUGUACAAAAGAAACAAUCAAGGUUAUCAUGGAAGACUUAGAUGGUGAUUAUUUCAGGAUAAUAGUUGCUGAAUCAAAAGAUAUAUCACAUAAGGAGCAAAUGGAACUUGUUCUGCGAUAUAUUGACAAAAAAGGUGAAGUGAUAGAGCGAUUUGUUGGUGUUGUCAAUGUUAGUGAUACAUUUGCACGAUCAUUGAAGGAGAUAAUCUAUUCUUUUCUUUUAGAUCACUCACUAAGUCCGUCCUAAAUAUAUGGACAAGGUUAUAAUGGUGCAAGUAACAUGCAAGGAGAGCUAAAUGAUUUUAAGAGCUUAAUUUUGUGUGAUACUCCAUCUGCUUAUUCUACUCAUUCUUUUGCUCACCAGUUGCAACUGACACUCGUGUCUCUUGUGAAGAAGAAUUUAGAUGUGGAUGAUUUUUUUUGUUUAGUAACUAAUGUGUUGAAUAAUGUUGGAGCAUCUUAUAAGCGCAGGAAUUUGCUUACACAACAUCAAGCUGCAAAGUUAGAGGAAUUGAUCAUUUCUGGUAGUGAAGUGCCCACAGGAUGGUGAUUAAAUCAAGAGCAUGGAAUUCAACGAUCAUAUGACACUCGUUGGGGUUCUCACUGUAAUAAAUUAGAGAAUUUCAUUGACAUAUUUCCAUCAAUUCUUUAUGUGCUUGAAUUUGUUGCACGUGAGUGCCCAAAUUAGCUUCACAGACUUACAACUGAAACUCUUGAGAAUACGAUUAAGGGGUUUGAUUUCACUUUUAUUCUACACUUGAUGUUGAAAAUUCUAAUGAUAACAAAUCAUUUGAACUCCUCGUUACAAAAUAUGGAUCAAGAUAUUGUCAAUGCUCUGGAACUACUCAAUACUGCAAAGCAAGAGUUGCAAAGGAUGAGGAAUAGUGGAUGUAGAUCAUUAUUGGAUGAUGUCUUUUAUUUUUAUGAUACCUAUGAGAUAGCGAUCCUGUCACGACCCGAGCACGACCCUAGCCAUGACGAGCAUCCCGAACCAUGGAGGCUCGGGCGCCCUUCUAUUUAUGAUAAUCAUGCACAAUACUCAAUAAUAAAGAAAAGAAUGUGGAAAUAAAAUAAAUGGAAUCAUGAUCAUACUUUGAAUUCAAUUUAACAAUACUAGAAAGAAAUCCAUCAAUAUAUAAACAACGUUUAUUUCAAUAUGCGAAAUCUCUUGGACAUACAAAAACCAAUACUAUUGUCUGAAAUCUGGAACAAGGCCCCCAAGUGGACCAAUACCAUAAUGAAAUAACAAUACUCUAAGAAUGGUCUUCUGAAGUAAGGGAGGCUCACCAACUGCAUACUUCUGACUGUCAACUCUACAGUUUAGCAGGACCUCUAGAUUGAGCCUCAGAACCUAAAAUAUUGGGGGUCAAUACAAUUGUACUGGUACGCAAAAGUAAUCCAAAAACAAAAGACAACUUUUAUACACCAUAGGUGAGAGCUAUUAUAAAACACAUUAACACAAAAAUCAUUUGGAAACACAUGGGCUUAGUAUAAUGAGUUUUCAAACAAUACUGCAACACUAUUGAGCUAGAUGUUACACCCUACAAUUUCACAUUUUUCACCGACUACCAAAUCUCGGUUGCGGCCAAGAUUGGAGUGCUAGUGAGGGAAGAGCACAAAAGAUCACACACCAGGGUGCCACAACCCUAAUCAAGUCAUUAUAUCGUGGUUGGGCUAAAGAUCAUAAAGCAGGGCUCCAAACCAUAAGUCCCGAUUUGGGAGGACAAAGUACUAGGUACACAAGAUCAAAUAGCAGGGUACCAAGUUCCCAUGUCGACAAAUCACGAUUUCCAGCAUAGAGCCAUCUGACUCGUUCUUUCUUUGGGAACCAUCUAACUUAUAUCCAUCAAGCUUUAAGUUUGAUAUAUGGAAAAUUAUGCGUCAUGCUUAAAACAUUGUUUUCUUUUUUUCAUUCGAGGCAAUUCUUCCGCACUUUUUAUAUAAGUCAUUAUAUGAAUACCAACAAGACUCCCAUACACCAAACACAUGCAUAUAGAUUCCCCCAUAUGUAAUUAGAAAAAUUCAUCAUUUAUAAAGUAGUACAACAUUAUCCAAACCCAAUUUUCAUGAUAAGGACUUUUAAAAAAACUCAUGCUCUCAAUAGUUUAACAUUAAUAUCAAAUGGGGCACAUAAAUUUGGUCAUGGGGAUUAAAUAUUCACAACUCAUGUUUAUAACACUUUUCAAAAUUUAGAUCAUAUGUCCACAAUUCAACAAUCAAGACUUAAAAGAAAACAACCCCAUGAUCUUUCAAUACUCUUCUCAAAACCAUAUCAUAAUACAUAUUUUUUGUGUUAAAAUGAAACCCCAUUUAAAUCUCAUAAGUACUUAAGAAAUUCUUAAAAUACUUUUUACAAAUUUAUAUCAAAAUCAUGCCCAUGAAAUUAGGACAACCCUACGUACCUUAGUGACGACAAAAUUGUGAAAAGAUUGGACCUUUAAGCUUGAAUUCCUUGAUUUCUUGUAAAAAGUACUUGAAUCUUAUUAUUGGGAAUGGAAGAGCGAUUUGGAUUUUAACUUGGAUGAUUUAGGGCUUAGGGAUUGUAAAUAAUGUGUUUAAAAAUCCCUUAUAACAAUUUAGAGUAAUUAGGGAUGGUUUAGGGGUGUGAAAUGACUUCAAGACCCUUGAUAUAAGUCAAAACGGAGUGUUUUUAGCACUUGAAAAUGACUUAGGCGGCGCCUAGUCUAUUGUACAAGCUAGGGUGGGUGACACCUUUUCAAUCGCCUAAGUUUGGUUGGGUGGUGCCUAACCAAUCGCAUACCCUUACUGCCUCUCACAAAAAUAAGUAUAACUUUUUGCUCGAGUGUUGGAUUAAUGCAAAAUUGGUAUCGUUGGAAAGAUAUUUCAAAGAAAUUUAAUUUUAUAUAUAUUAGAACCUCUAAUUCAAUAUAUUCAAAAAUUUAUUAUCAAUUAAAGUUGGCCCAAGUUUCAAUGCUCACUUAAACUCGAACGAUAGGAAAGUUUUCAACUCGUUCUUGGGUUAAGGGACCUUUAUGAUGUCAAUUCAUGCUCAAAUAGAUUAUCACACUACAUAGUUUAUUAACACACUAUAUUUUCAUUGGAUUUAGGGCUUUUGGAAUCUUUACGCAAAGGAAUGAUGGUUUACGUUCUACCUCGAAAUACGGGGUGUUACAGAUUCCAAAAAUAGAUGCUCGCUACAUUCCUGGUAACUCAAAACAUAGAGAUAUUGAUGUUACAUAUUCUCAUUAUUUUCGGGUUGAAAGAUUUUGUGCUAUUAUUAAUUUGCUACUUUAGGAGCUUAAUAAUCGUUUCAACAUUGUGAGUACUGACUUACUUCUUAGUAUGACUUGUUUAUAUCCAGCUAAGUCAUUUGGUAAUUUUGAUAAGAAAAAAAUAAUAAGGUUGGCUGAAUAUUAUCCAAAUGAUUUUGAUAGCAUCAAACUUCGAGAUCUCAGUUGUCAGCUUGAUAAGUUCAUAGCAUAUGUUUGAGGUUCUGAUAAAAAAAUUUUCAAUAUAAAGGGAAUUACUGAUCUUGCAGAAGUAUUGGUUGAAUCAGAAUUGCAUCAGAUUUGGCCUCUUGUUUAUUUGCUCAUCAAGUUGACUCUCAUUCUUCCCGUUGCUACUGCUUCUGUGGAACGAUCUUUCUCUUCUACGAACUAUAUCAAAAAUGAACUCCGCAACAACAUGGGUGAUGAAUUUUUAAAUGGUUGUUUAGUUUGCUAUGUAGAGCGUAAGAUAUUUGCAACUGUAAAUAAUAAUGCUAUUAUUCAUCAUUUUCAAAAUAUAAAAAGUCAUCGAGCACAGUUGUGAUUGGUGUCUUAUGAUUAGAAGUCUUUUUUCUGAACUCAGACUUAUGACCUAAAGUCUUUUUUUGUAUGAAACUUGUGACUGGAAGACUUUUUUGACAAUGGUAAUAUUAGUUGUACUUUUAUUUUAAUAUUGCAUUUAAAUAGUUAUAUAUUUAUAUUAUGUCAUCAUUUGCAAAUUAUGUUAACAAAUUAGAGCACCCACAACCUUUAAAUCCUGGAUCCGCCACUGGCUACAUCAAUCGAAGCUUCCAAUUGAAUGUGAUAUCCAUGCUUAUCUUUAUUAGAUUGUUUCUCAAAUGAAGCACGAAUAGAUUGUUCUUGCCGCAUUAGAUCCUCACAUUUUCUUUUUUCCUGAUUAUGGAUGCUAUUAAUCCCACCAACAUAUGUUUCUAGACUAGCUUUUUUGUUCUAACUCCUAAAACCCGUACUCGAAAAUACUUCACAUCCACCUUGACAAUUGUUAUUUCCCUUGAAAAAAUAACAAUACAAACAAUAAGUUGCAUCUUUACUUACACUAUACUUCAGCCAGCCAGGAAAUUCAUCAUACCAUUUACGAUUAAAACGAUGCAUAUCUCCACAAAUCUUUGUUUGAGGAAACUCUUGUAGUUGAGAUUGACAAGGUUUUUUCAGAAGAUACGCUCUUCUAAUCAUGUCACGAUCAUUUGGAUGAAAUUCUAAAAUUGGAGUUCUUUCACCCAAAUCAACCUUUAAAGAGUUUAAGUCAAAUUCUUGAGAAGAAUGUGAUGAUACUCCAAACUUAUUCUAAUUUUCUUCCCGAUUAGGUUGACUAUGUGCGACAGAACUUGAAUUUGAGAUUUCAGAAAAAUAUCUUUUCAUGACUCUUGAAUGGAAAGCAACAAUGAAAAAAAAAAGAAAAAAGAAAAAGGGUUUUAACUUUGGGUAAAGAACAAGAAAGUGAUUUUGAGAUUUGACUUUGAGAAUUCUCAAAUUCGUAUUUCAAUUGAGGUUUUGAGGUUUUUAAUUUUGGAAAAAUAAAAAAAAGGUUUUAAGUUUUUUUUUGUUGAUUGUAUAGUUUAACUUAUUUUGAAUUUUGUUUUUAUAUAGCAGGUGAGGUAUAGCUGUACAGGACAUUUGAGACGUCUUUUUUUUUUUUUUUAUAGUUGUACAGGACAUAAAGUAGCAGCUGUACAAAACAGUUUGAAAAAAUUGCAGCCUGCACACACCCGCGGGUAGCGGGGAUCGAACCCACGACGAGGGUUGAAGUAGCUCCCCAAGAAGUGGAGAUAAUACCACCGAGCUAUCCAACAACCUUGUGUUAGGUGGUUCAAAAUUAAUAUAUGUACAUAAAUAUAGAUUUUCUACCUUAUAUAUACAACAUAAUUUUUUGUCGAGGGGGUUCGGGUGAACCCCCUGGAAACCAUGCAGGUUCGGCCCUAGCCAAUGUGUGGGUUCUAGGCCUUUCGGGUCUGUUUAAUUUGGAGAGUCUAGCUAGAACUAUCUAGGUGGUACCAGUAAGUUCCACUCACUAUUUGUUUUGAUGGCCAAUAUAUAAAACUAUAGUGCACUUAUAUUAUUAUCCGAGCCACCAUCUUUGGUGUUGGUAUCAUCUGAUUGGCACAACGCUAUGCAAUAUCAAGCUUUUGAAACGAUCUACUUCAACUUGAUGUUAAGAAGGUUAGAAUUUUUUUCUCACCAUCAGAAAUAGUGUCACUAUCAGCGUUAUGUAUAACUUUUAACUAAUAGGCAGAACUUUUGAAUUCGGAUCUAUGUUUAUGUACUAAAAAAGAAUAAUUAAAAGAUAUGAAUUCAUAAGGCAAAAUAUUUUAUUCCUUUUGAGGGCUUUUACCUCUUUAGAUAUAAGAGUUUUAUUAGCCCACAUAAUAAUUAAUUUCAUCUUUCUAAUCUAUGUUUCAUGUAACUAUUGUUUUUAUAGGCUCAGGUGCGAAUGAAUGUGCUAAUUAUGGGGCACAUGAUCUCCAUAACUAGGUAGUUUAUGCAUAUAUUUUUAAAAAAUUAAUAUAAUAUUAUGUUGAUUUUCAUGUUACAAGAAGACUAAAUGACACACUUAUAAUGUUAUUUAAUUUACCGUGGAGAAUAUUAUCAGAGUUGUGCUUUAUCAUUAUUGUCUUCGUGAACUAAUUUUAUUUUGACACAAUUAGGGAAAAUUCCUACAUUCAGUAGAACUUCCCUUCUUAAACAAGUAAUAUAAAAAGGCACGCUUAAUAUUAGUACGCUACCCGAUGUAAUUUUAUUGUAAUAAAUCAUAAAAUUUUCUUUCAUAAGACAAAUUCAUGGUUGUGCAAACUAUUAGAAUCUUAGUACAUUUAAUGAUGAGUUUUCUAUCAUGAAAAACAAAAUAAAGUAUUGCAAAUGUUAAACUCAUCUAUCUAUUACAUCUUUAGUGAACUUUUACAAUAAAUUAAUGCACCACGAAAAGAAUUGAAUUAAGAUGAACUCGAUACUAAAAAGGGUAUAUCCCUUGUGCUAACAAUAAUAGUUUUUCUACAUCAAUAAUUUCAUAUUUAUUGUAUAUGUAAGAAGGAUAUCAAUUUUGGGAACAAAGUUACAAACAUAAUAAGAGCAACCAAAGCAACAAACAUCUAACUAUUUAUUCCCACAAAUAAUAGAAAGGAUCCAAAACGUAAUAGUUAAAGAGUUUUGUUUAUGGGAAAUUAUUUUAUUUUCAAUCAUUAGAGUUUUAGGAGUCUGAGUAUUUUCUUUUUUGUUAUAAACCUUUGUGAGUUGAAGUGCAAUAUUGGACAUUACCAUUUCAAAAUAUUUGAUGUGACAGUAAAAUUUAGUUUAUUUAGAAUUAAAAUUACAAUAAAUUUACGCUCAAGAAUAAUAUGGUGUUAUUUAAUGGAGCAUAUGUUAUUGAUUUGUGAAAUAUACAAUUUAUUAUUGUGUAAUGAAUGACUAUAUUUUUAAGAUUUUACUAAUAUACGACAUAACCUUGAUUAUGCUACUACUAAUUCUCACAUCAUAUACAUCCUCUUCUACCGUUUUCUAUAUUCUACUUCUUCCUCUAUUUUUUUGAUGUGAUCAUUAUUGAGAUUAUAUUUAAAUUUAAAUUAUUUGUAAUAACUUGAGUUGGAAUGUGCAUUGUGACAAAGAUACUAACUCUUUUAAUAUUGAAGAAGAUAAUUAAUAGGCAAUCAAUUUGUCAGAAUUUAGUAGCAUGAAUUUAUGAAGAAAAUUACAAAGGAAUUUUUAUAUGAAUAAGUAUUUUUUAGUUUGUAAUUACUCUCUAUUUUGUUUAAGAAAAAAUAAUAAUUACGAUAUAUAAUUUUAUUGAUUGUCAUAAGAUACAUGUGCAUUAAACUAGUUUGAGUAAAAAUGAGAAGUGCACUUAUGGUCAUUGUUGCGGCUGGAACUAUGGCCAAGCCGAGGGAAAGGUGUUGCAACACCCCCAUACUUUCGAACUACAAUUUUUGUGCAUAUAGGUACGAACAUAAUGAUUUAUUUUUAGAUAUAAGUAUUUAGAUCAAUUCUCUAGUGUGUUUUGGAUGUGAAUUAAGGUCUCUAGCACAAAGACAAGUUGAACAUCCUGCACAGAUUAAGUUUCCAUAUAAAUUUCUAUUAGGUCAACUUCAAAUGAGCAUUUCUCCUAGAAUAGGAAGAUUUAUGUGGAUCAUUACCCAUCAGAUUAAAUAUUUUUGAGUGUUCUUUUCAAUGCCAUUAAUCGUUCGUCAAUCAGAGUUCGGACCAAAAAGUUAUGGAAAUUUUAGUGAAGCAUUGUCCCAGCUGUACGUUGGGCAGCGCGGGGUGGACCUCAAGCCAGGAGAUCACUCUCUGCGUUGGGCUGGGACGCGUGGAGCACAUCUCCCCGACAUAGAAGUUAAUUUUUUCUCUUAUUAAACUAGGGGCAAACUAGUCCUUUCAUUUCAUGUAACUUCCCCAACCCAUUUUAUAACCCUAAAUUCAUUUAAACUAGUAGAAAUCUCCCAAUUCCCUCAUUCUCUUCCUCCCAAAAACAUGCUUAGAAGCAAGAAUACCUAGGGUUCAAGAUUCAAGACUUAAACUCAAGCUUUCUCAAAAUUUCUUCCAUCAAAAUAUAUAUAUGUUGAACAAUCCCCUUUCAAUCAAAUCUAUUAGUGGUGGUUUUCCAAUUACAAAAAUAAUUUUUAUGUGAAUUUUGACUGUAUUGUUGAGUGAUUUUUGAAAUGAGUAAUUACUUAAGCUUAAGAACCUUUCCUAUGAAAUUGCUUUUAAAUUGUUAUUUGAACUUGAGAAUUGAGAUUUACUAUUUUAAUUAUGAAAUUCUUUUAUUAUGAAAUUAUAUUGGGACAUGUUGAAGUCAAGAAGUCACGUUUCUCUUAUAAAUCCCUUGUUAUUCAAACCUUGAUUUUUGGUGAGAGAGAAAACUACCACAUCCCUUGGUUUUGGAAAGAAUGUUGAUACUUGAAUGUGAAACCUUCCACCCUUAGAGGAUAUGUUUAAAUAUGCUUAAGUCUUUAAAAUGAUGGGGCUAAUGAUGUACAAACAUAUGAAAUAGUUAUGGCAUGAUAUAUAUGAAUUGCAAGUCUUGGUAUGAUGCUACCAACUUAACAAAUGCCCCUAAUAAAGACUUACUUUAAUAUCAAUGGAAAAUGUUAUGAAAAUAUAAGAAUUGGGCCUAACAAGAAUUAUGUAGUUCACCGAGAAGGUGUAAGUCCUCGUCACCAAAUGCCUGAAACCUAUAUUUUGCAGACAUAGGGAUGAUUCACACCUUAACGGGACAACCUUACGAUGUUUUCCUCUAUGAGGAUAUUGUGAUGGCCAAAUUACAUUGAUCUCACUUUAUGUAACAAACAUGGAUUUGGGCCCCGUCGAUUGGGGAAAUAUUAGAUCCAUAUAGCCCGUGGGUUGCCUAAUGUCGGUGAAACUAUAUAGUUUAGAAUUAAAGUUUAAUAAGCGGUUAUGUUUUAGGUUUUAAGUCACAUGUCCCAUAUUUUUUUCCUGAUAUGAUUUAUGCUCAAACUCUUAUGACUUAUUUUAUAAACUAUUUUGACCCUAUCCUUGGGUUGCAUAUCCGUGUUCAUCGUGCCGAUCGUCCAUGAACACUACAUUUUUUAUUGAUAUAGGUUCGGGGCAUUUUCUCAUGGUUCUGUGUAGCAUUAGGAUUCUCGGAACAUCUUUAGAAAAUGGUGAGUCAUCCAUCUUCUGUAGGCAUAUAUUUUCUUCUUAUUAGACAUUGAGUAUCCUGUUUUAUGGUAUUGCUAGGGCCUUGUCUCCACUUAGAUUUUCAUUCAUAUGUUGAAGGCUCGUAGACUAAAAUAGAUGUUGUCUAAAUAUUUUAUUCAAACUUGGAUAAAUUUUUAUUAUAUUUUAAAUGAAUUUCCUCUAUUGGGUCUUUCUUCCACAAAUACUUGUUGAAAUGCUUAUGAUGAUAUGCUAAGGGAUCCUCUCGGGCCUUCAUUGUUCUAGGCUACCUGUUAAGUCCAACGCCUAGUCCUGGGCCGUGAUUGGUUCCAUCACCAAAUGAUAUUAGAGGUGCCAUAGUUAAUGCAAUUUGUUGUUACAAUGCCAAUAUUGGACUACUAAUUCCUCCUAUUCCAUAUUAGUAGUUGUCACGACCCGAGCCGAGGCCCUAGCCGCGCCGAGCAUCUCAAACCAUGAAGGCCCGAGCUCCUUUUUCUAUCUGGUAAUCAUGCACAACGUUCAUACAAUAUAAAGAAAUGCAAAAAGUUAACAAAAUGGGAACAUGGUCAUCCUUUAUUUCGACCAGAUAAUACAAAAUAUAAAUUCAUAAUUGUUCAAAACACAUGACACCAGUCUGCGAAAUCUCUAACAACAUGAAAAUAACUUCUGUCUGAAAACUGGGACAAGGCCCCCAAUUGGACCAUAAACUAAAAUAAAUGACAAAUUUCAUAACCAGGACUUCCGAAAUAAGAGAGGCUCACCGGCUGCAAAAUUCUGAUAAUGUCAACUACUGCUUAGGGGGACCCCAAGACUGGACCUCGGAUCCUGAAAUAUAGGGGGUCAACACAAAUGUACUGGUACGUAGAACAAUCCAAAAAUAAAAAUACAUUUAUAUAUACAACAUAGGUGAGAGUGUUUCAAAAGAUACAUGUCAUCUUAAAACAGUUGAAAACACAUGGGCAAAAUCUAAAUCUUUCAAAACACAUUCUGUAAAUCACGACCCUACUCUUUAUCUUACUUCUGAGAUAGAUGGUAUACCCUACAACUCUUCUAUUCCACGAGCUGUAUGGAAUCCGCCCUUGACUUGGAGUCCAAUCCUCCAACCCAAGUUUUCCGCAAGAGUUGGAGUCUCUCCUUCUCUACUAUGCCAUUAGGCUUCCGCCAGCAUAAAAUUUCCCCUUUUAGGUAACUUAAACCAGUGUCAGCAAAUCACAAUUUCGGGCAAUGAUUCGUUUGACUCGUGCCUUCUUCGGGUAACCAUAUAACUCUCUUAAGCCCAAUUUUAGAUUCUUUAAACCAUAUCUUAUUUGAAAAGUUAUUUCUUUAUUAAUAUCUCCGGGCACAUCAAAUUAGGGUAUCAUCAUACCCAGACUUGCAAGCCAUAUCACAACAUAUCUACUGUCCUUUCUUAUUUCAAAAGAAAAGUAUUAUUGACCACCCAAGAGAUUUAAAAAUCAACAAUAGUUCAUAUUUCAAAACAUAUGAAAACAAAACAUUUUCUCUUCAACACUUUAUCUACGGUGGUCAUCUUCUUUUAUUAAAUAUUUUCAAAACUUCAAUUGGAAACAUAAAUAUUUAUAAACCAAGUAAAACACCCUCUAAUUUAAUCAAUCAAAAUAGUACAAUGUACACGUAUUAGUAACCCUACCAACUUAAGCUUUUAGCAAUCUAUAAAAUCAAAGCCUCAACUUGUAAAAACAAUGGAUUUAAAAGUAAGAGUGGGGUUUACAUAGUCAUUCUCUCAUUUAUCAUUAAAAAUUUAAUAUCACAUGAUCUCACAAAAGACAUUUCAACCUUAGGGUCUCAUACCACAAGUUCAACAAAACUUCAUCAAUAUAAGGGAUUUUCAAUACAUAUCCAUCAAUACAUUUAAAAACCAAUUUCGGAUGCAUAGGUAUAUAUACUCAUUAAAGAUUGUUUAGAAUAAUUAAAUCCAUGACUAUGAGGUUUAGGAUAGUCCCACAUACCUUAAUUUACGAAGAAUUCGUGAAAAGACCGACCCUUUAAGCUUGAAAGAGAAAACCCUAAGUUGUUUACCUUCUUUUGUGUUUUACAUGAUGAACUAAGGAUUUGAUAGGGUUAAAACCUUUUUUGGAGCCUUAAAUCUAUGUUAAUAUGUUUAGGGAUGGUUAUUAGAUGACAAAAUAUCAUGUUGCCUUUGACUUAACUCAAAAACAAAGUCCCUACACCCAAAAAAUACAAGGUUGACGACGCUUAACCCAUGUCCAAGAACAAGGUUGGAGACGCCAAGCCUAUGGAAAAGUUCAAGGUUGUCAAUGCCUAAUCCAUGGCUAAACCUUUCCAGUGAAGGUAGGUGAUGUUAAGGAAAUGCCUAGCCAUCGCCUAAGCUUUAUUUUGUGAUACCUACUUAGUUUUGAGGUCCUUAAACACUUCCAAAACCUCCCAUAAUGUCAAUAUAUGAUAUAUAAUCACUAAAUGGGUCCUAAAUAUCACUUUAGACUCAUACAAAAGACUGUUACGACUAUAGGGGGUCACAAUCAUACAGCCUGGAUGGUGCCUCAUUCAAAUACUCACAACUUCUUACUUCGGACUCGAAUUGAUGAACGGUCGAAGGUGCUGGAAAGAAGAAUCGAAGGGAUUUAACUUGAUAAAUAGUAUUCCAUACUAAUAUUUAUACAUUAAUAGAAACAAUCAUUGGAUGCUAACCCAUGCAAAAUCGUCAACUAAAAAUCAAUCGAUAGAAAAGUGCUUAACUUAACUUUUGAUCUAGGAGAUUCUUAUGAUGUAUAUUCAUCUCCAAGUAUGUUUCCACACUAAGGAAAUAUAAUUCACACUUAUUUAUGACUAUACACCAUUGGAUUAGGGUCCAUAUACAUCGUAAAGAUGGUUCAACUUUAGCCCGAAAGUGUGGGGUGUUACAGUAGUGAUUUGGGCAAGCCCAUUACUUGUUCUUUAUACUCAUGUUUAUACCGGUUCAAGCCAAAAUUUGUGGACCAUUACUUUUAUGUGUAUAUAUAUAUAUAUGUUGACUACAUUUACUUGUAACCAAUGAAUUCAUUUUUCUAUUACUCAAUAAUAUCUCAUCUUUUAUCUUCUCAAUAUUUCUCUCUCUAGAAUUUCUCAAAGUUGUCAUUGUAAAAAAGGUAUCAGAGCUAGGGCUUUUUUAGAUUCUAGGACUUAUUUGUUGUUCAAUCGUGUGCUCUCCUGAGUGUGGUGGUUGGUGAUCUCAUCUACUCGUUGGGAUUCUUGUUAUAGGGACUGUCCUUAUUAAAGUUUUGUCGGAUUCAGCCUUCUUGCCUCAGAAAGUUACAAAAGUUCAUCCUUUUUCAUCUACUUUAAUUUGUAGAAGCUCUAGCAUACCUUGUCCUCUAGGGAUUAUGUUCCCUCUCUAAAUGAUUAUUCUCUCUUUGUUAGAGGUUCUGGCAAUUAUUUAGUUAUUUUUGUUGAGUAUGUUGAUGACAUUAUUCUAACUGGGACUAAUUCCUCUGAAAUUGUUGUAGUUAAGUUCUUCCUCCAUGACUAAUUCAAAAUAAAGGACAUGGCUGUUUUGAACUAUUUCUUGGGGAUUGAGGUUUUGUACUCAGGUACUGGUGUUGCUUCAUCAGAAAAAUUUCUUCAUGACCUUCUCUAUGAACUUCAUUUCUCUAGAUCACUUCUGUCACAUGCCCUCUUGAUAUUACUGCUAAAUUCUAGGGUGAUGUUGGUGCCCCCUGUAACAUGCUGCAUUUUUUAAGCUAGAAAUUGAACCGUCGUUCCUAUGUGUGUAAAUACAUGUGUCAUGAUAUUUAUCCUAGUAUGUGAAGUGCUUAUGGGGUGAAAAGUGUUCAUAAAAAUCACUUAGAGCAAAUUGAGCUAAGAGCCUUUGAUUCGGCCAAAUUUUUAUAUUUGAUUCUACAGAGGUCAAUUUUGAACGUGUAUAAAUUUUGACAUAUGUGUAAUUUUUCAGCUCAAUACCCACCAAAUGAUAGAUAAUUGAAUUAUCUUUCUAAAGAUACCAAUUUCGCCUUAAUCUGAUACCCCGAGCAAAAAGUUAUGACUAUUUUCGUGAGAAACAGUAAGGGUUCGCAAUAGCCCCACUCUGCGAGGGCUAUUCCAUAAAAAUAUGGGUCACUUCAAGAGGUCUACUCCUUUAGAUUAGGGGUCACGCCAUGAUGGCUAUUCCCCUACUAUUCCAGCUUCCUAUGGGCCAAGGGGUAAUUUGGUCCUUUCCCCUCAACCCCACUCAUCCAAAACACGAUUUGUAAUACUCUUAGGGGAAUUAUUUGUCCAUUAACCUUAAAAUUUCACACUAUAAAUCCUUCCCCUUUCCCAAGAACCAAGUUCAAGCUUUUGAUCCAUUUUUAAUCCGCUCUAGCAUUUCAAGAGCGGGUUAAAACAGCCCCUAAUGGGUAUUUUCUUAUAUUUGGGUCACUUUUGGGCCAUAAUUAUGUAAUAUGUAGCAAACCUAUAAAUUCUUGGUAGAUAGUCUUAUUUUCUUAGUUCCGGGAUGAUAUUUUUACAUGAUGUAUUCAUGAGACUCCUUGGGAGUGUUAAGUGUUUGAAAAAGCAUUUGUUUAACUUUGAUUAGAAACAAUGGUUGUAAGGAGGAUCUAAUACCCUUUGCAGUCACCAUAAGAUUUAGGUGCCUAUUGAUAGUCAUUAAUGGAGGUUUUAGGAUUUGAUACAUCCUUUGAUUGCCCUUUUGGUAUCACAUUUGUGUCUAUCUUCUUAUCUUGGUUAUUCUAUCCUUCUGUCUUUAUUUUUCACAUCUUAGAUUUGAGUCCUCAUGGUUCAAUUCGUAUCAUUUCGUAUCUGGGCUGAGUUUAGGAUAGUUUCCACAAUUCUAGUCUUGGGUUUGUUAUCUUGAAAAUCAACAAAAAAAUUUGUCAAAAUCAAAAAUCAGAAAAAAAAAAAGUUACUAUUCAUGUUUUUGUCUUAGGUCAAAAUUUGAGUCUUAGAUUUUGUGUUUCGCGUGUUAUAUUUUCAUUCCCUAACACUAUUAGAGUCCAUACAUCAAAUUUAAGCUAAAUCAGAGUGAAAUUGAGCCUUAUGCAAUCAUUAGAAGCUUGGAUUUGAAGAGAAGAAGUUUGGUGUGAAUUGAAAAUUUGGAAUUUUUAAUUGUGAAUUUGAGCAAAAUUAUGGUUGGAAUGUGCUUAGAAGGUUGAAACUAGCCUUGGUUCAAAAUUUUGUCGCAUUUCGAUCAACGUUUUAAGAGAUAGAGAUUUUUGAAGUUUUGGUGUUCUUGAGUGUUCUUGGAGAAAUUUAAAUCUUCAAGAGAAAUUUUUGGGAAAAGGUGGUUUUUUGAUCCUCAAAAGUGAAGAAAAAAGUGUACAAAAGUGUUUGUACAACAUCUUUUGAAGGCCCUAAUGAAUAUUCCAAGAGAGAAGCAAAGGAGGCCCACAUUUAGGCAAAGCUGGGCUGAAAUAUCAGCCUUGCUGCGUUGGCCUAUGGUUCAUUUGCUUCAGUAGAUUGGCAGCAAAUUGGCCACAGGUCAGGAGUAGACUAUACUGGUUUGAUCUGUGUUGCAUCUACUUUAGCAGAUUGGUAGCAGAUUGGCCACAAUCAGGGGCAUAUUGGUCCUGCGUCCAACAUGUUCUCCAUAUACGCCCAAGGUACGACCACACUUCAAGGCAGUCCUCUUGAAUGCGCCACCAACCUAUUUUGAACACAUCUAAAGCCUUCCCAACGUCCAAUUCAAGUUCUAUCAAUACUUCUCCAACAUCAAUUCAACUUCUAAAACACAUCUCAACACUCCAAAAACUCCAUUGCUCAAGAUUUAAUUCUUAGUUUCAAUUUCUUAAUUCUUGAAUCUCUUCUUUGAUUCUUAAACUACUCAUCAACUAGUAACUCAUCUACUAAGUUGAUUGAUUAGUUUUGAGUUUGUUUUCUUUCUUCAUCCUUUUCUUUGUGUGUGUUUCUCAUUUUGAUUCAUCAUAACUUCUUUGAUUCUAGUUCGUAAGUAGAUUUUCUUUUGUGUCUUAAGUUGAUCAAACAAGAAUCCAUUUCGGCCACAAAGUAGUAAUUGACACCUUAUUGACUGCCAGAGUAUAAGUAACUUUCAAUAUUUACCGCUGCAAUUGUGAGGAUCACAAAUGUGAGUUUAAUACGAGUGUUGGUGAGGAGCUUUACUACUAAUCUUGUUUGUUCAUUUUGUAGGUACAAAGAGAUAUAAAGGUAACAUGUCUUUGAUAGCCUCAUAUGAUUUUGACUACGACAUAGGAAACUAUGAUUGUGGUGAAGAAUGUUAUGGUUACGAAUAAGAUGGGGAUUAUGGGAGCUAUGAAUAUAGCCAUGAUCAAAUGUAUGGAAGCGGGAACCAAGUGAUGAAUGGAGGGUAUAGUAGGAAUCAAUGUCUUCCUACUCUAUCUAUCUUCAAAGUAGAAUGGGAUCCUGAAGUUUACCUUGAUUGGGAAUGGCAAUGCAAAAGGAUCUUCGAGGAUUAUGCUAUGAGGAAAGCCGAACAAGCUACAUAUUCCCUUAAGUAAAUUCAAGGUCCGACCUUAGAAUGGUGUAAACUUUCAAGGAAUCCUACUCAAACUUGAGGUGCCUUGAAAGAGUUUUUGAGGCAAAUCUAUGUGCUGAAGGGUUAUACGAAGCUUUAUAAUAGUGAUCCAAGAUGAAAACCUUUUUCAAGAUGGUUAGAGAUUUCUGGAGUUACGAUAUGUGUUCUUAUACUUGACGAUUAGUUUCAUGCAAACUACGUAACUCCUCUUAUGGUUGAUAAUCUAGGGAUACCUCGAGUGUCUAAGCGUUUCCCAUAUGUCUUGGAAGGCUAUAGAGUCUUCUCGAGCGUAAAGGUUUCCUUCACUUGAGAUAGAUACUUUGAGGAGGUGUGAUGUGACAUAAUCCCCUUAUAACGUGGACACUUAUGCUUGGGUGUGGAUUGGUUUGCACAACAUAAGAUUCCAAAUGUGCAAAAUUUGCCUCAAAUUAUAUUAGACCAAUAGGGAAACCAUCUCUUUCUACCUACCCUUCCUAAAUCUCAAGGCAAUAUGGUUAAUUACUCUAAGCUAAAAGAAAUUGAGAGACAAAAGAUUGAGAGGAGUAGGAGAGUGCAAGGUGGAAACCUAAGAGAGGAAAAAGAAGAGAUUGUGAGGAGUGAAGUGAGGGGGUUGCCACCAACCGGAGACAACAUUGUUUGUCCUUUUUAUAAUAAGGACAUAUAUGUAGGUACCAACAUGGCAAGCAUAAGAGAACAAGUGCUAAAAGAUAAGAUUCCCUUUGAAUACUUGAUGAGGGAAAUUUAAUUGAAUCCAAAGGUUGUGGAGGACCUUCACACCAAGGUAAAGAAUAACAUGCUCAAGAACUUCAAGGUAAAAUAGCUAACUUUUACACUCUUGUGCAUGAAAAUGAUGAUUCUGUGGCUAUUAGACCAUUGAGUAUGAUAAGUAGUUUACCUACAUGUGAUUCUAAUGAUUCUUUACCUCUUGAUAAUGAUGUACAUAUUGUGAGUGUGGAUACACUAGUUGAUCCUAUUGAUAACCAAAUUGACUCUUCUUGUAAGAUUAAUUUGUGUCCACCUAAUGUUGAAGCCAUUGUGUUGGAUGAUAGUACAUCAUCUUAUGGAAAUUGUGUUGAUUAACUUAUGCACGAAACUAGUCUAUUACUUGAGGAUAUGUGUAAUAUGAUUAGAGAACCUCAAGUAAGUGAUGAAAUUGAAAAUGUUGGUCUAGAAAAUGGGAGUGACCCUUUGAUCUUGUCUUUUAGUGAAGAUCCUAAUGCUUGCUUGGCUCAAAGGGAUGAUCAUGUUCUUGAAACAUCUUUGACACUUGAUAAUGAUCUUUUAGAGAAUGGACUUGCAUAUUCUACAUCCUCUCCAUGGAUAGAUACUUCUCUUUUUAUGAACAAUAUCUUUUUUAAAGAUGAUAAGCUCACUCCUAGUGAAUUACUUAGUGGUGUGGAUAACAUUGUUGAUAUAUCUCAUAUUGAGGUGUGACAAUAUUUCUCCUAAAGAUGGAAAUAUCUUCUUGGAAGAUGAGAGACUCUUAAGGAAAAGAAAUGUGAAGUCUUGGAAAGGAAUAAUCGAUUGGGUGAUGAUAUGCUUAAAUCCUUAAGAAACCCAAUAAGUGAUUGUUCCUUAGAAAAUGAUUGUGUAUGUGAUCCUUUAAAUGACACCCUACCCUUAUUUGAUAUUUAUUAGGAUGAAUUCCUUACUUCUAGUGAAGGCCUAAGUAAUAAUCUUUUUGAUAUUGGUGGUGGUAUGUGUCCACUUGAGGAUUCUUCCAUUGAAAGAGAAAGUAUUAAUUUCUUGGAAAUUGCUUCCUCCUCUACUUUGUGUGACCUUAUUGUUAAGAAUACUCAUGGUGAUGAUUUUCAAUCUAAUAGUGAGUAUGUGCAUGAGGGUACCUUAGUUGAAGUUGACUUGAGUGAUAUAUUUCUCUACUCUCCCUUUACUUUUAAUGAUGCUUAUGCUAAUGAGGAGAGUAUAUCUUUUAGUUGGGGUGAAGCUACUUGUCUAGACCCAUGUCUAUGGCCACUCUUUCUAUUUGACCCCAGUUCCAAAUUUGGAUAUGGUGAUUGUGGUGCACCAAACUUAUUGCUUGGUCCACAUGACAAGCAAAGUUUGAAUGAAGGUGUUGGUAUCCUUCCCUAUGAUGGAAAGUAUUUCUUGAGGAUUCGCAAUCCACUUGAGGGACCAAUAUUGUGUAAGGGAAAGAACUCCAAGAUGAAGGAUUUUUAAAGAAGUGGAGUAGUGAAAAUCUACAAGGGAGUUCACCAUUAUAUGUUUCCAUUCUUCACCAAGGUUCCACUACUUAUAGGUCAAGAAGAGUCUUCGCUUGAAACUACUUUGGAUGAAUUCCAUUUAUAUGAUACAUUUCUUCAAUUCUUGAGUGGAAUUGAUGACCUCCUUCUCCAAGGUGGUAUCAUUCUUUAGAAGUCAAGGGCAAAUGUGUCAUUGUCUACUUUGGGUGUUGCUUAUAUACUCGCAUCCUUGCUGACACACUUUUACUUAAAUUGUGUGAAUUCCAACUUAUGGAUGCCAAGUUGAUUAUUUUUUUUUGAAGAUACCAUGGAUGCUAAGGACUUCUUGUCAACUUCACAGGGUUGGACAAUUUGAAGUAUCUUGUGGGGCUUUUGGGAGCAUGCUUACCUUUGUUAAUAGAGAUGAACAAACUAUUAAGGGCAUGACCCUAUUAAUUUAAUACCCUAAAAAUCCAUACCAAUGUUAUAACCAUAAUUCAGUCUUAUAAGAAACAAAUUAUAGUGCUUUACCAAUUUUAUGAGUGAGUUUGACGUAUAUUAAGUCCUCAAAUAACUCCUAGCUAUUAGACGAAUCAAAACAAUCCUUACUGAUUGAGUUUUUAAUGAGAAUGUUUCCUUAGUCAACUUCAAAUGAGUAUAUCUUUUGCUCUACUUAGAAUUUUCUAUCUUAAGACCCACCAAACUAUAGGAAAUUGAAUUAUCUUUCCAACGAUACCAAUUUUGCUUUAAUUCGAUAACCAGGUAAGAAGUUAUGACAAUUUUUGUUCCAUACAGUGGGCCACUGCAAUGGUACUACGUUGUAGUGAUAGGAAAAAUGACACUCAUCAGUUUCCAGUGAAGUACUACGAUAAGCAUCGCGUCAUGGCAAAGUGCCAGGUCGCACUCAUCAUUUUCAAGUGACGCAACACGAUAGCACUGUGUCGCGCUAAAGUGCAAUUUUGCACUCGUCCUUAGACUACACCUACAGUGAAAUUCCAAUGGCUCACCUCGAUGGAACCGCGUCCAGUGAUGGCCAAAAUAGGGAUUUUUCAGUGACGAAAAUUUUAUUUAUUCCAGGGGCAGUUUAGUCUUUUUUCAUGACCCCAAUCAAUCCAAACAUGGGAUUAAAUCCCUAAUGGCCUAAUUAGUCAUUACUUUAUUCAAUUUCUCUUGAUUAAAGAGCAUUCUCUUUCAAAUAGAAAACCCUAGCCUUCAAGAUUCAAGUUCAAUUCUCAACAAAAUUACCAAAAAACUUCAAGAGUUCAACUAUUCAGGUAUGUUAAGUGUUUAUUCAUGGGUUCCUUUUAUCCAUGGAGUCCAAGUAUCCAAACUUAAAUUUAAAGUUGAGAUCUUUUCAAGUUAUUAUGAUUUUAAAUUAUGAUUUCAACCAUGCAUCUCCAUGAAUCUUUAUUUCAUACCAUGCUUACAUGAAAUUGUUGUUGUUAUUAAACCCCACAUGUUUUAAUAUUGCUAUUUUCUGAAUUAAAUCAUGAUUAAGUGUUGUUGAUAUUGAAAUUAUGCUAUUACUUCAAGUUUUAUAAUAUUCCCAUGUUUAGCCUAAACCUUGCAUGUCAAGUGUUUGACGAAAUGCCUACAAGAAUGGAUUUUUAAUAAAUGUUUUCAUGUUAUGUCCUUAAAGUUUAGUACUAUUUUACUAUUAUUGCUAUUGAGUCCUGGGAGUUAUGAAUAUCCAAAAAAUUAGUUGUUUACUUAGUCUCAGUAUCUUCAAAAUAGUUUAGAUAAAUCAUGAGCAUUACCACUCAGUUAGCCUUCAUAAUCAGUUUUUUCUGCAGUUAAGCCUAGUUCAGUCCCGUAAUUAGUGCCAGUUCAUUUGGGAGUAGGAUUCAGCACCGAGAAAACCCAAGGAUGGGGGCAUUUUUUCUAGUAUAGGGUUUGACCCUUAGUAGCGAUCCCUGAGUUACAGAACUAUGUAGCUAGUUUAGGUUUGAGAUGUCUUCCUGCUAGUUUAGGGUUGACAUAUAUCUCAUGAGUCUUUCUGUUAGUUUAGGGUUGACAAGAUGUCUUCCUACUAGUUUAGGGUUGACAAAGCCAUUGUUAGUACCCGUGGCACGGUACUAACACCCUUUCAACUGGAGUCACAGGUUGGACCCCAAUCAUCUCAAAGCGGCGCAUGUUGGUUAGAUGAUACCUCCCAUAGUUUCAGUUUCAGUACUUAGUUCAGAAUUAAGUUCAUUCUUGCUUGACCAUAGCACACAGUCUAUCAGUUAUUCAGUUAUCAGUAUUCAGUAUUUCAAAUUUCAAAUUAUUUUUCGAACAUGUUUUAUGCUUUGUCAUGCAUUCUCAGUACCUAUAGAUUUCAUGCAUUCUAUUCAGUACUUCAUGAUAUUCAUUCAGUUAGUUAUUACUCCUGUACAUAAAACCAUUCAUAUUAUCCUACCUUAUUUAGCAUACCUGUACAUUCAAAGUACUGAUCGCAUACUCAUUUCUUUCACUAUGAUGUAUCAUAUCAUAGGUUCAGAUACUCAGUUCUUGGAUUGCGCAUAGACUUUCCAGAUUAUUAGAUGUAGAAGUGGUAAGUCCUCAUAUUUUGAGGACAAGCUAUAUUUAUUUUCAUGUUUUUAGUUCGGUAGUUAGUCGGAGUUAGUUGGGGGCUUGUCCCAUCAACUUCACAGUCUGCUAGUAGAGGCUUUCUAGACUAGUACAGAUACUUAGUCAAUCAUCAACUUUUCAGUUGUCAUUGUUAGACGUUUUAUUUAGUAUUAUUAGUAUUGUUUUACAAAUAUUGUCAGAACUAUGAUUUAAAACCUUAUGACAUUCCUCAGUUAAAUUUUGCAUAUGAUCUUUUGUUAUCAGUUUUACUCAGUGCUCACAGCAGGUACCAGCUCAUGGGUUAGCUUAUGGUCCCUCAGGACUAUGAGUAUCGUGUGAUGCCCAGGGUGUAAUCUUGGGACAUUACAAACUUGGUAUCAGAGCUGAAGGUUUUAAAGUGUCCUAGAAAGUCUGAAAGCCGCAUCAAGUACGAGGCGUUUUAAGAAAAGUUUCCUUCCAUUCAGUGUUUAUAUCGUGCGAAAGAGCAUGAGCUCAAGUUGAACUCUCUAUUUAAUUCAAUUCUUCCUUCUGUUUACAAACCAUGCCUCCUAGAAAGAUAAGCGAAAGAAGAAAUAUAAACCAGCCAACACCUUCAUCCAUUCAGGAAGAUUCCCUGAACGAGCAUGUUUCUCAUGCAGAGUUCAGAGAUGCAUUCACUACUCUAUCUCAUUCUAUAGCAUCUCAGAAUGUUUAGUCGGUUGCUGGUCUGACCAACCCAGUGCCAAUACUACCGCAGCUAGGAUUCAGGACUUUACUCGAAUGAAUCCUCCUUUGUUUUCGGGAUCCAAACCUGAAGAGGAUCCGUAGGAAUUCUUAGACAUGGUCCAGAAGGUAAAAGAUAUUAUGGGGUAACUUCUAGUGAGAGUGUUGAAUUGGAUACUUACCAGUUACAAGAUGUAGCUUAUACAUGGUUUAAGUAGUGAAAGGUAGAGAGAGGCACAAACGCAGGGCCUGUAGAGUGGGAGGACUUUGCUAUAACUUUCUUAGAGAGAUUCUUCCCGUUGGAGUUAAGGGAAGCUAAGGUAUUAGAAUCCAUUAAUUUAAAGUAGGGAAACAUGAGUGUGAAAGAGUAUUCCCUCAAGUUUACUCAGUUAUCUAGGUAUGCUCCUCAUGUGGUAGCUAAUAACAGAUCUAGGAUAAGCAAGUUUGUGUCUGGUGUAUCUAAUAGUGUAUUUAACGAGUGUAAGACUGCGAUGUUACUUAAAGGGAUAGACAUAUCUAGGAUUAUGGUCCAUGCUCAAUAGAUUAAGGAGCAGACGCUUAAGAAGAAGGAGAGAUAGAAUAAGAGAUCCAGAAUAAGUAGCUUUAGUUUUGCUCAGCUAAGGUCAGAGGGUGGUAACCAUCUCCAUCUUCAUCUAGUGCACCAGUACCAAAGUUUAGGAAUGGCCGUCGGGAUGGGGUGCUAGGCUCCAAAACCUAGGGUAGUAUGGUGGUCGUACCCAUCUUUUUUGCGAAGAAUAUGGUGGAAAUAACAUAGGUAUAUGUAGAGCCGGCAGUGAUGUGUGUUUUAGAUAUGGCAAGUUAGGUCAUAGAGUUCGGGAAUGUCCUAAGGAUGGUCCACAAAGUCAGAACAGUCAUUCUUCAGGUCCAUCAAGUCACUCGACUCAACAGGGUGCCACUUCUAGUGCAACCCGAUGUCAGCAUCAGAAUAGAAUUCAUGCACUUCAAUCCCAAAAAGAUUAGGAAACUUCUCCUGAUGUGGUUACUAGUAUGUUGUAAGUCUUUCCUUUUACAUGUUUAUGCUUUACUAGAACUUGGAGCUUCUCUUUCUUUUGUAACCUCUUAUAUAGCUGUCAACUUUGGAGUAAAUCCCAAAAUCUUAGUAGAGCCCUUCUUAGUGUCUACCUCAAUGGGUAAAUCUAUCCUAGCCCGACGGGUAUACAAAAAUUUCCCGAUCACAGUAUCCCAGUAAAUCCCUUUAGUUGAUUUCAGAAAUAGUGUAGUUUAGUUUCAAUUGUCGAUGAACUAGUCAGGGAAUGAAUGAGUAGUACCUCAGUUCUUAGGGGUCAGGUGUGUUGUCGGUCCUCUCUCGAAAUCCUAUGAUAGGAUCUGAUCUAGAGUUAGCCGCAUGAGCCCAAGAUUUUGGUAGUAGUGAAGUGGGGUUAGUUGUAUGAGAGGUGAACCAGAAGGUUUAGAAUAGAGUAUGUAAGAAUUUAUGGUACUGAAUUGAAAUUAAGAAUGAUGAUGUAGGGGUGAUUUAGGGAUGUGAUAUUUGUAGGCUAUGAUGAAAGUAGUCGGGUAAUUAUAGAUUUGGGGAUAUCCAGGAUGUGUGUUAGAAUCUAAGUUUGAAUCUCUAAAGGUUGAGCUAAUAGAAAGAAGAGUUGAAGAUUCUAAGUUAGUCAAAAAGUACUAGCAACAAGUUUUACAUUAUCGGGCAUAGUAAUUCAGAGUGAUUUUACCAAUUAUAUGUAUUUUCAUACCCCAAAUUCUAGAGUGAAGUGGUGGUAAUCCAGUUUAGAGAUAUUUAUUAAGUGGUCCUAAGACUUAGAAUGAUGGCUUUAAGCUUAGAUGGAGAUGAUAGAACAAGUAACCAAGUCUAUCCCUCAAAUUCUAGUAGUGGUGCCAGUGUAUUAUAGAACAUCAGUAGGGGAGGGUGAUGCCUAACCAAUUCUCAUCUCAGUGCAGAGUUUUGUACUUCCGUCAUCGCGAUGUCUACUCAUGCUUUAUAUGUCAGCUCCAUGAUCAUAGUUCAUGUUAUUGCACAUUAUAAAGAAUCAUGUGUGCUUCCAGUUCUUAGUAUAAUGAGCCCCAGUUUUCUCAGUUGUACAAAUCAUGUACCAUGAAACUUAUGAACUACAACUCAGGUCAUGUAUAUCAUGACUCAUGCAUUCAUGCUUUAUAGUAUGUUCAGUUCUAGUACUCUUGCUACAUAUAUAAUGAUCUGCAAAAUUCAGAUUUAUGUCCUGCAUAUCCCCGUAUUAGUCCUCUUUGAUGAAUACAGUUCAGUUCAUGAGUUAUGUUUUGGAUUCCAGAUAAGUAGUUAUGAUUCAGUUCGUAUGUGUCUGAUGCAUCAUCUCAGUCUUCCUUCAGUAUUUUAACCAAGUCAGCAUCUUUCGUAGGACAUAAUACCCAAGGGGAGAUGUAUUGUGAUCCCCUGAGCUUUCAGGUCCUAAACCUUCCAUAUUCUCUUUGCAUAGCAAGAUCUAGCUUAAAGCAAUGAGGUACUUAUAAGUUGACUCUCUCAAUUAUAUCUCAGCCUUAUAACUAUUCCCAUGUCAUUGCCUAUAUUUAAGAAAUCAGUCCAAUUCAUGAUAUUCAGUUUAUGCGUCAUGUUCAGAAUUAUCUACGCAAUCAUGUUCCAAGUCAUGCAUGUUCAGUACAUGAUUUUAGUUACCUUAGUACAGUUAACCAGUCCAAUUUGAGGAUGAAUGUUCCCAAGGAAGAGAUAUUGUAAUACCUCAAAAAUCAAGACUAAUAUUAGAACCAUGCUUCAAUCUCAUGAAAAUAAAAUUAUAUUGAUUUGCAAGUUUUAUGAGUGAGUUUGACAUAGAUUAAGUCCUCAAAUAACUCCCAGCUAUUAGAUGAAUCAAAACGAUCCUUACCGAUUGAGUUUUUUAUGAGAAUGUUCCUUAGUUAACUUUAAACAAGCAUAUCUUUGGCUCUACUCAAAAUUUUCUAGAUCAAGACCCACCAAACUGUAGGAAUUUGAAUUAGCUUUACAACGAUACCAAUUUCUCCUUAAUUCGAUAACCAGGUAAAAAGUUAUGGAAAAUUUUUUCUCAAAUAAUGGGCAACCGCGAUAGUACCACGUCGCGGUGAUAGGCAAAAUGACAUUGUCAGUUUCCAGUGAAGCACCGCCAUAAGCAUCGCAUCAUGAUGAAGUGUUAGUUCACACUCAUCAUUUUCCAGUGAUGUAAUACGAUAACACCACAUCUAUAACGAGCCAAAUCUGGUACCCGAAAUGCUACAUAAUGCUCAUGACCCCGUAGUACCACAAGCUAACUCGUGACUGAUAUCUGUAACUGAGCACUGAAUAAUAAUAAUAAUAUCAAAAAUUGAAAAACAUAAACUGAAAGGCCAUAAGGUUCAAUACUGGUACAUAACUAAAACUAUGGUAUAACAAUACCAAAGCAACUGAAAUAACUGUCUGAACAUGCUAUAGUCUGAAAGCCUCUAAAUUAUCUAAAAGCUAUGGAGUUGAUGGGACAUGUCCCCAACUAACUCCAUCUACUAAAAACUAAACUGAAAUAAUGAAAUAAAUAAUCGUAUGUCCUCGAAUGAUCAGGUUUCCCUGAUAGCCUGUCUAUUGAAUGCCUGAGCUACUAAGGGUGCUCUGGAUCUCGUGUUACUGAACCUAUGGUAUAAAAGACCAUAGAGCAAAUGCGUUAGUACGAUUGAAUGUACUGGUAUGCAAGUAGGUUGGCUAAAUGCAAAAAGGGGUCAUAUGCAUGAACAAUACUGAAUGAAUGAAUAACAUGAACAUGAAAAUAAAUGCAUGAAUACGUAACAAUAACUAAGGUUGUGAGAGGAUUGAAUAUUGAGUUCUAACUACUGAGUCUACUGACAAUAUGGAUUUACUGAUAUCUGAGUUUACUAAUAUUGGGGUACUGGAUAACUGAGUCUACUGAUAUUGACAUCUAAGUCACUGAUAAGUAAGAAACUGAUAUUGUAUUACUGAAUACUGAGGGACUAAUACUAUGUUACUGAUACAUGAAUAAUUGUUUCUGAUAGUUCUGAUUAUAUAGAACUGGUUAGGUUGACUAUAUCUGAUAGUCCUGAAGCUAAAUUCUAAUAACAUGAGUUCUGAUAACUGAUAUAAUUGAUAACAUGAGUGCCUGUAUCUGACAGUCCUGAAUCUGAUGGAACUAGAUGAGUUUCGUAUUGUAUCUUAGGGAUUUAUCCUUGAGAGAAACCCUAAUUUGUUGUUGUAUAUGGAUAAUGAAAUUAUGAUCCUUGGUUUGAUAUAAUUAGGGGUUAAAAUGAGUGGAAAAAGACCCAAAUAUCCUUUUUAAAAUGGCUUUAAAAUAACUGAAUGGGAUGUGUGAUGGUCCGUUGCUGGGUCGACAGUCCGUCGGUCCUGACCGUCGUACCUGGGAAGAAUAGGGGUUCACUGCUUCCCUUGCGACAGCAUUGGGCGAAGGUCCAUCGUUAGCUCGAUGGUCCAUCAUACUAGGCCGUCGCUCUUAGGCAGAAGGUGGUCUUACUUCCUUGCUGCGACGGUGUGAGCGACGGUCCAUCACUAGCUCGACUGUCCAUCGGAUCUCACCAUUGCAUCUUGGUAGUUUGACUGCUUUCUGUGUUUCGGCUAAAAAUUUCUCUUCCGNNNNNNNNNNNNNNNNNNNNNNNNNNNNNNNNNNNNNNNNNNNNNNNNNNNNNNNNNNNNNNNNNNNNNNNNNNNNNNNNNNNNNNNNNNNNNNNNNNNNNNNNNNNNNNNNNNNNNNNNNNNNNNNNNNNNNNNNNNNNNNNNNNNNNNNNNNNNNNNNNNNNNNNNNNNNNNNNNNNNNNNNNNNNNNNNNNNNNNNNNNNNNNNNNNNNNNNNNNNNNNNNNNNNNNNNNNNNNNNNNNNNNNNNNNNNNNNNNNNNNNNNNNNNNNNNNNNNNNNNNNNNUUAACUGCUUCAUGAAUACAUGACUGAGUGUCAUGAUAAACUGAGUUUUUAUCAAAAUAAGAAUGCAUAUAUGAUGCAUAAUUACAUGACUGAACUGAUAUUUGAAUGGAUGAUUGAAUAUGCAAGAGUACUUAGUACAAAGUUUGUAAUGGAGAUUUGAGCAUGAAUUGAAUACCAAGUUUGUAAUGGUAAUUUGAAUAUGGAACUGAGUAAGUUCAAGAAAACUAUUACGUAAAUUGAAAAAUACUGAUGAACCCAUGAUUAUGCCAGAAGUAUGCAUGAACGAAAACCUAAGAACAUGACUGAGAUUGAAACGUGAUAUAUAAACUGAAUUUCAUGAACUAAACUGAACCCCUAAAUACAUGGCUCACGACUGAGAUUAGAACUUGGAAGUCAACUUAUAAGUACCCGCUACUCCAAUCUAGAUCCAUUUCGAGAAAAGAAAGUGGGAUGUUUAGGUCAUGAAAGUUUGGGGGAUGGUAACGUAUCUUUUCAUUGGGACACUAGGUCUCUCUAGGAAUACUGACUUGAUUGAGCUACUGAGGGAAACUGAGGUGAUGUGCAAGGCACCUAGGAACUGAUUCUUGACUGAUUAUCUGAGAUCUAAAACUGAGGCCUGAUACAUGAACUGAGCCGAGCUUGCAUCUACAUGAUUGGUUCAUCUUAGAAUAGUUUUAUUCAUGAGAUUUUAGCUAGAGAGAAUAGAUUGGAAAGAUCAGAAACCAAACUGUACGAACUUGUUUGUCUGAGACUAGCACAUGCUAUAAUCCUAUAGUCGACUAGAGCCUUCCCUUAAUACUCUUUCUAUAGAGCUCUAAUGGCUUUAGGGCAUAAGGAAAUCUUGGAAGGGUCUAUAUAAUAUAACUGAGUAAGAAAAUCAUUAUAUGGCUAAAGUUCAGUAAGAUGAGUUGAGGCUUACGAACACAAUUUAAGAUGAAAUGACUAAGCCUCUUGCACUGCAACUGCGAUUACUGAAAAGAUUCACAUAAGAGUUGAGCACGAAUGCAUAAACAUACUAGCUUAUCUGAUUAACUGAAUAACUGAAUAACUGAUAGCUGAAUAUUGGGUCUGCUAGGCUAAACUAUUCUUAGUCUGAAUAACUGGACUGAGACUAUAGAGUAUUAUACAUAAGAGGUAAGGACUAACUGAGUAACAUGAGGUGACUGAACAUGGAUUCAUGAAGUCUGUAUUAUUUGUGAAUGUGAGACCAAGCAUACUACAUGAUUUGGAAAUAUUCCAUAGACUGAGGUAUUGAAAUACCUAUAACUAAGUAACUGUUAACUGUAUGCUAUGGUUAAUAAAGUCUAAAAGUAAAAUGAGUUUUUUGAUUCGAUUACGGAACUGAAGCUAACACUAUAACUAAAAUGUAACUGGGACUCUUAAUAGAGCUAAAUGCCAACUUUUGAUAAUUGAAUACUGAUAACUGAAUGUUGAUAACUGUGGUUUAGACUGAUACUGAAGCACUAAAUUCUGAGACUGAACACAGAUUACUGGGUACUGAAUACUAAAACUGUAAAUGAGAUGGCAACUGAGUUUUCAUAGUACAUGAUAGGGACUGACAUAAGUCAAGGAUUUGAAUAUACAUUCACACUCUCUACUUUCCGAACUUCUAAAUACCACCUCUUGCUAACCAUUUACUUGUACACUAACAUGGAGUUCAAGUCUAUCUUCAUAACUACCCCCUCGUGUAAAACAAACAUGCAACAAUCUUCUCUUAACAUAAAAGAUUUACUCUCUCCCAUCUAAGUAACUAGUCAUCACUACUCUGUUUGCACAAAGAGGGCUCGCUGAAGGGUUAAGUCAGGAGGACCUGAAGCACGAAUAGACAGUAAUAAAACUUAACACAUAACUGAAACCUGAGAAAUAGAAUGUCAAUGACAUGGAUUUACCAAAAAGGUUUGAACUAAGGAUAUACAUGACAUAGUCUGAAUUUAUUUGAUAAGUGGGGGCGUAGCAUUAGUCAUAGAAGCUGAGUAUACUUGUAAAGAAUGAUAUAUGUACAUGAGUCAUGAACUGCAUGACCUGAGGUUGGAGUUUCUGUGUUCAUGACACAUGAUUCGUAAUACUGAGUGAGCUGGAACUCCUUAUACGGGGAACUUGAAGCCUACAAGAUUCUAUGAAAAAUGUAUGAAUAUAAGCUGUGUUCAUGGAACUGAGUUAUGAAACAUGUGUAGGCAUCAUGCUGACUGAAGUACAAAACUUUACACUGAUAUAAGGAUGUGAUACGAGCCUAAGUUCACAACACAAGAAACAAACAACAACAAGCACAACAAGAUGAAAAAUAAGUACUAGUGAAUCAAAAUAGGCCACACACGACUUCACUAGUCUUCAAGAGUCAUAUUUUUAGAAUAAGAAGAUGAUAUUAGAAACAAGAACAAGCAAGUCAAUAAUGAUGCUAGUGAAUUGAAAGAGCCUCACACGGCUUCACUAGACUUCAAGAUUCCAACAACACAACAUUAACAAGAUUACAAGAGGGAUAAUAACUUGACACACAAUAUUCAAUGAUCUAAGAACCCUAACAAGAGAAAGGACCCAAAUAUUAAUGAAUAUUAAUACCAAGCUCUUAAUUGGACCAAGAAGAACUCAAACAACCCCAAGACCCUAGUUUCUAGCUAAGAGACAACAUUAGUAUCACUCUACUACUGAGUUUUCAGAAUUGGGGCUUAUUCAAUGGAAGGGAGAAGUUCCAAAAUAUUACAAAGUAUUUGUUAUCUUCCAAAAUAUGAAUGAACUAACUCAAAAAUAACCCUAACACUAUCUAUUUAUAUUAGUCCAUAAAGUGAGAUAACAAAUAACCAUCCUACCCUUCCCAAGGGGUGGCUUUGGAGUGUAAGUUUAUUACACUUCAAGUCUCCUCUUCACACUUAAAAACAUUUAAUCCGUUGGAAGGCUCAAGUACCAACUCACACACGGCCAUUUGCAUGAAUAUAUCUUGGAGUUUUUGUAACUCUAGAGCUUGGCUACGUGUGAAUGGUCGUGAACUUGUUGGACAACUUGGUACACCCUAUCAUCCUCUCCAUCUUGAGAGGAAUUUGACCUCAAAUUCAACAUUUGGUUAUCCUCAACCGCAUCCACUAGAGAAAGAUCACACACGUUGAAAGUGUUGUGCACUUGGUAUUCCAGGGGAAGGUCAAUCUUGUAGGCAUUAUCAUUGAUUCUUUCAAGUACUUGGAAUGGACCAUCACCCCUUGGCAUCAAUUUGGUCUUCCUUUGAGAUGGAAACCGAUCCUUCCUAAGGUGCACCCACUCCCAAUCUCUCGGUUCAAGAAUGAGUUUCUUUUUUUCUUUGUUUGCCCGCUUUGCAAUCUUUUGAUUUUUCUUCUCAAGUCAAAGCCACACCUUCUCAUGCAACUUUUUCAUAAAAUCUGUUCGCUUUCUUCUAUCUAGGCUAAUCAUAAGAUCACUUAGAAAAGGAGUUAAAUCCAAAGAGGUUAGGGGGUUGAGGCCGUAUACACACUCAAAGGGAGUCAUUCCCAUACUUGAGUAUAUGACUCGAUUAUAGGCAAACUCAAUCAAUGGUAAGUGUUCCUCCCAAGAAGUCAAUUUUUCCUUAAUCAUAGAAUAUAGCAUAGCACCCAAAGUCCUAUUUACUACUUCUGUUUGGCCAUUGGUUUAUGGGUGGCAAAAAGUGGAGAACAACAACUUGGUACCAAGCCUACCCCACAUGGACUUUCAAAAGUGACUUAGGAACUUAGAGUCCCUAUCACUCACAAUGGUCCUCGAAAUACCAUGCAAUUUGACAACAUUAUCAACAAACAAAGAGGCCAUACUAGGUGCAUCAUCACAUUUAGAGCAUGGAAUAAAGUGUGCCAUCUUAGAAAACCGAUCAACCACAACAAAGAUACUAUCCCAACCUCUUCUAGUCCAUGGCAACCCAAACACAAAAUCCAUAGAUAUAUCAAGCCAAGAAUGUAAAGGGGUGGGUAGCGGGGUGUACAACCCAUGAGGUUGGAGCCAAGAUUUGGCUCCUUUACAAUCUACGCAUUGGCCACAAAUCCUAUACACAUCCUUGUGUAUUUUUAGCGAAUAGAAUUACUUCUCCAAUAUUCCGAGGGUCUUUUCGACCCCAAAGUGACCCAUUAGACCGCCAUUGUGUGCUUACCUCACAAAUAACUCUCUCCAAGAACUAGAGGAUACACAUAAUUGCCUACCUUUAAACAAGUAACCAUCAAACUUGGCAUAGGAAUUUGAACCCCUAGCUGAAUCCCACUUAUCCCUACCCCAUUCUUCACAUUCCCUAUAGAUAAGAGCAAAGUGAGGGUCCUUGGGAUACAAUUACUUUAAGAUCUCAAAACCCAUCAAUUUUGAAGAUAAAGUAGACAUAAGAACGUGUUUUCAAGAUAAAGCAUCGGCAACCACAUUAUCCUUACCCUUCUUGUAAUGAAUAACAAAAGAAAAAGUUUCAAAAAACUCAAUCCACUUGGCAUGCUGUUUGUUAAGCUUAUCGUGUGCCCGAAUAUGCUUCAAGGACUCAUGUUCUGUUCGGAUCAUGAAUUCUUUAGGCCAUAAAUAAUGUUGCCAAGUGGCCAACGCUCUAAUCAAGGUAUAAAACUCUAAAUUGUACGUAGUGUAGUUUAGAGUUGAUCCGUUGAGAUUUUUGCUAAAGUAGGCAAUAGGCUUCAAUUCUUGCAUUAAACCGCACCUAUACCAACUUUACUAGCUUCACAUUCAACCUCAAAAGUCUUGUCAAAAUUUGGCAACUGUAACAAAGGGGUCGAGAUGAGCAUAGCUUUCAAGUCCUUGAAGGCCUUAGCUUGUUCAUUUCCCCACUUGAAAGGCCAAUCCUUUUUAAUCACUUCGGUCAAGGGGGCGGCAAUGGUGCUAAAUCCUUUGAUAAAACAUCUAUAAAAACUAGCCAACCCGUGGAAGCUUCUCACUUCACCUAUGAUUUUAGGAGUUGGCCAAUUUUUGAUAGCGUCAAACUUAGAUUCAUCUACUUCGACCCCUGUUGAACUUACCACAAAAUUGAGAAAUACUUCUUGGACACCAAAAUAACACUUUUAUAAAUUAGCGUAUAGCUUCUUCUUUUGGAGGACAUUAAACACACAUUGUAAAUGUUUUACAUGCUCAUCUAAGGACCUACUAUACACCAACACAUCAUCAAAGUAGACAACAACAAACCUUCCAAUAAAAGGCUUCAUCACAUGAUUCAUUAGCCUCAUAAAGUACUUGGAGUGUUUGUUUGGCCAUAUGGCAUAACCAUCCAUUCAUAGAGACCAAAUUUGGUCUUGAAGGCGGUUUUCCAUUCAUCACCCGGUUGCAUACGGAUUUGGUGAUAGACAAUUCUUAAAUCAAUUUUAGAAAACAAACAUGAACCACUCAAUUCAUUAAGCAUAUCAUCUAGCCUAGAAAUAGAGUGAUGAUAUUUUACUGUUAUCUUAUCGAUGGCUCGGCAAUCAAUGUACAUAUGCCAAGUCCUGUUUUUCUUGGGAACUAUUAGCAUCAAGACCGCACAAGGGCUCAUACUCUCCUUGAUAUACCCUUUGUUGAGGAGUUCCUCAACUUGGUGUUGCAAUUCCUUGGUAUCCGUCGGGUUGCUCCUAUAAACUGGUUUGUUGGGCAAUUAUGAUCCCGGCAUAAAAUCUAUUUGGUGCUCAAUUCCCCGAAGUGGGCAUCCCUUGUGGAAGUUCUUUGGGAAAAACAUCUUCAUAAUCCUGCAACAUACAAGAAAUCAAAGGAGAAAUAUAAGAAUUAGUGGGGUUAGUGUUAAAACAAUAUGCAAAAAGAAGCAUGGGUGUCUCCUCAUCAUGAUCCACAAAGGGAUCUUUCUUUCUAACCAACAUCACCAUGUUUUUUUCCCUUUAAUGUAGAGGCAGCCCCAGAUAUCCCCACUACCCCACCUACAGGUUCCCUCUUUUUUUUUCUUUUUUUUUGGAUUUCUUCCCUUUUUCUUUCAAUUCUCUCAUCCUUUGAUGCAACUCGUUCACUUAUGAAGGAAAAAGUGGAUGAAGUGUGACCUUUCGGCCAUCCUUAUGAUUAGACCUCCCAUCAUAUUUAGUAGACCUAUCAUAUUACUAAGGUCUACCUAAUAACAAGUGACACGCUUGCAUUGGUAUUACGUCACAUAGCACUUCGUCGUGGUAGGUUCCUACCUUAAACCAUAUCACACAUUACCUCAUGACUUUUAAUUCACCACAUUCAUUCAACCAUUGAAACUUGUAGGGGAUAGUAUGAAAUAUAGUUGGCAAUUUCAAAAAGUUAACCAUAGCAACACUAAUAACAUUUGCACAAAUAACACUAUCUAUCACCAAAGUGCACACACUUCCCUUCACAAGGCAUUUAGUAUGGACUAGAUUCUCCUAUUGGAUAGGAUCAUCUAUCUCCUUACUAAUCAUGGCACACCUCACUACAAAGUUUGGAACUAUGCACUCCCCUUCUUGUGGAUAAGCAUCCUCACAAUCAUCAUCAUCAUCAUUAUGUGGCUCAAGGAGUUACAACGUAUUCAAACGACAAAAGCACACAAACAAACGAUGACACGAAUACAAGACUUCAAAGGACUAAUUGACAACCCAGUGAGAAUGUACUAGCUUGAUAGUUAGUUCUCGAGUCAAUUAGAAGAAACUAGAAUCAAUAAUUUGAAACUAGAAUAUCCAAAUUGAGCUUAAUUAAUAACGUGAAUAGUGAUUAAGGUGAUGUGGAUGCAUGGAAUUGGUCAUGGGUCCAAACAUUUUGUUCAACAACUUGAAGCCUUAAUCUUCACAAUUUUGUAAUGGAUGACUUUGCUUUUGGAGGGAAAGUAAAGUCUUGUAACUUUUCAACUUUUUCCAACUAAAAAAGAUGAGGCUUGACUUUACUAGUUCCACAAGACAAGGCUCCUUGUUUUAAGGGAAAGUGGUUGUUAAGUUAAGGAAGUGAUGUUGGCAAGUCUUUUCACAAACAACUUUACAACGUUGUCUUACAACCCUUUUGGAUCUAUUUUAGUCUUUAUAGUGGUCAAGACAUGAGAUGAUGAGAAGAUCAAGAUGAUCACCACAAAAAUACUUCAAGAACACAACCAUAAUUCACCAACAAUAUCCAACUUUAAAGUCAAGCAACAACACACAAACUCAGCCUACUUCAAGUUCAUCAUACUACCACUUCAAGUCCACAAUACCAAUGUCAAUAUGUUAAGCUCAACUUAGCUUUAGACACCUUUUGUGUUUAUGAGAAAGAAAUCAACACAAGAAACAAACUAGACAAAUAAAAUAACAUCUAGAUCUAAACACACAAACACCAAUCUCGGACAACAUAACAACACAACACAAUUUUCUUGGCCAAGAACAAGAUGGAUAGAUUUCUCCUUUUUUUCUGGAAUUUUCAGAUUUCAGCAACAUUUUUUUUUUUGGGUAUUUUUCAACUACCAAAACCAAUAUUGAUUUUGUUGGAACAAAAUCAACCACAAGCUUUGAUACCAAAUGAAACGAGCCAAAUUUCACAACACAAGAAAUAAACAACAACAAGAUGAACAACAAGUGCUAGUGAAUAGAAAUAGGCCACACACAACUUCACUAGUCUUCAUGAGUCACGUUUUUAGAAUAAGAAGAUGAUAUUAACAACAAGAAUACGCAAGUCAAUAAUAAUGCUAGUGAAUUGAAAGAACCUCACAUGGCUUCACUAGACUUCAAGAUUCCAAUAACACAAGAUUAACAAGAUUACAAGAGGGAUUGUAACUUGACACACAAUAUUCAAUGAUCUAAGAACCCUAACAAGAGAAAGGACCCUAAAAUUAAUGAAUAUUAAUACCAAGAUCUUACUUGUACCAAGUGGAACUCAAAGAACACCAAGACCCUAUUUUCUAGCCAAAAGACAACACUAGUAUCACUCUACUAGUGAGUUUUCAGAAUUGGGGCUUCUCUAAUGGAAGAGAGAAGUUCCAAAAUAUUACAAAGUGUUUGUUAUCUUCCAAAAUAUGAAUGAAAUAACUCAAAAAAUAACCCUAACACUAUCUAUUUAUAUUAGUCCACAAAGUGAGAUAACAAAUGACCAUCCUACCCUUGCCAAGGGGUGGCCUUGGAGUGUAAGUUUAUUACACUUCAAGUCUCCUCUUCACACUUAAAAACAUUUAAUCCGUUGGAAGGAUCAAGUACCAACGCACAAACGGCCAUUUGCAUGAACAUAACUUGGAGUUUUUGUAUCACCUGAUCUUUGAUACGUGUGAAUGGUCGUGAACUUGUUGACAAAUUGUAGAACUUAUUGGACAGCUUAGUACACCUGUAUCAGGAUGGGUCAGGAAUUAUCUCCCCUUACUAUUUUUCUAUACGUACUGGCACUGCUACUGGAAUCUGAGAGCCUGAAUUGGGCACUUGAUCUAUCAUAUCCCCCUUAGCUUUAAUCCAUCAUCAUAAGUCUGUGAACACUUUACUAAACUCUGAACUGAAUUGCAAUCAUUAUCAUAUACUUACACUCUGUUUGACACAUGCUUCCCUUACUAAAUACAUCAUCUGCUUUUGUUUCUUCAUAUACUACUAAUAUUGAUCCCUAAUUCACAUUCACACCUUCAUACUUAAUUUUAGAUCAAUAAUCUUAAAUUUUUGCUUGCACUAUUCAAGCCUACCAGUCUACUUUGGUACAACUAUCCCCAUAAAUAUAUAAUCUUCUUAAUUUGGAUAAUGUUAUCCCAACUCUACUACUGCUAAACUCCUAGGUUUAUGCUUCUAACUCUAGGUCAUAUACUAUCAAGGGAUUCUGAGAAGGGAUCUGAUGUCAUAUCAAAUUUUGGGUUCGCAAAUGAGUUCUCAUGAUCAUGAAUAAAAUCUGUAUAACUUUGGGAUAGAACUAGACUGAUAGGAUACUUUGAGAUUAUGACCAAUCCCAUAACUGACUGUAGGGACUAUCUGAGAAAGCCCUAUCUUUAGGACUUGAGCUUCACUUCUUCUGUCACCUUAAAAGUAAGGUAGAGUUGACAUGAGUGGAGCAUGAUGAGAAUAUAUAUAAGUUUCUUAGAGAACCUUUCUAUAGCAUAAUAUAAAACAUGAAAGAAAGGAAACUGUUCCUAAAACAUCUCAUAGCCUCCUGUACAUAAGUGUGGUGCACAACACACCCAUGUACAAGACUCUACUAGAUGCGGCUUUUCAGACUUCCUAGGAUACUAUUGAAUUUUAGGAUAUGAUACCAAGUUUGUAACGACCCAAAUCUGGAACCCGGAAUGCUACACGAUGCUCAUGACCCCGAAGGACCAUAAGCUAACCCAUGAAUGAUAUCUAUAACUGAGCACUGAAUAAUAAUAAUAACAUCGUAAAUACAAAAACAUAAACUGAAAGGCCAUAAGGUUCAAUACUGGUACAUAAAUGAAAAUAUGGUAUAAUAAUACCAAAGAAACUAAAAUAAUUAUUUGAACAUGCUAUAGUCUGAAAGCCUUUCAACUAUCUGAAAGCUAUGAAGUUGAUGGGACAUGUCCCAACUAACUCCAUCUACUGAAAAUUAAGCUGAAAUAAUGAAAGAAAUAAUAGUAUGUCCUCGAAUGAUAAGGACUCACUACUAGCCUGUCUGCUAAGCGCCUAACCUACUAAGGGUGCUCUGGAUCUCGUACUUCUAAACCUAUGGUAUAAAACACCAUAUCAUAAAUAUGUCAGUACUAUUGAAUGUACUGGUAUGCAAGUGAGGUAGGCUAAAUGCAAAAAGGGGUCAUAUGCAUGAACAAUACUGACUGAAUGAAUAACAUGAACGUCAGAAUACAUGCAUGAAUACGUAGCAAUAAUUGAGGUUGUGAUUGGAUUGAAUACUGAGUUUCGACUACUGAGUCUACUGAUAAUAUGGAUUUACUGAUAUCUGAGUUUACUAAUAUUGGGGUACUGAAUAACUGAGUCUACUAAUAUUGAUAUCUGAGUCACUGUUAAGUGAGAAAUUGAUAAUGUAUUACUGAAUACUGAGGGACUGAUACUAUGUUACUGAUACAUGAAUAACUAUUUCUGACAGUUCUGAUUAUAUAGAACUGGUCAAGUUGAUUGUAUCUGACAGUCCUGAAGCUAAAUGCUUAUAACAUAAGUUCUGAUAACUGAUAUAAUUGAUAACAUGGGUGCCUAUAUCUAACAGUCCUAAAUCUGAUGGAACUAGCUGAGUUCUAUACUGUAUCUGAGUUGACUAUAUCUGACAGUCCUAAAUUCUGUAGAACUAUCUGAGUGCUAUUAUUGAGACUGAAUGACUAUAUCUGAUAGUCCUGAUUCUAUAACUAAAACUAUAGGAAGUAGUCAUCUAACUGACAUACCCCUAAUAUGCCAUUAUGGUUGAGUUAGGGUCCAAUCUGUAAACCCAAUUAGAAGGGUAUCAAUACUACGCUACUGGUAAGAACAAUCUGUGAGCAACCCUCAUACAAUAGGUAACUAUAGUAAGAACAUUGGGAACCCUCUAUAACAGGUUAAUCCACCUCAUCUACCCUCAUAUAGCAUGCUAUGAUAUCUCAACCUACACUGGUUACGUAGUUCUGGAAUACAAGGAUUGCUUCUAUGAGUCAUACCUGAUAGUGAGUGUUACCAUCCUUGGGUUCACUCGAUGCUAAUUUCUACUCCCAUCUAAAGAGACACUGAACAUAAUUAAAUGAACUGACUGGACUGAGUUAACUGAGUUUCAUUGACUGACGAAAUAUUACUGAGAUCUUAGGACUGACUGAGAGUACUAAAGUUACUAAGAUUUACUGAGUACUGAGAUCACUGAGAUUACUAAACUACUGAGAUUUCUGAGUUUUCCUGAGUCACAUGACUGAGUGAGUUCUAUGUAUCAUGGCUUGACUAAGAGUAUCAUGAAGACCGACACUGGCUCUAGGCACACAGCUAAAUUGUCAGGUACAAGUACCCCCAGGACUCAAUAGCAUGAAACUGACAAAUCAUAACUUUCUUGAAUACAUGAUCACAUCAACAAUCCAUAAUAUAAUAAGUUGGAGAAUUUAUAAUGUUCAAGUUCUAAAGCACCACAAUGGCCACACAUAUAUCCACGAUUCAUUGACUAAGACAUUUCAUCAAACAUUUGACAUUCAUGAACUUGUACAUGAAUGGGGAUUUUAUAUUAUCAUGAUAGCAUGACAUUUCUCCUUCAUAUAAACAAUUAAUCAAACACAUAGUGAGUAUAGUAUAUGUAGACAACAUUACGCAACAAGUAAUCAUCAUGAUUCAAUUCUAAUUUCUUCAUUCAAGGGUUUAAUCAUAGGUUAACAUGAAUCUACACCUAAAAUAAUAAGUUCCAUUUAAAAUUUAUCACCAAACAUGGAUUAGAAUUCAAUUGGUCAUUAUCAACAUGAACAAAAAUAAACCCAACAUAGAAUUCAAAAAAAUCCAUAUACUUGAACUUUGAAAAAGAGAUUCUUGGGCUUCAUGGACGAAAGGAGUCCAUGAAUAAACACUAUGCAUACCUGGGUUGUGAGUUUCUUGAAGAUUGGUGAAGGAAAAUUGAAUUCUUAGCUUGAAAAUUAAGCACCUAGGGUUUCUUUUUCUUGGGGAUUGAUCCUCGAGAAAAAUCCUAAUUUUUUGUUGUAGAUGGAUAAUGAAAUUAUGAUCCUUGGUCUGAUAUAAUUAGGGGUUAAAAUGAGUAGAAAAAAACCUAAAUACCCUUUUAAAAAUGGCUUUAAAAUAACUGAACAGGAUGUGCAACGGUCCAUCGCUAGUUCGACAGUCUGUCGGUCCUAACCGUCGCACCUGGGCAGAAUAGAGGUUCACUGCUUCCCUUGCGACGACAUUGGGUGAUGGUCCGUCGCUAGCUUGAUGGUCCAUCGGCGUAGGCCGUUGCUCUUAGAUAGAAGGUGGUCUCACUUCCUCGCUACAACAGUGUGAGCGAUAGUCCAUCACUAGCUCGAUGGUCCAUUAGAUCUCACCAUUGCAUCUGGGUAGUUUGACUACUUUUUGUGUUUCGGCCAUAACUUUUUCUUCCGAUGUCAGAUUUUGACAAAAUUGGUAUUGUUGGAAACAAAAUUCAAUUUUUCACUCAACAUAAAGUGAAAAUCUUAGAAAUUACACGUAUAUAAAAGUGGAUUCAUCUUUCAAAGUAAGUUUCUAACAUUCUUGGGACAAUUUCAAGCUAGGUAGAAGUACGGGGUAUUACAACAUCUCGUCAAAGUGCAAUUUCGCACUCAUCCUUAGACUACACCUACAGUUAAAUUCCAUUGGCUCACCAUGAUGGCACCGCAUCGCAGUGAUGGCAAAAAUCGAGAUUUUACAUUGACAAAAAUUUAAUUUAUUCCAAGGACAGUUUAGUCUUUUCCACGACCCCAAUCAAUCCAAACACAGGAUUAAAUCCCUAAUAGACUAAUUAGUCAUUAGUUUAUUCAAUUUAUCUCAAUUAAAGAGCAUUCUCUCUCAAAUAAAAACCCCUAGCCUUCAAUAUUUAAGUUUAAUUCUCAAGAAAAUUAAUAAGAAACUUCAAGAAUUCAACUAUUCAAGAAUGUUAAGUGUUCAUUCAUGGGUCCCUUUUACCCAUGGAGUCCAAGUAUCCAAACUUAAAUUUAAAGUUGUGAUCUUUUCAAUUUAAAUUUGUGUUCUUUUCAGGUUAUUAUGAUUUUAAAUUGUGAUUUCAUCCAUGAAUCUCCAUGAAUCUUGAUUUCAUACCAUGCUUACAUGAAAUUAUUGUUGUUAUCAAACCCCACAUAUUUUAAGUAUUGUUGAUGUUGAAAUUAUGCUAUUACUCCAAGUUUUAUACUAUUCCCAUGUUUAGCCAAAACCAUGCAUAUCAAGUGUUUUAUGAAUGCAUACAAGAAUGGCUUUUUAAUAAAUGUUUCUAUGUUAUGUCCUUAAAGUUUAGUACUAUUUUACUAUUAUUGCUAUUGAGUCCUGGGAGUUAUGAAUACAUAAAAAAUUAGUUGUUUACUUAGUCUCAGUAUCUUUAGAAUAGUUUAGAUAAAUCAUGAGCAUUACCACUCAAUUAGCCUUCAUGAUUAGUUAUUUUUCCAGUUAAGCCUAGUUCAGUCGCAUAAUCAGUGUCAGUUCAGUUGGGAGUAGGAUUCAGCACCGAGUGAACCCAGGGAUUGGGGCAUUCCUAUUAGUAUAGGAUUUGAACCUUAGCAGCAAUUCCUGAGUUACAAAACUACAUAGCCAGCGUAGGCUUGAGAUGUCUUCCUACUAGUUUAGGGUUGACACAUAUCUCAUGAGUCUUCUUAUUUGUUUAGGGUUAACAAGUUGUCUUUGUGCUAGUUUAUUAUUAACAUAGUCAUUGUUAGUACUCGUGGUAUGGUACUAGCACCCUUCUAUCAGGGGUCACAGGUUGGACCCUAAUCAGCUCAGAGCAGGGCAUGUCGGUUAGAUGAUUCCUCCAGAGUUUCAGUUUCACUACUUAGUUCAAAAUUUAGUUCAGUAUUACUUGACCAUAGUACACAGUGUAUCAGUUAUUUAGUUACCAGUAUUCAGUAUUUUAGAUUUCAGAUUAUAUUUAGAACAUGUUUUAUUCUUGGUCAUUCAUUCUCAGUACUUAUAGAUUUCAUGCAUUUUAUUUAGUACUUCAUACUAUUGAUUCAGUCAAUUACUCCUAUACAUGAAAUCAUGCAUAUUAUCCUACCUUAUUUAGCAUAUCAGUACAUUUAAAGUACUGAUCAUAUACUCGUUUCUUGCACUAUGUUGUAUCAUAUCAUAGGUUCAGAUGCUCAAUUCCUAGUUUAUGCAUAGAUCUUCCAGAUUAUCAGAUGUAGCAGUGGUGAGUCCUCAUAUUUUGAGGACAAGCUAUAUUUAUUUUUAUGCUUUUAGUUUAGUAGAUAGUUGGAGUUAGUUGGGGGUUUGUCCCAUCAGCUUCAUAGUCAGUAGAGGCUUUUCAGACUAGUACAGAUAGUUAGUCAGUUAUCAGUUUUUCAGUUAUCAUUGUUAGAUAUUUUACUCAGUAUUAUCAGUAUUGUUUUAUAGAUAUUGUCAGAACUAUGAUUUAAAACCUUUUGGCAUUUCUUUGUUAAAUUCUGUAUAUGAUCAUUUGUUAUCAGUUUUACUUAGUGCUCACAGAAGACACCAGCUCAUAGGUUAGCUUGUGGUUCCUCGGGACUGUAAGCAUCAUGUAAUACCUAGGGUGUACUCUCAGGGCAUUACAAUUAAUGAAUUUCUUAUCUUUCAGAAGUUGUUUGAAUUGAAAGAGUCAUAUAUGCUUAAAUGCUUUGAUUCCAUCCUUGUGUGCAUUAUGUGCUAUGUCUUUUGAGCCAAAUAGCCUUCUUAUAGAUAAUAGCACCUUGUAUGAUAUUUUUACAAUUGAUUCCUUCCUAUACUACCUCUUCGCUUAUGAUGAUAUCCAUUCUAUUCUUCGAUUUAUUUUAUGUAGAGGUAGGAAACUUAUUGGUUGGUCCACUUGUUUAAAUGAAAAUGAUAAAUGGGUAUUGUCGACUUUAAAACCAAUUAAGGCACCACUCUUGAUGUGGUCUCUUGAAGAGAUAAAGAAAAAAUUGUGUCUUAUGGAUCCUAAGGUGAAGGUAGUUUUACCCUUUGAAGUAUUUGAUGUCAUUAUGACCUUUGCGACUUCCUUAUCUCUUGAUGAAACCCAUAUCCAAUCCCUUGGAGCAUUCUUCGAUAAGUUUCUAAAGUUCAAAACAAGGGAUCCUUGGUUAUAUCUUAAGUGUGCGCAACCUUGGAAUGAUACUAUGAUUAUUUAUAUGAACCCUAACCCUCAUGUCAUGAGGAUGUUGUAUUUGUUUAUCCUUCCUUUGAUUUGUAAGGUUUGAAUUCGAGGUCUAAUCCUUUUCAAGAAGGAAAGGAUGAUACAAGAAAAAUUGUCUUCAGACUUUUGGAUGAGAUACGUAUGAUGCCCGAGGUGGUUGAUGACUCCUAAGUUAUUUUAAAAGAUGACACAUGGAGAAAAAUUAUCAUUGUGAAGGGUCAAAGACUUUUCCGAGAUUGAAGGAGUGCAAAACGGGGCGCGAAAGACCCUUGGAAGGGUAAUGCAUCCAAAGCACUUUGGAUCCACUUUUCAUCCGCUCUAGGAUUUCAAGAGUGAGUUAAAACAGCCUCUAGUGGGUCUUUUCUUUCAUUUGAGUCACUUUUGGGCCCUAAUUAUGUAAUAUAUAGCCAAACUGUAAAUUCUUAAUAGCUAGGCUUAUUUCCUUAGUUUUUGGAUAAUAUUUUUACUUGAUGUAUUCAAGAGACUCCUUGGGAGUGUUAAGUGCUUGGAAAAUCAUUUGUUUAACUUUGCUUAUAAAUGAUGGUUUUAAGGUGGAUAUAAUCCCCUUUGCGGUCACCGCAAGAGUUAGGUGCCUAUUGAUAGUUAUUAAGGGAGGUUUUAGGAUUUGAUAUAUCCUUCGAUUGCCCUUUCGGUAUCAAUUUUGUGUCUAUCUUCUUAUCUUGAUUAUUCUAUCCUUCUAUCUUUAUUUUUUGUAUCUUAGAUUUGAGUCUUUGUGGGUCGAUUUGUAUUAUUAGAGGUCUGUUACUGGGUAUUAUUUAUUGUUAGGUGCUAGUCUUAUGGGUUGGAAGGCUAAUAAGCAAUCUGUUGGAGCAGAGUAUCUAGCUAUGAGCAAAGAUGUUGUUGAUCUUGUUUGGUUAUCCAAGUUACUUACUGAUCUAAGGGCUCCUUGUUCUUCCCCUAUUCCUCUCUAUUGUAACAGCCAGGCAGCCAUACACAUUGCUCGUAAUCCUAUUUUGCAUGAGUGCACCAAGCUGUAAUACCCUAAAUUUUCUUUAGGUUGAGUUUCAACCUCAAGGGGAGUAAGGGUUGACUUCCCAACUGAGAAGUAUUUUAAACCAUGUAUAAUUUCCCUAAUAUUGACUUUUUAUCAUAUAAAUAAUUGAAUAAGCUUUUCAUCGAUACCAAAUUUGCUCAAAUCUGAUACUCGGGCGAAGAGUUAGAGCCAUUUUAGUGAGACAAUGUACCACCUACUACUUUAGCAUGUCGCGGAGCAAGCCAAAAUGGCAAUUGUCAAAAUCCAGUGAGCCUCCAUAAUUCCACCAUGUCAUGGUAUCUUUCCAGUUUGCAACCAAGGUGGCAACGUGAUUUCCACCGCGUUGCUCCAUCAAGUAGUUUCCCAAUUGUCCAAUUUCCAGUGAGCUGGCGCGAUUUCAUCGCGUUGCACCAGCAUGAGAAAUUAGGAUUUUUAGAUUUUGUUUUAAAUUUUAGGGACCAAUUGGUAAUUUUCUAAAGCCCCAAAUCAAUCUAUAUAAGGGAUUUAUACCCUAAAUAAUGAGAAUACUUCAUUAUUCAUCAGUUUUUCCCCAAAUCAAAACAUUUUCUCUCUCAAGAAGUCAAGAACCCUAGCUAAGAAAAUCAAGAACAAGCCUAAGGUUCUCUUCAAGAACCUUCAAGAAAGAGUCUUCUAAGGUAUGUUACAUGUUGAUUCUUGGGUUUGUUUUACCCAAGAAGUUCAAGAAUCCUUUUCUAAAUUCAAGAUUAUAUAUUUAUGAGAUUGUCAUGAUUUUGGUGAAUAGAAAUUGAAGUUCAUGUUGUUAAUGAGUUUUAAUUCAUGAUUUGAUUUCAAGGAUCCAAGCUUUGAUUCUACUAUGUGAUGUUCAUUCUAAAAUCCUUUCAAGUUGCAUGAUAUUGAUGUAUUCAUGAUUAUUAAGUAUAGAAUCUGUGUUAUAGCCAAAGCACGCUCCCCAUAUGUUUGAUAAAAUGCUUAUGUGAAGGAAUUAGAGCCAUUAUACCAUGUUAACUAGAAACCCCCAAUUGUGUGUAAGUUCAUGUAUUUCAAGUGUUUGUUGAAAUGAAAAGCCUUAGUGAAUUAAUUGAGACAUUUUAGCAUGAAAUUCUCCAAUUAUAUAUUCUUUUGUAAUACCCUGAAUUUUCUUUAAGUCGAGUUUCAUCCUUAAGGGGAGUAAGGGAUGAUUUCCUAAGUGAGAAUUAUUUUAAACCAUGUAUAAUUUCCCUAAUAUUGAUUUUUUAUCAUGUAGAGAAUUGAAUAAGAUUUUCGUCAAUACCAAAUUCGCCCAAAUCUGACACUCGGCCGAAGAUUUAGAGCCAUUUUAGUGAGACAGUGUACCACCUGGUACUUUGGCAUUUCACGGAGUCAGCCAAAAUGGAAUCAUCAAAAUCUAGUGAGCCUCCACGAUUAUGGCGCGUCGCACCAAGGCUCAAUUUCAAAAUUGUCAAAUUUCAGUAGCUCACCGCGAUUCCACCACGUCGUGGUGAAGCUUGUGUCAGCAUUCCAGUUUCAGAUUUUAAUUCCAAGGGCGAAACGGUUAUUUUUCUACCCCUAUAUAUACUCUUUAACACGAGAUUCAGUCACAUUAAACCCAAAUAUUGUUGUUUUCUCUCAAUUUUCCUCAAGAACAAGAGUUAUGGUUCCAAAAUGAAGACCCCAAUCAUCAAGGUUUCACCAUUUAUCUUCCGAGGAUCAAGUAGUAAGGUAUGCAGAUGUUGAUUCUUGGGUUCCUUCCACCCAAGAAGUUCAAGAAUACCUUUUGAAAUUAAAAGAUUUUUAUUUAUGAGUUUUCAUGAUUAAUGUGAAUUGAAGUUCAUAUUCAUGUUAUUGUUGAGUUAUAAUUCAUGCUUUAGAAUACAAGUUACAAGCUUUGAUCUUGAUUUGAGUUGAAUUGCACUAUGUCCAUGUUAAAUCCCUAAAGCUGCAUGUUGAUUGAUGUAUUUAUGAUAAUUAGGUGUGGAAAUUAUUGAAUAACCAAAUCGUGCUCCCCAUAUGUUUAAUAAAAUGCUUAUGUGAAGGAAUUAGAGCCAUUAUAGCAUGUUGACGAGAAAUCCCCAAUUAUGUGUAAGUUCAUGCAUGCCAAGUGUUUGUUGAAAAGCCUUACUGAAUGAAUGGUGACAUGUUAGCAUGGAAUUCCCCAAUUAUGUGCCCUUCAAUACAUGUUAAGUGUUUGGUGCAAGACUUUAUUGAAUGAAGUAUGAGCCAAUAGCAUGUCUCCCUAUACUAUCAUAUGUUUAUGAUUUCUAAGUGCUUGAAGAGAUGCUUUAAUGAUUGUGAUGGUGAAUGAAUGUCCAUGUUCAUGAUUAUUCAAGAAUGGUUAUGUUUACUUUUAUGUUAUCGAGUCCUGGGGAUAUUUAUACCUGACAAUUUAGCUACAAGUCUAGAGCCCAUGUCAGUUUUCACAAUUAUCUCAGUUAAGCCACGAUUCUUAGAUUCAGUGAGUUACAGAACUCAGUACUCUCAUACAGUUACAGAACUUAAGAAAUCUCAGUAAUCUCAGUAUCAUUAGCAUUCUAGCCUCAGUUCAGUACUCAUCUCAGAUCUAGUAGUAUUCAAGUGUUCAGUUCAGACCUUAGUAGCCUUUAAGUAAUCAAUUCAGAACUCAGUAUCAUUAAGUCAAAUAACAAGAUUUAGUAGUAUUCCGUCAGAUAAUGGAACCAAGUGAAGUCAUAUUAAAUCAGUUAAUUAGUAUGAUCAGUAAUAGAUUCAGCUAAGUUUAAGUUCAAUUAAGAAUCAGUUCAAAGUCCUUCAGUUGGGAGUAGUAACUAGCACCGAACGAGUGCAGGGAUGACGAAUUCCCCAUUAGAGAGGCAGAGUUGUUAGUAAUAAUCCCUGAACUCCAGAAUUGUGUAGCCAUCACAGGACUAGGAAUCACUAGUUAGAUUAAUGCUUGACUAUCAUACUGCCUUAGGUUUGACUUCCUGUUCAAGGUCACCCGUUAGAGAGACUUGACCAUAGCAGAGGUAUUUACCCAUGGCACUGUAUUGACACCCUUCUAGUUGGGGUUACAAGUUGGACCCCACCAGUUCAAAUUUGAGGCAUGUUGGUUAAGUGAGAACCCCCACAGUUGCAGUUUCAGUAUCAGUCUUCAGAGUAGAACUCAGAAAUCAAGACUGUUAGAUAUAGUCACCUAUCUCAGUAAAGAACUUAGAUAGUUCCAUAUAUUCAUGGACCACCCACUAGAUAGUCCUAGUCUCACAUAAAGUUAAUCAGUAUUAGUACUAAUAAAUCCAUAUAUCACCCAUUAGAUAGGCUUGAUCUCAGAUUCAGUUAAUUAUUUUCAUUAUCAGAUUCAGAUAUCUUUCUCUAGUUAGGUAUGAUCUCAAAUAUAAUCAUUCCUUAUAAUUAGAAGUAUAGGGAUCAUCCAUUAGAGAGGUUUGAUCUAAGAUCUAGUUAGUUGAUAGUAGCAAGCUCAGAAUUUAGUUAUUGAUAUGAGUAGAUUCAGUUAAUUAGCUUUAGUAUCAUCAAUUUUAGAGAUCACUCUCUAGAUAUGACUUAUCUCAAUUUUAGUACUCAGUUAUUAAUAUCAAAAGAUUCAGUUAUUCAGUACCUCAGUAUUAGUAGUGAGUUCAGACAUCAUUAAAGCAGUAUCCGAGUGUUAGUAUUCAGAGUCACAAUGAUUUUCAGUUAUGGUUUAUGCAUUCAUGAAUAUGUCCUCAUUCAAUACUUUCAUGAUUAUUCAGUUAAGUAAUUGUUCAUGCAUAAGCCCUUGUAUUUAGCCUUACCUCAUCUUGCAUACUCAGUACAUUCCCACAUACUGAUGCAUUUGUCCUAUGGUGUUUUACUUUAUACCAUAGGUUCAGAGGCACACGAUCUAGAGCUAGAAGUCCAGACUCAGUUAGCAGCAGUAGACGUAGCAGUGAGUCCUCUUCAUUUGAGGAUGAUCCUUAUUUUAUUAUAGCAUAGACUCAGUUUAUUUUUAGUAGAUGGAGUUAGUUGGGGACAUGUCCCAUCAUCUCCACAAUCCAAACAGUUAGAGGCUUUUUGGAUAGAUGUAUUAGUAUUCAGUUUUUCAGUAUUGAUUAGUUUUGGAUGUUUUGAACCUUAUGGCAAGUUUUUGCUAGUUUUCCACAUUUAUUACCUAUAUUAUGUAGUGCUCAGGUAUAGGUAUCAGUAGAGGGUUAGCUUGUGGACCUUCGGGAUCAUGAUCACCAUGUGGCAUUCCGAUUUUAGAAAAUUGGGGCGUUACAUCUUUAAUGCUUGCUAAGUGUUUGAUGCAAGACCUUGUUGAAUGGAGUACGAGCCAAUAGUAUGUUUCCAUAUACUAUCAUAUGUUUAUAAUUUCCAAGUUCUUGAAAAGAUGCUUGAAUAUCUGUAAUGGUGAAUGAAAGUCCAUGGUCAUGAUUAUUUAAGAAUGGUUAUGUUUUACUUUUAUGUUAUCGAGUUUUAGGGGUAUUUAUACUCGAUAAAUUAGCUGCAAGUCUAGAGCCGGUGUCUAUUUCAAGAUACUCUAAAUCAAGCUACAGUUAGUAAAACUCAAUACUCUCAGACAGUUACAGAACUUAAGAAAUCUCAGUAAUCUAAGUAUCAUUAGCAUUCCAGCUUCAGUUCAGUACUCAGCUUAGAUCUUAGUAGUAUUCAAGAAUUCAGUUUCAGACCUCAGUAGAAUUCAAGUAAUUAAUUCACAACUUAGUAUCAACCAGUCAGAUAAUGAGAUUCAAUAGUAUUUCAUCAGAUAACGGAACCAAGUGAACUCAGUUAGAUUAGUCAAGAAAUAUGAAGAGUAACAGAUUCAACUCUGUCUAAGUUUAGUUAAGAAUCAGUUCAGAGUCCUUCAGUUGGGAGUAGUAACUAUCACCGAGUAAAUGCAGGGAUGAUAUUUUCUCGUUAAAGAGGUAGAGUCAUUAGCAGCAAUCCCUAAAAUCCAGAACUGCAUAGCCAAUGCAGGACCAGGAGUCACCCAUUAAAUUAAGGUUUGACUAUUGUAUUGCCUUAGGCUUGACUUUCUAUUCAGGGUCACCCAUUAGAGAGGCUUGACCAUAGCAGAGGUCUUUACCCGUAACAUAAUAUUGACACCCUUCCAGAUGGAGUUAUAGGUUGGACCCCACUAGUUCAGAUUUGGGUCAUGUCGGUUAAGUGAGAACUCCCACAGUUGCAGUUUCAGUGUCAGUCUUUAGAGUAGAACUCAGAAAUCAGGACUAUCAGAUAUAGUCACCUAUCUCAGUAAGGAACUUAGAUAGUUCCAUAGAUUCAUGGACCACCCGCUAGAUAGUCUUGGUCUCUCAUAAAGUUAACCAGUAUUAGUACUAAUAGAUCCAGAGAUCACCCGUUAGAUAGGCCUGAUCUCAAACUCAGUCCAUUAUUUUUAUUAUUAAAAUAUUCAGAGAUCUUUUGCUGGAUAGGUCUGAUCUCAGAUACAGUCAUUCCUUACUAUUAUUAGUAGAUUCAAAGAUCAUCCGUUAGUGAGGUUUGAUCUCAGAUUUAGUCAGUCAUUAGUAGAAAGCUCAGAACUCAUUUAUUGAUAUAGUAAAUUUAGUUAUUCAGUAUCUUAGUAUUAGUAGUGAGUUCAGACCUCAGCAAAGUAGUAUCCGAGUCUCAGUAUUCAGUGUCAUGAUGACUUCAGUUAUGGUUUGUGUAUUCAUGCAUAUGUCCUCAUUCAGUAUUUUCAUGUUAUUUAGUUAAAUAAUGUUCAUACAUAAGCCCUUGUAUUUAGCCUUACCUCAUCUAACAUACCAGUACAUUCAAAGUACUAACACAUACUUUUCUGCAUUAUGGUAUCUUAUACCAUAGCUUCAGAAGUGCGAGAUCCAGAGCACCCUUAGCAGUCCAGACUCAGUCAGCUGUAGUAGACGUAGCAGUGAAUCCUCUUCAUUCGAGGAUGAUCCUUAUUAUAUUAUAGCAUCAGACUCAGUAUAUUUUCUGUAGAAGGAGUUAGUUGAGGAAAUGUCCCAUCAACUCCACAUUCAGAUAGUUUCAGGCUUUUUGGACAGAUGUAUUAGUAUUUAGUUUUCAGUAGUGAUUAUUUUAGAUAUUUGGAACCUUAUGGCCAAUUUCUGCCAGUUUUCUACAUUUAUUACCUGUAUUAUGCAGUGCUCAGGUACUGAUAUUAGAAGAGGGUUAGCUUAUGGUCUUUUGGGGUCAUGAAUACCGUGUGGCAUUUUAGUUCCAGAAAAUUGGGGCGUUACACAAGCACAUCGAAUUAGAUUGUCUUUUGGUUCGAACUAAGUUCGAUGAGGGAGUUAUGCACUUGGUUCAUACUUCUUCAUCCAAUCAACUUAUAGAUCUUUUCACUAAAGGUUUAUCAGAUGGAGUUCGUCAUGGUUUAAUGUGCAAGUUGGGAGUGAUUUACCCCUCCAACUUAAGGGGGUGUUGGACUACUAAUUCCUUCUAGUCCAAAUGAGUAGUGAUACGGGCCAGCCCAUUACUUGUUAUUUAGGCUUAUGUUUGUGUCGGGUGAUUUGUGGCCCAUUACUUUUAUAUAUAUAUAUUGACUAUCUUUGCUUGUAUCUGAUGAAUUCAUUUUUAUGUUUACUCAAUAAUAUCUCAUCUCUUCAUCUUCUCAAUAUUUCUCUCUCUAGAAUUUCUCAAAGCUUCCGUUGUCAACACCCAAGGCCUAAGAAGAAUUAGAAAUUUGUGCUAAAUGGACCAUGCUAUUUUGAAGGUGCCAUUUCUAAUAGGUAGACAGUCAGUACAAGAUUACUAAGCUCUAUGUUUUGCUACCGGGUUAGUAAGGCCGACACCAAAGCCUAAUAAAAUACGACCCAAGAUGAGCAUAGAAAUAUUUUGAGAAGCACCAUUGAUAAGAGCACCAGUAAAGUGCAAAAAGUUCACAAGUUUUCAUCUUUCCAUCAAAAAAAGAGGGAACAAGUAUUAGAAAAUUUCACAAGUUUGGAUUCACUCGAAAAGUAAUGGUCAGAAAGUUCUUUUUUAAACUGCUUAUUGGAAAACAAAUAAGUUUUCUAGUGAUCAAUUAAUUCUUCACAUGUCCUAUGAUUAACAGUUGGUUCAGAGCCAAAACGUGUAAUUCAGUCUUAAAAAAUAGAGAAUGAAAAAUAAAACAAGCAUACUUACGUGAAAUUCUAAUAUCAAAUUCAAAAAUGAGGCCACCUGAUGCAACAUUAAUCUUAGUGAUGACAACUGCAAAUGUGAUCCUCCUGGUAAAGUGGUUAUCUCUAACUUGACCAUAAACAGCCAUGCCGCCAAUUGUCAUUUUUUCUACAACUACUUGAAGAGAUCUAAAAUGAAGCUUUGUAUUUCCAAUAUUGGUCUAUAUAUAGCGUAUCUUGAAGUUGAAGUUUCCAAUUAAUAGCGUAUAUAAACAGAACAUGUGACACCUCAACAAACAAACUAGUUACAAGUCUAGACGUUUUAAUUUUCUUUAUAAAUGGAAAUGAAGUCUACUUAUAUCAAUCAAACUAUUCGCUUCAAGUCUUUUUUUCUUAAAUGGAUACAUAGUUUUAUUGUGUUCUAGAGCCAUAUUUAAUUUGGAGAGCUUCACUUACGAAAAAUUGUAACAGGAAGAAUUUAUGGUUAUGAACAGUAGUGAUUGUUCUAACAUUUCCCACCUCCAGUGGAAUACAACUUAGCAAAAAUCUGACUCUAAACUUUUUUAAAAAGUUUAGAAGAAACUCAAAUAAGUUUAUUGAGAUGUUAGUUUGAUACAUUAUCCUCUCUAUAACAUCAGUACUAGAAAAUUUGAAGGUUGUUUCUAUUACUUUUUGGCACAAGGAACAAUUAACUUCAUUAUAUAAUCUAAUAGAAUAAAACAGACAAACACCCUUGUUGAAAUGUCUAGAGUUACACUACAAGUGUGAUCAUUAUGCGUGCACUGUUACAUUAGUUCACUGUGUGCACAAAAUUUGUCUACUAGUGCACGUGAGCUCACUAGUGCACGUGAGUUUGUUAGUUUGUUAGGUGGUUAAUGAGUUGUGUGAUGAGAUGGUAGGUUAAGUGUGUAGUGCCAUGAGAAGAUUCUAGAAUAGAAGGUUCUAGAAGAUAUGUCUCUAUAUAUAGGUCCAAGUUGUAAUAACAAUAUGAUUUGAUAGUUAAUAAAAUUUCCUCCUUCCUUUUUCUUAUCUGUUUAAUGCAGGUUGGUAAACAAGCUUUGUAUCAACUAUUUGAUAAGAGUUCACAUGGUAUUGAGCUCCAUGUCACGACCUAGGGCUACCCCCUAGUCGCAACAAUGGUGCUUAGGGUAACAAGUGACCACAAGCUAACCCAUGAGCCAGUACCUGCUGUGAGCACUGAAUAUAACAUGAAGAUAACACAUGUACAGAAGAAAACUGAGAAGGUAAUGUAUAUUUGAAUACUAAAAUAUGAAAUACUAAAUAUCUAAAACAUCUGAUGAGAACUAAAAGUAACUAACUGACUGUCUAACUAUUUUGUCUGAAUGUUUGAAAGCCUCUAAACUAACUGAGGAGUAGAUAGGAUAGACCCCAACUAACUUCGAAUAACUGAAUAAAAUGGAAUACUGAAAUAGCUAAAUAAUCAUAACAUGUCCUCGGUGGAUGAGGACUCACCACUACGGCUGCUGGAUUACGCUGAGCUGUAUAACUGUAGUAAGAAAACUAUGCGUCUGAACCUGUGAUAUAAGACAUCAUAGCACAAAGAAGAGUAUACGGUCAAUACUUUGAAUGCACUGGUAUAUGGGAUGAGGUUAGGCUGAUAUACAUGAGGUACUGUGCACAUGAAAUAAGAACUAAUUGAAUAGCAUGAGAUAACUGAACAUGAAUGCUUGCAGUACUAGAAAAUUUGAAGGUUGUUUCUAUUACUUUUUGGCACAAGGAACAAUUAACUUCAUUAUAUAAUCUAAUAGAAUAAAACAGACAAACACCCUUGUUGAAAUGUCUAGAGUUACACUACAAGUGUGAUCAUUAUGCGUGCACUGUUACAUUAGUUCACUGUGUGCACAAAAUUUGUCUACUAGUGCACGUGAGCUCACUAGUGCACGUGAGUUUGUUAGUUUGUUAGGUGGUUAAUGAGUUGUGUGAUGAGAUGGUAGGUUAAGUGUGUAGUGCCAUGAGAAGAUUCUAGAAUAGAAGGUUCUAGAAGAUAUGUCUCUAUAUAUAGGUCCAAGUUGUAAUAACAAUAUGAUUUGAUAGUUAAUAAAAUUUCCUCCUUCCUUUUUCUUAUCUGUUUAAUGCAGGUUGGUAAACAAGCUUUGUAUCAACUAUUUGAUAAGAGUUCACAUGGUAUUGAGCUCCAUGUCACGACCUAGGGCUACCCCCUAGUCGCAACAAUGGUGCUUAGGGUAACAAGUGACCACAAGCUAACCCAUGAGCCAGUACCUGCUGUGAGCACUGAAUAUAACAUGAAGAUAACACAUGUACAGAAGAAAACUGAGAAGGUAAUGUAUAUUUGAAUACUAAAAUAUGAAAUACUAAAUAUCUAAAACAUCUGAUGAGAACUAAAAGUAACUAACUGACUGUCUAACUAUUUUGUCUGAAUGUUUGAAAGCCUCUAAACUAACUGAGGAGUAGAUAGGAUAGACCCCAACUAACUUCGAAUAACUGAAUAAAAUGGAAUACUGAAAUAGCUAAAUAAUCAUAACAUGUCCUCGGUGGAUGAGGACUCACCACUACGGCUGCUGGAUUACGCUGAGCUGUAUAACUGUAGUAAGAAAACUAUGCGUCUGAACCUGUGAUAUAAGACAUCAUAGCACAAAGAAGAGUAUACGGUCAAUACUUUGAAUGCACUGGUAUAUGGGAUGAGGUUAGGCUGAUAUACAUGAGGUACUGUGCACAUGAAAUAAGAACUAAUUGAAUAGCAUGAGAUAACUGAACAUGAAUGCUUGAAAACUGUGACAUCUAAGAAUGCAAGACCAAGCAUAAAUCUGUAAUCUAAAAUAAGUUUGAAAUCUGUAAGACUGGAAAUUAUAUAAUUGAAUAACUAAAAGUCUGUACACUUGGUCAAGCAAACCUAAACUUAGAAUACAUUAAAAUACUGUACUGAGACUAUGGGAGGUAUCAUCUAACUGACAUGACCCAAUCUAAUCAAAUUGGGGUCCAACCUGUAAUCCUAGUUGGAAGAAUGUUAGUACCAUUCCAUGGUUACUAACACUGGCUGUGUGGAUCCGCUAAUUUGAUGUCUCGAAGGACUAGGGAGUUAGUCUAAAACUGGCAGGUGACCCCUAAGAGAGUGUCAGUCCUAAAAUGGCAGGUGGCAUCUUAUAAUCCUAUGCUGGCUACAUAGUUCUAGAACUUAGGGACUUCUACUAAGGACCCAGUCCUUACUGGCAGGUGAGCCUUUAUCCCUAGGUUCGCUCAGUGCUAAAUCCCAUUCCCAACUUAACUGACACUGGUAACUGAACUGAACUAAACUCAAUUGAAUGUUAUUACAUAACUGAUAGUGCGCAUCAUGAAUAUGAAUGUCUGAGUAUACUGAUAAGAGUCAUGGAUUAACUGUCUGAGUACUUGAAAAUUUGAAUUCAUGUAAAACAAGUAAGUAUCAGGUGUUCACAACCCACCAACACUGAAUAGAAGUACUAACAAUGCCAUACAAAAGCUUUAAAACCAUAAUAAGGGAUCAUUGUUUAAAACCCAAAACUUAGGCAAUUCAUCAAUCAUAUGAGAGUCAUGAACUUAAGCAUGGGGAUAGAUAAAGCAUGCGAGAACAACAUGAUCAUAAGACUAAAAUCAUAAAUUAAGGAUUUAAUGUGAAGCUUUCAACAUGCAAAACAUGUAAUGGUUCAUUCCACUUGGAAACACUCAUAAACAUAACUUGUAAUUGCAUUAACAAGAGAUUCAUGGAGAUAGUUCAACUUAACCAUGUAAAACUCAUAAUUUAAAAACCAAAAGAGGAUCUUGGACUCCAUGGGUGAAAGGGGUCCAUGGAUGAACAUCGCACAUACCUCACUAGAUGAAUUCAUGAAGAUUCUUAAGAAUUUCUUGAGAUUUGAAGUUUGAAUUCUUUAAUUGCUUGAGUAAGGGUUAGGGUUUGUUCUUGAGGUAGAAGAUAGUUUGCUUGAGAGAUUUUAUGAGUAAUAGGGCAAAUAAUGCUCCUUUAGGACCUAAAUUUCAUGUUAUGGACGAGUUUGGGUGAGGGGAAUUGAUCCAAAUGCCCUUAAAUAACAAGUAAUCAAAAGAUGGACGGGUAAAGAAGGGGCAACAUGGGUUCUGGAGUGGUGCACUAGAGGGCACGGUGUGGGCUUUAGAGUGAUGUACUAGAGGGCGCAACGCAGGAUUCUCCCAGUUCUGUUACUAUUUUAGAUUCUCAAACACACCUUUAUGCUUCUCUAAAAAUUUUGAAACUCACUCGAUAUUUACUUUUAACAUCCUCAAUCAUGAAUCAACUCAAAAAUUAACAUUCUGAAGUCAGAAAGGUCAAAAAUAAAAUUAUUGAAGUUUAGGGACCUUGGAAAUGACUGUCCCAACAGUUAGGCUAAUUUGUAAGAUUUGGACCCCUUAUGCAUGCAACUGAGAGCUAAAAUAAACUAAGACUUUUUAUGAGGUAUUACACUCCAGUUCGAUCAUGGAGUAGGACAAACAAUCUAUGGAGUUUAGAUCUCCAUUUUGGUAGAGUUUUAAUUUAUUUAUGCAGUUGACUCUACUUGAAUCACAAAUUUUACUUGAAACUUUAAGUUGUUUUAGUGGAUCUAUCUAUGUUUUUUGAGGAAGUUGUUAGUAGUUUUUUUGAUCCCUACAUCCGAUUGAUUGAUUGGUGAAAGGUGAAGAAUGGCACCUAAGAUAGAUCUCAGUGAUCCAUUGUUCAUAGGCUCAUCAGAUGUGUCUGGAGCUACCUUGAUUCCAGUCAAGCUUGUUGGCUCUAAAAAUUAUAAUGUAUGGAGUAGAUAAAUAAGGAUUGAGCUAUUGGGAAAAAGGAAAUUUGGAUUUGUAACUGGUGCAUGCAAUAAAAAGAUGUACAGAAAAAAGUUACAUAAACAAUGGGAAACUUGUAAUGCCAUAGUGUUGUCAUGGCUAAUAAGUUUAGUAAGUUUGAGUUGUUGAUUGGGAUUGUGUAUGCCACAAGUGCACGAGAAGUUUGGGAAGAUCUGAAGAAAAAGUUUGAUAAGGUGAAUAGAAUGAGAUUAUACCAACUACACAGAGAAAUCAACACACUAAUCAAAGGUACUAAUUCAGUAGAUACUUACUUUACUAAAUUGAAAGAUCUAUGGAAUGAAUAUGAUGUUGUAAUCCUGGAUCCUUCAUAUGAUUGUCUAGGAUCUAGGUAUUAUGCAGAUCAUCUUACUCAAAUGAGGUUGUUAGAAUUUCUGGGAGGGUUGAAUGAUUCAUAUGAACAGGCAAGGAAACCAAUUUUGCUAAGAAGAGUUGUACCUUCUCUUAAUCAAGAAUAUGUUGUGAUAGAUGAGAAUGAGUUGCAACAACUUUCUUGAUUCUCCAUCAAAAUUAAGAAAUCAGAUCCUAUUAUGAUGCCGGUUCAUAGAGGUUCAUAAGUAAGCCACAUAAAUUAGAAUUACAAGGGGAGAGAAUGCGACUAUAGUCACCUCACUGGACACACAAGAGAGAAUUGUUACAAGCUGAUUGGAUACCUUACUGAAUGAAAAUUAAGAAGAAAGAUGAGUUACAAUAGUGGAAGUUCAAAAAGAUUUAUACCUCAAAAUCCAGUAAAUGGAUAUGGAAGUCAGGACACUAGAAGAUUCAAUGCCACUAGGCAUUCUGGGAACCAAUAUACAAGACAAGUUAAUACUCGUUUUUGUCUAGUACUUUUAAUGGACAAUGUGUUGGUUGAGAUGCCAAUCAAAAUGAUUCAACCAGUCAAGCUGGUCCCAAGGAUAUCAAUAAUACAAUAUUGGUAAAAGGUCAAGCCUUUACUGAUAAGGAAUAUAAGAAGAUUAUGGAACUUCUCAAUAGGGAUCAAUAGGAGAUAAAACAUGCUAACAUGUUAGCUAUAGCUACCUUUUUAUUUUCUCAUAAUGAGCAGCAAGAAUAGUAGUCGACUCUAGUACUACUCAUCACAUUGCAUCAAAUAAUAAUAUAUUUUCCACAAGAAAUAAAGUAACUAGAGAAAGAGGUGAUAAGGUGAAUCUACCAAGUGGAUCUAGGGAAGAUAUAUCUCACAGUGGAGUAGCACUAGUUUUGCAAAAUGCUAUUGUAAAGGAUGUACUAUUUGUCCCUGACUUUAGGCUGAAUUUGCUAUUAGUGUCCAAGGUUACAAGACAACUGUCUUGUUUUAUAUCCUUUUACCCUAACUUUUGCAUAUUUCAGGAUCUUUAUAGUAGCAAAGUAAGGGGGAUUGGUAAGGAAAAUGAAGGAUAAUAUGUUCUUCAAGGUGUAAAUAGAAGGAAGAAUAUUUUUAAAGAUAAAGAGAAGCCAGUAGCAAGCAUGAUGAUGCAUGACAGCAGCCUAUGGCAUAAAAGACUUGGACAUCCAUCUACAUAAAUGUUAAAGUCACUACACUUCUAAGUCCUUGUAAGGAUUUCGAGCUACUAAAUAAAUGUCAUGUAUGUCCUCUAACCAAGCAGACUAGAUUACCUUUUCCUGACAGUGAAACUAAGUCCAUCAUGUGCUUUGAUAUUUUACAUAUGGAUUUGUGGAAACCCUUAAAACACCUACUUUCGAUAAAAAGUUCUACUCCUUAACUAUUGUGGAUGAUUGUAGUAGGUAUAGAUGGAUACAUUUGUUGUAUCUUAAGUUUGAGAAUAUUGUUACUCUCAAAGACUUUAUGUUGAUGGUUAAAGUUUAGUUCAGAUCUAAUGUGAGGGUCAUAAGAACUGAUAAUGGCACUGAGUUCUUUAACACUCAGUGUAGUGAUUUGUUCAAGACCUCAGGUAUAUUGCAUCAAAGUAGUUGUCCUUAUACACUACAAUAAAAUGAUGUAGUGGAAAGGAAACAUAGGCAAAUCCUGAAUAUAGCCAGAGCUACCAGGUUUCAAUCACAAAUAUCUAUCAGAUUUUGGGAUCUAGCUAUUCAGGAUAUUGUCUACCUGAUGAAUAGAUUACCUUCAUCCUCCAUUAGUAGUAGAAGUCCAUAUGAGGUAUUGUUCUCUAAAAUACCUUCCUUAUCACAUUUGAGGGUACUGGGUUAUUUCUGCUAUGCCUCAAUAUUGCCUAAAGGUGAUAAGUUCUCUAAGAGGUCCAACCUACUGUAUUGUUGGGGUAUUCAACCACACAGAAUGGAUACUUAUUGCUGGAUAUGAACUCUAACAAGUUUUUUGCCAGCAGAGAUGUUACUUUUCAGGAAGAUGUUUUCCCUUUUGUUGAAGCUGAAGGAAAGUACAAAUCCAUGGAUUUUUUCAAGUCACAUGCAGAAGACGGUGGUGUUUAUGAAGAUUCCGUGGAGUUAGUAGAUACUACUGAGGAUUUAACAUCAAAUGUAGGAGAAUUACCUCAAAGUACUUUAGUGCAUGAUCCAUCAAUGGAUGUGGAAGAUCAGUCGACUGUUGAACCUGAAGUCAGCUCCAGCAUGCACAGAUAAUAUAGAACCUAUCACUUAUAGAAAAAUAUCAAGGUUGGCUAAAGAGACUAUUUGGAUAAAACAUUACUCUAUACCUGUAAAGAGGAAGUGUACAAGAUAUCCAAUAUCAAAUUAUUUGUCCUACAAGAAUGCUGCAUCUCAUUAUCAAUGUUAUGUGAGUAGUUUUUCGGACUUGGUUGAGCAUCAAUACUUCAGUUAAGUCGCCAAAUAUGAUAGAUGGAUAGAAGCCAUGAAGUUAGAAAUUAAAGCACUUGAGGAUAACAACAUAAUGGGAAGUAGUCGAGUUUCCCCCUGGAAAGAAUGACAUUGGCUCAAAGUGGGUAUACAAUAUCAAGUAUAAAGAAAAUGGGAUGAAGAGAGAUUCAAAGCAAGACUGAUAGCUAAAGGUUACAGUCAAUAGAAAGGAUUAGAUUACCAUAAUACUUUUUCACCAGUGGCAAAGAUGGUGACUACCAGAUGUGUUAUUUUACUAGUUGUAUCAAAAGGAUGGUACAUGUACCUAUCAUAACCUAUCUUUACCUAAGGUCAAAACGAGCAUGACAUUAUAGACUCUUAAAGAAUAAAUUAUGUACAGAGUCGCCACCUAAUUUUUAAGGAAAAAUAGGAAACCUAAUUAUUUAUUAACAAGUAUGACUUGUGUUUUUAAUCUAUGAAACCAAUUUAGAUUCUAGAUAAGGGUUUAAAUUAUUCCGAAGGGAAGGAAUUAGGCACCCUUCAGAAUCCACAAAUGUGGUUCUCGGCCAGACUUAGGUUUAUUAAAAGAGAAAAAAAGAAAAAUCAAUCUUUGUAAAUACAAAUAUAAAAUAUGUAUUGAAAUAAUACAAUACGUAUGUUGUCGUAUAUGUAAACAAAAGUAUAUAUGUAUAUGUAUGUAAAGAAAAGACAAGAUUGAAUAAAGAAAAAUUGCUUUAAAGAAAAGACUACGUAAUAAUUUAGUGUAAAAAAUAUGAAUUAUUUGAUUAAAUAUCUAAAUUAAUUUUAAUAUAACUAUUAAUAGCCUAAAAUUACCUAAUGCAUGGUGAAGAUUGCGUAAACAAAUAAUAUCCUGCCCAACCUCCAAAAAUAAAGAUUUUACUAUAAUUAAUAUUUGUACAAGUUUAAAAGUAUAAAAAUACAAAUAUAAAAAUUAUAAAAAUACAAAUAUAAAAAUUAAAACCUUCUUUGAUUGUCAUUCCCGAUAAAUAUUCUCAAUAUCCUGUAUAAACACAUGUAAAUGAAAUGUUAGUAACGAAUAAAUAAUUAUCAAAAUAAAUUGAAAAGAUAUGUGUGCAUAUAUAUGUAAAAAAUAUAAUUUUUCGCUAAAAAGUGGGCUCAGAUAAAGUUUUAAAAUAUUAUAUGAAUUUUGUCAUCGCCCAAAUUUAUUUAUUUUAUUAUGUAUUUAUUUACGUAAUAUCCUUGUUUUCAUUUGUGGAGGCCUUGGAAAUUGACGAAAAAAUUCCUUCAUCGGCCAAUAAAAUAAAAACUUGAUUAUUUUUAUUAAAUAAAUAAAGAUUAUUCAAAAACCAAGUAGCCCAAAUAUGAGCCAAAGAUAGAAAGAUUAUUUAAAAACCAGGUAGCCCAAAUAUGAGCCAAAGAUAAUUAUUAUCAAUAUAGUAUGAAACAGAGAAAACAACAAUAAAAAUAUAGCUAGAACAAUGAGCAAAUUAUCAAAGUAUUGAUAUAAAUCAAGAGCGAAACCACACUUUAAUAAACUUUGACUAACUCACAAGAGUGAGAUCCUCAAACAAAAUAACACAUAACACAAGAUAAACUAAAAUAAUGUAAAAAUCAGUCAAAAUAUGACAGUGAAUACAACCAUUAGUAAAUAACAAUAUCAACAAUAAUAACCAAAACAAUCAAGCUAACAUUAAUAGCAAGUGAUGAUGAUACAAAUACUGCUAUGAUAAUAAUUGAAAAUCCAUGAGAGAAAUCACACAUCAAGAAAUAUUAGAACAAAAUAAAGUAAAAUAGGUAACAAAUUCAUAAGUCAAAAUGAAAAACGAUAUAAAGUUCAAGAGUUCAAACAUCUGACCAGCUUGUGGUCGACGUCGCAGAUCUGGCAACUUUGUCGGAGCUUGGCUCGUUCCGUCCAUAUCUAGCCGGAGCAAUGAUGGAGUUCACCGAAUGGUGGUGUUCACCGAUGAAGAAGGAGAGAAGAGAGAGAGAGAGAAAAUAAGAGGCGGCGUGGUUAUGGGUGUUGUGGUAUUUUUCAGGGACGGUGGCGUGUGGCUGCCAAAAAAGGCAAAGAGACUGUUAAGAUUUUUGAAAAACUAUGGAGAAGAUGAAAUCUUAAAUUGGAAAAUUAUUUAGUAGUAGGCGUCUAUGUGUAUAGCUUUUUAUAUGUUUGUUUUGUGUGUGUGUGUAUUUUUUAUAAAUAAAAAAAAUCCCUUUUUUACCAAACAAUAAUAAACUAAACCCCUUUGUCCCCUUAAUGCACUAUUUAGACCACAGGUCACUAUCCAAUGGAUCUUUUCAUCUUUUUAACCAAUGUAUAUAAAAUUUUCAUCCAAAAAAUAAAAAUCUCAACUUGUCACCUCAAGUGUCACCUUUUAAAAAGUGAUGAGACCUUGACUUGACUGAUUUGUUGCUCCGUUUAUUAAAAUAAUCAAGCCGACCUUAUCAUUUGUAGACUAUAUUAAAUAAUGCACAAAUAUAUGAAUGUCAAUGUAUAAUUAUAGAAAAAUGCAAAUAAAAUAUAUAAUAUAAUUAUCUUUAAAAAAUAUAUUACGUUAUAAACAAUUAAAAUUAUAAUAUGUAAAAAAGAAUUGUAGUGUUAUGUUAUGUACGUAUGUAGAUGACUAUGCAAACAGUAUUAAGAUAAUUCUAAACUGAUAAAAUCAUAAAAUUUAUGAAAUUAAAGAUAAUUUUAAAAUACGACAAUAUAUUGAUAAAAAAUCCUAAAAAAUAAUGAUUACGAAAAUUUAUGAACAAUUGUAAAAAAAAUUGUUUUUUAUCAAUUUUUAAAGAAGCAUCGAAAAUAGAUGAACACUUCUGUCCCCAAAAAUUGCCCCAAUAUUGAGUUGUGAUAUGUUGGGGAUGCAAGAUUGUGUACUUGUUGAGGAGAAAGAAUGAUUAUGGAGUUGUAGCGACCGAACUCUGCAUAGAGCUUCCUACAUAUCUUGUGUGUCAUGAGAAUCAGGUCAAUGUAGUUCAAAAAAGAAAAUAGGGUAAAUUUUAAGAUGGUUUUCAAAAUUUGCUCUAGUGUAUGAUUCAUGGCUAACACUGUCUUAUGGGGAGGAAAAAUAAAUGUCUUGUUAUUGUGAAUAAUAUUUUGAUUAAAAAGAUGUGUGACGUCUUCGAUUGUGUAUGGGGACUUAAAGAUGAAUAGCGUCUCUGAUUUUCUAUGGGACUUAAGAAUAAGAUAUCUCCAAUUUUCUACGGACUAUGUGGUUAAUGGAAGAUGUAUUCGAUUGUCUAUGAAGACUUUAUGAUGAAUAAAAAGUGUCUCCGAUGGUCAACGGAGACUUGAUAAUAUCUCUAAUUAUAUAUAAAGAUGGAUACUGAUUGUCGUCUCCGAUUGUUCAUGGAGACUGAUAUUGAAUGAUGAUGUCUUCGAUUUUAGAUGAAGACUUGAUGGCAUCUCAAAUUGUCUAUGGAGAUCAAUGUUGAUUGUUGUCUCCGAUUGUCUAUGGAGACUGAUGUUAAAUGAUGAUGUCUUCGAUUGUAUACAAAGACUUGAUGACAUCUCCAAUUGUCUAUGGAGAUGGAUGUAUGAUAUCUUUAAUUUUCUAUGGAGACUAAUGUUGAUUGUCGUCUUUAAUUUUAUAUGAAGACUGACGAAUGAUUGUCGUCUCCGAUGGUCUAUGAAGACUAUGUAUGAUACCUCCAAUUGUUUACGGAGACUUGAUGAUAAACGAUGCCUUUGAUUAUCUACAGAGACUAUGUCAUGAAUGAUGUCUUCGGUUGUCUACGAAGACUAUGUCAUGAACGUUGUCUUUAAUUGUAUGCAAAGACUAUGUAUGAUAUCUCUGAUUGUCUACAUAGACUUGAUGAUAAAAUGACGUCUCUGAUUGUCUAUAGAGACAAUGUAAUGAAUGUUUUCUUCGAUUGUCUACGAAGACUAUGUUGAUUUUUGUCCCCGAUUAUUUAUGAAGACUAUGUGAUGGUUGAUGUCUUCGAUUGUCUACGAAGACUAUGUUGAUUAUUGUAUGAUAUCUACAAUUGUCUAAGGAGAUUGAUGUUGAUUGUCAUUUUCGAUUGUCUAUGAACACUAAAGCCCUCAACUAGUGUGGUGACCGAAAUCUAAUAGCCCUUCUGUAAUACCCUGUACUUUUCCUAGCUUAAAAAGUUUCCCAAGAAUGUUAGAAGCUUUCUUUGAAAGAUGAAUCCACUUUUGUACACGUGGUAUUUUCAAGAUUUUCACUUCUAAUCAUGUGUGGAAUCGAAUAAGCUUUCCAUUUAUACCAAAUUCGCCCAAAUCUGACACCGGGUGAGGAGUUAGAGCCUUUUUAGUGAGACAGUGUAUCACCUGAUCCUUCAGUGCAUCGCAGAGAUAGCUUAAAUGGCAAUUGUCAAUUUCCAAUGUUGCUCUGCGAUAGUGGCGCAUCGCGCCAAACUUCUAGGUCGCAGAUAAGGUGGCAACGCGAUUGCUCCAUAUCGCGCAACCGUGCAAUUUCCCAUUUGUCACUUUCUAGUGACUUGGCGCGAUAGUGGCGCAUCAUGCCAAGGAUGAAAAUCGGAAAAUUUUCUCAGAAAUUAAAGACAUGUCCAAGGGUUUAAAGGGUCAAUUUUAUACCCCUAUUUAAACCCAAUAACACGUGAUUUAGCCAUUUUUACCCAAAAUAUACUAGUUUCUCUGAAGUUUCUCUCAAGAACAAGCUAGGGUUUCUAUUAGGGCUUCAAAUUCAAGAAGGUUUCACCGUCAAUCUUCACGAAAUCAUGAACUAAGGUAUGCGUAGUGUUCAUUCAUGGACUCCUUUCGUCUAUAAAGCCCGAGAAUAUCUUUUCUAAGUUUAAGUUUAUGGAUUUCUUUAUGAAUUUCAUGUUUUGGUUUGUUUUGUUUAUGUUGAGAAUGAUCAAUUGAAUUCAAAUCUAUGUUGGGUGAUCAAUUUUAUAUGGAAUUGAUUUGUAUAGAUGUAUAUUCAUGUGAACCUAUAAAUAAAACCUAGGAUGAUGAAAUUAAAGAUGAAUCGUGAUGAUUAAUUGUUGUAUAAUAUUGUCUAUAUGUGCUAUGCCUACCAUGUGUAUGAUUAAAUCCCUAGAUGAAGGAACAAUGCCCAGCUUGUAUGAUAUCAUGAAAUCUCCAUGUAUGUACAAGCUUAUGCAUAUCACAUGUUUGAUGAAGUGCUUCAAUAUAUGAAUUAUGAAUUGUGUUGUUGGUCAUGUGUUCAAGUAAGCCAUGUUAUGUCAGUUUCUUCUCAUUGAGUCCUGGGGGUACUUGUACCCGAAUAUUUAGCUGUGUGCCUAGAGAUAUGUCAUGUUUUCACGAUCUCCUUAGUCAAGCUAUGAUCCAUAGAACUCAGUCAGUCAUGUGACUCAAGAAAUCUCAAUAAUUUUAGUAGCUCAGUAAUCUCAGUAACCUCACUAUUCCCAGUCAAUCUCAGUAACUUCAGCAUUCUCUUUCAGUCCUCAGAACUCAAAAAAUUCCAUAAGUUAACAGAACUCAGUAAAUUCAGUUUAGCUUUACUACACAAUACCACCAGUAUCAGUUUAGUUAAUCAGCUCAGUUCAGUUAAUCAGUUUAGUGUCUUUUAGAUGGGAGUAGGAUUCAGCACCGAGCGAGCCUAGGGAUGGGGACUCACCUGCUAGAUAGGACUGAGAUCCCUAGAAGCAAUCCCUAAGUUCCAGAACUACAUAGCCAUCGCAGGUAUGAUAUGUCACCGUUAGAUAGGACUAACAUACUCAGAGACCACCCGUUAGCGUAUUUAAAUAUAUAGGACUGAUCCCAGGGGUCACCUGCUAGAUUAGGACUGACUCCACAGCAGUUGUGUUUCCAGUGGCGCGGUACUGAUACCUUUCUAGCUGGGGUUAUAGGUUGGACCCCAGUUAGCUUAGUAUGGAGCAUAUCGGUUAGAUGAAUACAUCCCACAGUUUCAGUUACAAAUUUAGGACUGUCAGAAACAGUCAAUUCAGCUCAGUAGUGUAGAUUUAGGACUGUCAGAUAUAGUCACUCCUUAUCAUUAUAAAUAGACUCUGGGAUUACCCAUUAGAUAGGACUAAUCUCAACUAUGGCCGAUCAGUAAUGGUAUCAUCAGAUUUAGAGAUCACCCGCUAGAUAGGACUGAUCUCAGAUUCCUGAGAGAUCAUCUAGAAAGACUUUUGGAAACUCAUUUACCACAAGGACUGACUAGAGAGAAAAAAUUCCAGCAUUAGAAUCUUUAACCCGAAUAAAAUGGUACAGACAACCUAUAUAGAUAAGUUUAUAGGCUCUGAGAUAAGAUAUAAAGUUUCCUCUAGGAUCUAAAGAAUGCCCCUCCCGUUCUAUCAUCGGUUCAUUCAGAAAAUAAAAGGUAACUCUUUGGGUUCUAUAAUUUAAUGUGGCAUAGCAUGAAUGAAGCCUGUCCUUCCCUAGGAUAGUAUCAAAAUCAAUCAUAUAUAUGUCUAUGAGGUCUGCCACGAUAUACCGGCCACAAACAACCACCACACAAAUUCUAUACACCCUUUUAGCCAUAAUAGAAUCACUUAUCAGAGUGGAAAUAGAGAAAGGUUCUAAAAUUUCAUCGGGCCCAAACCCAAAAUCGAUAGCCACAUAAGGGUUCACAUAGGAUAAGGUAGACCCAGAAUUAAUUAAUACAUAAAAUCACGGGAAAAGAUUUGUAACGUACCGGUGACUAUGUCUGGCGAGGCUUCUGCUUCCUGGUAGUUGGAUAAAGCAUACAGCCGGUUGUGACCGCUCCCAGUAGCUGAGGUGGUGCCCUUUUGAGGUGGUAGUGGUGCGGAAGAGUUUUCCUGAGAUUUGGCACCACCAACAUUCCUUCUAGCCUAAGGACAAUCUCUUUAGAAGUGACCCGAUUGACCACAUGAAUAGCAUACCAGUGAACCUAGCUGGCACCUCCCUGGAUGAUACUUACCGUAGGUCUCACAUCGUGGAAAUGUACGAUGCUGCUGAGCUACACUGCCCUAUGACUGGGUAUCCUGUGCUCUAGAUAUAUGACUAGUUUGGAAACUCUGAGGUCGUCGGUCUACUGGAGGUCUAGGCGCUGGGAUGCUAAUUGCAGACUGAGCAUUACCCCAAUGCUUCUUCUUCUACUAUUUAUUUCCCCAAUUAUUACUCUGUGGCUGACUAAGGUUCUGAUCCUUUAUUCUAUCUCUCUUUGCCUGUCUGUCCUUCUCCCUAGAUUCAGUGAUUCUCUUCUUCUGCUCCUCUACCUGCUGCAUAUGCACUGACAACUUAGAGAAGUCUAUGUCCCUGUUCAGCAUAGCCCCCUUACAUUCAAGCACUAAGUCAUCCAAAAGGCCGGAUGCAAAUUUUCUCAUUCGGGCUCUCAUAUUACCAGCCAUCUUCGGAGCAUAACGAGCCAGUUGGUUAAAAUUCAGAGUGUACUCCUUGAUACUCAGUUUUACUUGCUUAAGGUUCAUGAACUCCUCGGAUUUGUCCUCUCUCUACUCAAUAGGAAAUAACCGAUCAAGGAAGGCUUCUACAAACUUACCCCAUACCGUGGGCUCAACACUCUUACCCUUAGAAUCCUCCCACUCGUUAUACCACUGGUUCGCAACUUCUUUACGAUGGUAAGCUUCUAAUUCCACCCUUUCCACCUCAUCUACAUGCAUCACCUUAAAGAUUUUCUCCAUCUCAUCCACAAACUCCUGUGGGUCCUCCUUUACCUUAGUGCCAAAAAAUUUAGGCGGGUUCAUUCUCAUGAACUGACCCACCCUAGUAGCCUCAAAUAUGACUAAUGCAAACCCAACAUCUUUCGACCAUUGAGCCUGUGUGGCCACCAAAUAUGCAAGUAUCUGAAUGGACUAUAUGAAUUUUGCAUUAGAUACCUCACUUUCGCGAGGCUGAGUGCGAUUAGUCCCCGUCCGGGGAGCUCUAGGUGCCCUGGGUGGGCUGGUCUGAGUAGGUGGGAACUCUAGAGUAACAUCAAUCUCUGAAAACUGAGCUCUAUUUUGGGUCCUUAUCCCAUGUGUAGGAUAGACCUCAUUAGUUUGGGCAUUAGCGUUAGUACGACGGGGAGGCAUGGCUAUUUUCUGAAAUAAAAGAGAUCACGGAUUAAAGGACAGAUUAUACUCCAAAGCACGAACUAAAUCACAAAGAGGGGAAACAUUCCUAAAUGCAUAGUAGGCUUCUACUUAUAAGUAUGGUGUGCUACACACCCAUAAACAAAACUCUACCUGUCGUGAUUUUGCAGACACCCUGGGACCAUAAACCGUGCUCUGAUACCAAGUUUGUCAUGAUCCAAACCAGGGCCCUGGCCGUGACAGACAACCUGAACUAUGAAGGUUCGGGCAUCUCUAUAUGUCUAGUAAUUAUGCACAACAUUCAUAUAAUAGAGGAAAAUGAAAUCCAAAACUAUCUAAUAACAACUGAAAACCAUCUGUGAAAUCUCUACUACAUGACUAAUAACGACUGCUUGAAAGCUAGGACAAGGCCCCCAGUAGACCAAAACACUGACUAAUGAUAAAUGUCUAGAAAUAAGUAGGCCUCCUAAAAUAAAGAAGGCUCACCGAUUGGACUCUGCACUUCUGUCUAAAGAAAUCUACUGCUUAUCAGGACCCCUAGACUGUGCCUUAGAACCUGGAAGGUAGGGGGUCAAUACAGAUGUACUGGUAUGCAAAGCAAUCCAAAAUAAGAUUUUAAUACAAAUAAGGUAGUUGAGAGCUAGUCAUAAAAUAUCAUAUAUGAUAUAAAUUCAAAAACACAUGGAGAUUUUUUAUAAUCACAAAACCAUUUUGUCAAUGCAGUUUCUAAUCUUUGUAUUACUUCUGAGUUAGGUGGCACUCCCCUAGAAGUCUGAUAUUUCACAGGCUAUAUGGAAUCUUUCAUUGACUCGACGGGGAAGCCCCCAACCCAAGUGUGCCGCAAGGGUUGGAGUGUCUGAGUCUGAUACACCAUAGGACACUAGGCCAGCGUAUAAUAAUAUACCCAGAUCGAAAAAUCAUGGUUUUGGGCAAUGAGUUUUCUGAACUCGUGGCUUAUUCGGGGAACAACCUAAGCUCUCUUUAUGCCCAAUUUUAGUCUAUUCUGAAACAUGCAUUAUUCUAGUUUCAAAAUAUGAAAAUCUAAUUUCAAACAUGUAUUUUAUUCUGUUCUAAAUUAACAUGGCAUUCUCUGAGUUGGUGUCAUCAUACCAAGACUUGCAAGUCCUAUUUCUAAGCCAUAAUGCAUCAUGCAUGAUUCUUUCAUUAAAAACUCAAUUCAGACCACCCAAAAAUGCAAAUUGUAUAAGAGAUUUCAUGUUCCGAAAGCACAAUUCAAAACUAUGCAAGGAUUAUCAUUCUUUCAAUAACAAUGUGGUGGUCCUAAAAUCUUUGUCAAACCAUGCAACUCUUUCUAUUAGAUAUUUAUAUUCAAUAUUUAUCAAUACAAACAACCCUCACUUUUGAUUCAAAAAUUAUAUUCAAGUCAUAGUAUAAAUCAAUACAUUUCGUAUCAUGCUUUUCAAGAUGCAUUUCAAAACAAUCCAUAUCAUAUGAGAAAUGGGAUAAAUCAUAUCAAAAGAGGGAUUCCAUGUGAGUCAUGCUCUCAAUUCAAAUAUCACAUUAAAACACAUACAUACAUAUAUAUAGGAUUUCAAAUAAACUUCGGGGGAAGGCCUAAAGACCAAACAAUAUUAAUUAAAGCUUCCAAAACAUGCUAGUAAUGGUAGAAUUCAAACCCUUUCCGUAAAAUCAUGAUUUCUAAAUAUUUAGCACAAAUUAAAGAAGGUUUCUUUGCCCAUGAAUUUUUAGAAAAACCCCACGUACCUCAAUUACAGAAAAUAAUGGAUGAUUCUUGAAGCCUACGGUUUGAAGAUUCCAAAUCUUCAAUCAAUAUGGUGAUAAUUCAGAUGACAAAUAAAAAUAUACUAAAAAUAUAUAUUAUUGAUAUGGUUUGGCCAAACGACCUACAUGUUAAAAAUAAAAUUGAAAAUCCUAAAACCUAUUGGAAAAGCAUAAAACAUGUUGGGAGAAAUCUCCCCCUAAAGAAAGACAAUUUAAGGACUACAUUAUGGAUGCUAUUGUGUUAUGGUAUGAGAAGGGGACUUCUAUUUAUAGAGUUUUAAAACCUUUCCUAUAAGAAAUAGGUUAGCCAAAUAUGGAAAAGAAUUAAAUUUUUCUUUUAGAAAAGAUAAAAGUAAUUAUGGUUACUUUUAUUUUUCUUCCAAGAAAAAGUAAAACUUAUAUUUGGUAAGAAAAUCAGGGCAAAAACCCUAACAAAUCUCUCCCUUUUUGGCUUGAUUUUCCGCAAAAUAUUCUUGAUCCUCCUUCUUCUUAUGCAUUAUCUUCGUUCUUCACAUUUUCUUCAUAUAUCACUACUGUUUAACAUGCUUUAAAAAUUAAGCCUUCUGGGUUAAAAUAUAUCUGCCCUUUUCGGAUUAAAAAUAUUGGAGCCCUUUUGUAGGGUUAAAAGUGAGCUUUAUUUUUAAUUUUGUGAUAGCAGGAUUAUUGAAAUAUGAUUGACAAUUGCCUCCACAUCUAGUUAGACAAAAUCGUCAUUAUCGUCAAACUGUUGCAACUUGAUUUUGGAACCACUUUGACCCUAUUUAAUCUCGUCUCACCACACCAUUGGACCAUUGAACCAUUGAACCAUAGGCUUUGAUACCACUUGUUGGGUUCAAAAUCGAGAGGGCAUCAUACGGAAACUUAAAGUUUGCAAACUAAUAUGGUGUUAAUUCAGAUGACAAAUAAAAAUAUACUAAAAAGUUAUAUUAUGGAUAUGGUUUGAUCAAACAGCCUACAUAUUAAAAAUAAAAUUGAAAAGCCUAAAACCUAUUGGAAAAGCAUAAAACAUGUUGGGAAAAAAUCUCCCCCAAACAAAGACACUUUAAGAACUAUAUUGUGGAUGCUAUUGUGCUAUGGUAUGAGAAGGGGAUCUUCUAUUUAUAGAGUUUCAAAACCCUUUCUAUAAGAAAUAGGUUAGUCAAAUAUGGAAAAGAACUAUAUUUUCCUUUUAGGAAAGAUAAAAGUAAUUAUGGUUACUUUUACUUUCCUUCCAAGAAAAAGUAAAACUUAUAUUUGGUAAGAAAAUCAGGGCAAAAACCCUAACACUCCUUCCCAGCUAAUCGAGAUCGACUUCAAGGUAACUCCUAUAGUUUCAUAUGGUACCUCAAACAUACCAAAGUAUUGACAAGAUUUGUUCGUCUUUCUUCAAACAAAGAUUUUGAGUUAUGCUUAUUCUCAUGUUUCAAGUGCCCUCUCCAAAAGGAAAGUUCCAUUUUGCUUAUAUUUGUGUAAUUUUCUUUUUUAAUUAUGGACAUCUAGAUAAAUACACUCUCACUCAACAAGAAAUCCAAUGCAUGCAAUUGUGAUACCAUAGGCUUGACCUUCAUGUAAGUAUCCAUUAAUGUGAGGACACUUGAAAUAGAAUCCUGUAAAAGUGACUAAUUCCUCAAUGGAACUACACUGCAUUUGUGCUUUCGACGUUUGUUGCACUUAGACGUGUGAUCUUCUUUGUUGUCCUUUGUUUUUGUAUAUGCUUCAACUUUAUUCUUGUGUUGGAUUUUGUCCCUUUUUUUCAAGAAAUUAUAUAUUUCUUUUGGUUCUUUUUUUUCUUUUUUUUUGUGGGGGCUUUUCUUCUUUUAUAGUCGUUUUUCAUUUUGUUCUUCCAGGAUAAUAUAUCUUUUGCAUUUUACAUCUUUUAUCUUUAAUCUUCGUCCAUAAUUUUUACAUAUUUAGUGUACUCAAGGAGGUACGACCAAGAGAGGGAUAGUGCAUAUAAGCACUCAAAAAGGUAUAGGCUCAUAUGUGGUUGUCCAAAGAAAGGUUUUAGCCUCAAAAGAGGAAAUACUAGGGAUUAAUGUCAAUUGCUGGACUGUGAAAGGCACAAUCAGAUCAAAGAGGGCCUACAAUCCUUUCCUAAACUAAGUGUAACUCAGAAUUUUGCCUCAACAAACAUUUAGGACAAGUUCCAGAUCAAUAAUGCAAUGUAGAGAAUUAAACUAAAGUUCACCAUACAAUGCACAUGAAAUGAUAAGGUUGUCUUCAUUCUAGUCUUAGAUGUAUGCAAGAGAUUUUUCGGGUGUUACUCGAGUGUGAUAAAAGGUACCAAAAGAAUCUAUGAUUUACCAUGAAGUCGGUUCUUUUCAUUAUACAAAUUUAUUAUUUUUCAUGCACACUCCUAACUGUAUUGGUACUAACCAAUCCAAGAUUUUGAUUUUUUUUUUUAAAAUGAGACCGAACCCAAAUGAGGGUUGCCUACGUAUCUUGUAAAAAUAAGAAUCAGGUCUAUGUAGUUCAAGCAAAUUUAUAAAUUUGUAUGUGCAAUGUAUGAUUGUAAAAAAAUAAUGGUCAUUCUUGAAAAUAAUAUGAAAGACGAUCAAGAAAGAACUGUUUUUAACAUCAAAAUUGUUCUGUUCAAAUAAUCGAGAGAAUGGGUAUCAAGCAUGGGUGACCUUUGACACAACUUCAGUAUGCUGACCAGAUUGAAAAAGUCAAACAUUGAAGAAAUUAUGAUGAUAUUUCACUGCAGUUGGCUGGAUUAUUAUAACUAGAAAAAAUUAAAACCUUACUUUUGAAAGUGAGGAUCGAUACGCCAUAAAUUUAAUGGUUUAUGACAUUCUAAAGAACAAGUUAGGUAUUCUUGAAUAAAAAUCGGGUGAAAAUCUAGAGAUAGUUCGGCUAGGCACUAAUGUCAAUGGAAUUUGGAUUUGAGGAGCUAUUAAAUUACGCUUUUGAAGAAUUUUGGAGAGCAUUAUGAACUGUUUCAAAAAAUUACCUCAGUUUUGAGUACCAGAGGAAUUAUUUUGAAAUAGUGAAGAGACCGAACCCUAAUUCAGGGUUGUCUACGUAUCUUGUCAGGGCAAGAAUUAGGUUAAUAGUGGCAAUAUUGCUAAGGUGCAUAUUUUUAACUGAUCCUCUAUGCAAAACAAAGGCUAGACUACACCUUCUUACUAAAGUAUAAUCAAUUUAGAGCAAAUAAAUAUGUACAGACAUAAUAAUUCUUCAAAUGUGUACAAAGACUAUAAUAAUGCGUCACUUGGGUCGUGAACCCUCCGGACAUAAAGUUGACUAACGAUGUAUGCACCUAAAGGGUAUUGUUUUAGUUCUAUCCUAUGUUUACUAAGAGUUGGUAGACCCGGACUUGAAUAUUUUAUAUGAGAAGACACGUGGUUCCACGGCAGUAAAACUCUUGCUCACUCCAUGCAUGCGUCAACUCUCUAAAAUAAGGUGAUUUGAAUGAAUUUUGAAAAAGUACAAUGUACAAUUCGCGUGUACAAUGUGUGUGAGUGUCAGUAUACCGAAAUGGAGAAAAUAUGAACCGAAUGUCAAUUUAUAUAAAAUAAUAAACAAAUAAACAAUCUAUACAAAAUAAUAACAAAUAAACAAUUUAUGUCAUAUAAACAAGAUAAAUCAAGAUAAUUAGCAAAACAUAAAAAACAAUAUGGUUACCUAAGUCAGUAAUGGUUAGAACCUUGCUUCCCCAGCAGAGUCGCCAAACUAUCAUACCCUAUUUUUACCUAAGGUUAAAAUGAGCACGACAUUAUAGACUCUAAAAGAAUAAAUUAUGUACAGAAUCACCACCUAAUUUUUAAGGAAAAAUAGGAAACCUACUUAUUUAUUAACAAGUAUGAAUUGUGUUUUUAAUCUACGAAAUCAAUUUAGAUUCUGGAUAAGGAUUCAAAUUUUUCCAAAGAGAAGGGAUUAGACAGCCUUCAGAAUCCACAAAUGUGGUUCCCAGCCAGACUUAGAUUUAUUAAAAGACAAAAAAAAAAGAAAAAUCAAUGUUUGUAAAUACAAAUAUAAAAUAUGUAUUGAAAUAAUACAAUGCGUAUGUUGUCGUAUAUAUAAACAAAAGUAUAUACGUAUAUGUAUGUAAAGAAAAGACAAGAUUGAAUAAAGAAAAAUUGCUUUAAAGAAAAGACUACGUAAUAAUUUAGUGUAAAAAAUGUGAAUUAUUUAAUUCAAUAUCUAAAUUAAUUUUUAAUAGAAAUAUUAACAGCCUAAAAUUGCCUAACACAUGGUGAGGAUUGCGUAAAUAAAGAAUAUCCCGCCCAAUACACCAAAAAUAAAUAUUUCCCUAUAAUUAAUAGUUGUACAAGUAUAAAAGUAUAAAAAUACAAACAUAAAAAUUAAAGUCUUCUUUGAAUGUCAUUCCCGAUGAGUAUUCUUAAUAUCCUGUAUAAACACUUGUAAGUGAAAUGUUAGUAACGAAUAAAUAAUGUAUAUAUAUAUAUAUAUAUAAAUAUAUAUAUAUAUAUAUAUAAAAGAGGCUUAGAGAUUUGCUUAUGUGGCAUACUUCUAAGGCCACCAUUAGUAUUUAUCUUUUUUAUCAAUUUUUUGGCUUUUUUCUUUUAUAUUUCCUUCAAAAUAUUUGUUGAAAAUUUAAUCAAUCUAUCAUUAAGUCUAUAAUUAUCCACAUUAAUUUGUAUUAAAUUUAUUUUUAAAGCCAAAAAGAUUUUUCCUCUCCCCCACAUUUUAGACAACUCUUAAGUUCCUAAUCGUAGAUUGAAUUGUAUAUAUAAGAAGGAUUGGAGGAGUUGAGUGUGUAGGUUUGGAUUUCUUUCUCUUAAAUUGUUGGUUAUUCUUCUUCUUCUUAUGUGCUAUCAACAUUAAAUCCAUAACCAAAACCAAAAACAAAAAAUUAAAACCAGCUAACUAAUUACUAAUAGGAGCAUUAGUACGUCCAGGAGGAAAAUUCAAAAAAGUCUUUAAGUAGCAUUGAGACGAACUUCAACUUUUAGGUAUUUCCUUGAUGAUCAUAUUGAUGUGUAAGUAUCUUUGUUUGACUUUGAAACUUAUAGUAAUUUAGUUAUUUGUUUUUGCUAUUGAGCGUAUUUUGAUUUGAUAAUCUACAGGAAGUACGAGGAGAUUAAACCACCAGAAGCUGUAGACUUUAUUAAUGUUACGCAUGGUUAUAUCUACUGCGAAAAAGUUGCUUCUGAUGGAAAUUGAUACACCAAGCUCCCUAAAAUUUAAGCCGAGUAAUUCCACAGCAAAAACAUUUCUCAGAGGAUCUAAUGGGACUAUUCAAGAAGAUUAAGCAAUAAGAGGAGUUGAAAUAUUCACUACUAGAAAUUACCCCUAUUGCAACGAACUUUUUAGCAACGGUUCCAAAAGCAUUGCAAUAGAGGUUCUAUUGCAAUGGUUACAACUGUUGCAAAAAAAAAUUAUUCUGAUAGAACGAUUUUAUAGUAUAACCGUUACUAUUAUUGAAGAACCAUUGCAAUAAAGUGCCUUAUAGCAACGGUUGCAUGAAUUGUUGCCAUUAAGUCAUCUAUGGCAACACUUUAUUGGAAAAAAAAAUACUCUUGUAACAUUUUUUAUUUCCCUCCCCAAUAUUGCCAAAAAUCAAAGAAAUAUAAAAAUUGUGUCCCCAAUUUCACCGAUGUUUCCUUAAGCUCCGACGACCCAAUUUCACUGUGCUAUUAUUUCAUUGAGCUCUUCGACUGAUUAACUCUCAAAUUGAUCGCCUAAUUCGGUUCAUUCUUCUUCAUCUUUUCUACAUCAUCAACUUCACUCUUAUCCCUCUAGAAACUUCAAUUCUAUGAACGUGGAUGAAAUUCUCAAGAAUAUUUAUUCUAAUUCUAAUCCUUUUGCUUCUAACCCCACUGUUACCUUCACCGUCACCACUGUUGUUACUAUUAAUUCUAUUGUUGUGGUCGCCGGUGGUGGUGGUGGUGGGGAUGUGGUGCUUAGUAAGACUGUAGAUGAGGUAUGGAUGGAGAUUGUAGUAGGGGUGGGGGUGGGAGUAGGGAGACGUAGAUGACUUUGGAGCACAGUGCUCCGACUUCACUGUGCUCCGACCGCUGCUGCUCUGACUUCAAUUUCAGUUCCUUAUAUUUUUCUUCUACUAAUGCUACUAUAAUAUUUUAAUUUUCAGGCCUUAGAAAUACAAGGAAAGCAUUUUGAAGCUGUGGUGAAACUGUUUAAAAUUUGUGUCAUUCACUAGAUAUUUCCUCCUAAAGAGUUCUCAUUUUGUAUCUCUUCAUUUUAUACUUUGUUAAGUUCGUCUGAUUUAUGCUCUAUUUGUGUAUCUCAUGGUGUGUUCUAUUUUAAUUCUUUUGGAAACAUCUUAGCAUUGAGCCAUUGAUAUCUUUUAAAAAUAAAAGAAUCCAGGAAAAAUAACAGUUAUAACUUAUUCUUGAUCCCAAUUUUUGAUGGAGUAUAAUUUACUAUCUGAAGAAAAUGGCUAGCGAUCAUCCUAGAAUAUGGAAUAUUUACCAUUUGUAGUAAUUUUUCUAGUUGUUGCUAUUUUAAGGUGCUAUUGGACUUUGCACCAUAGUUUCAAACUAUUUCAUGCUAUUUAUUGUUUUAUUGGCUAUCUUACAGCCUGAGAUGGAGAUGGUGGCUCGUGGACUUGAGAAACACUUAAAACUAGACCAACGGGAGUUCCUAUACGUAUAAUAAGUUCAUAUUCAUUCUGAAUCGACUAAAGUGUAGAUUUUGAAUUUUUUCCUAUCAGGUGUUGCCUGAUGAGGGAAAUCUCCAGCUUGUUAACUUUACAUCCUCUGUUGCAGCUGAGAACUCUAGAAUCUAUUUGGCUUUUCAAUUGAAUACUGAAAUGCCCAGUAAUAGGCUCAUUUACUCCAUCGGACUGACGGGAAUGCUAUAUCCAUCGUAGAUUACCGGUUGACGAAACAGUAGUAUCAUACUUCCACUUCCUUGAAUUAAAGCAUAGGUUAGUGAAUUGAUUAAAUUUUAUAAAUUGAUUAGUGUGGGAUGGUAUUGCAGGUCUAUUACUAUGCUGGAUAGUUAAAGAUUGUGGAAAGAUGAUUAUGAUCCUUCCAUCCUAAUAGUGUUUAAGGUUCGAGUCAUUCUUGGUAUGAAAAUAAAGAUGUUUCUCUUGGAUCUUGGUUUAUUGGGCUUGAUGUUGAACAUAUUGAUGAACGAAGUUUGGGCUGUGGAACACGCCCAAGUAAGACGCUAACACUUAUUCACUCGAAUACUCUAUGUGAUGUGCUGGUUUUUGGUCUUUGGCUUCUGCUACUAGAGUUGAUGAUUGUUGACAUGUCUCAUUUCAAACUCAAACAAUUUCUUCAUUAUUUUCCAUAGCCAAGAAGUCCUUAGGUAUAUGUUAUUGCAUAAAAAUUCCAACAAAGAAUUCCCCUUAUAAGCAAAUACAAAAUAAACAAUGUGAGAGAAGUGCGAAUAUGUACCUUGCUAUGAGUUGCGCCUUUGAAAUUAAUAACAAGUGAAAAUAUUCACAUUAAGGAUCGGAAAAAGAAGAAGUCUUUAUAUCUCUAUAAUAGCUCUCUAAACUCAUGCGUAUCAGCAAGUCUUACUAUGUUCUCAUCUCUCUUUUUGAUCUUCUAUUUGGAGCUGAAAGUACCAAAAAAUGCUGCAAAGCUUCAAGAGUGAAUUUUCUUGGAGAAAUAUGGCUACCGCUAUGGUAAUGGUUAUUCCUGUCGUUACAAAUAGUUAACUUCUGUAAUGAGCUUAAUUGAUUGGUUAUUAUCUUUGUUAUACAUCUUGCGUUGCUCAUAAAACUACGCAUGCAUUUCUGGUGCCUCGAUCUAUUUCUAGCUGUUAAUGUAUUUGAUUUUGACUGCAUUUGCUAUGUCGCCUUCUGAUGUCAAAGCUUCAUGAUUCCAUCACUUAGAGUCUUAGACUUCCAUGCAAAUCCAUUUCCUGUGAAGUCGCAGCUUUGUAAUUUACGGGAAAACUAAAGUGAUUGGCAGAUGGAGAAUUACGACUGUAUUGCAAUAAGGUGAUUAUUCCCUUUCCCUUUUGCUUGUGCCUCACGAUUCUGCCACGGGGACCUGGGCCUGAAGAUUAUACUGAUGCAAUCUCUAUUAUUUAUGAAUUCCUAUCUUCCUGGAAUAAAGUUCAUUUUAUAACUCUCUUUUAUAGAAAGAUCAGCUGGACAAAUGCACAACAACAUAAAGCCUAAAAAUAUUAUUUAUGGUGGCCAACAAAUAGUGGGAAAUGAACUGUUAUUAAUACUAAUACCGUGCUUGUUGAAUUUUUUCCGUGGUAGUGCAAUUGACACCUAAAAGGAGAGUGGGAAUGACCAGGUUGAUUUCUCUUUCUCUGGAAAUCAGUAUUUUCUGCUAGUAACAAUGUUUACGUUGGGAAUGAAAUACAUCUCAUCUGGUAUUAUGUAUUUAAACUUUUGAUAGUAUUGGAGAUUUAUUUUGUUGGAUCAUUCCCCAUAAUUUGUUUGUUGGCAGUUGUACCUAUCAUAAAAUGUUAUGGAGUUCUCUUUAUAGUUUGUCAAUAAGUUUUCUUUGAAUUGAUAGUUCUCCAUUGCCGAAUUCAAUUGUGUGUUGGCUUAAAGAUAUCUCAAUUCAAUUUGCUUUUAUCUUGUUCUUGUUAUCAUACAUAAGUUUAGGUCCUGGCAAUUUUGAGCAGAAUUCGUGAAGAUACGAGAAAAAAGCUAUCAGCCAAAGGCUAUUACCCACAGGAGGGAUAUAUCCUGCAAUACUUACCAGUACCUCCUAACUGUUUGUAUGUGCCUGAUAUAUCUGAUGGGAAUAGUAUCAUGUCUUCGGUGAGACACUUAAAUUAAAUGUAUAUAUUAUUGGCAUUCUCUUGUCUGUGUCAAGUUGCAUGUUAUCAUCUCAUGUUGCUUUUUCAGGAUCACUCUAUAAUAAUGCUAAGAAAGGUGCUAAGACACAUAAUUUUAAGGCUCGUGAAGUGCAAGUUAAUGAUUUACAAGCAGCAGUUGUCCAGUAUCUCCAAUUUAGGGGGACAGGCAAGGUACUAAGACUGCUUUUCUUUUUAAAACUUGAAGUUGUACAACUACUAAACUUUUUCUAUCUGCUUAGAGUGGUUUGUGAUUUUAUUGUUUGAGACGUCCAAUAUUAUGACACGUCUUGGAAGUAGUUUGUAGCACUUACAAUUUCUAGCAAUUAGUCACUGCACCACUUUGUGCUUUUGUAUAGUCUCCUUGGCAAGACUAAUUUUGGGUUCUUGAGUUUUCGGUUUCUUUUUAAAUUCCAGAGUACAUGUUUAAGUGUUAGCACUUAUGAGUCUUGUCUAGUUUACAGUUUAAAACAAACAGAAUGUGCAGGAUGAGAGACAAGCCAUUUUCGGAGAAUCUUGCAAAACAUAUUGGAAAUUCAACUCCAUGGUCCUUCAAGUAUUCAGAAAACUAAUCCAAAAAAUGAAUAUAGCAUUUGUUAUGCUCCAUAUCUUUCAAUUGGUAAUCCUCUUUCCAUAAGAUAAACCCAUUGAUAUUCUGUGGAUGGCAUUGACUUGGUGAUGUCAAUAUAGGUGAAGAACUUGGUGGUAGAAGCUGAAGUAGCACUGAUUGUAUAUGUGAAAAUAACAACUGCAGUAGGGCCUUCCACAAUGUUUGCCUGAAAAAUAAUACGAGGCAUACGAAUAGCCAUUAUUGUUGGAACUGUUACAUUAUUUCUUGCCUGCCUGACUAAACUCAUAAAUUGCAGAUUGCGCCGCACGAGAAGUACCAGGAAAUUCUGUUAUGUUUGGAGUAUACGAAGCAUUAAAGCUAUAUUUUGCAGGAGGUAUGGAUACUUCUGGUGUUGUUGUUCAGUGGAGAAGGUUACAAGAAGGUCCUAGACUUUCUGCUUUUGGAUUUAGAUUAUUAGCUUGUUGUAAAGAUUUGUCUUGUGACGUGAUUAUAUAUGUAAAUACUAAUUUGUAUAGUUGCAUAAAAUUUUAAUUAGGAUUACUAUAUUAAUGAAAGAUUUUGUUGUGAUGUGUAUAUAUAUAUAUAUAAUUGUAUUACUAUAAUUCUCUCUCUCUCUCUAUAUAUAUAUAUAUAUAUUAAUUGUUGCAAUAUGUGUCAAAAAGCGUUGCAAUGGACCAAUAAGUGUUGCAGUAGAUAUCCGAAAAUUAUUGCAAUAGGGUUAUUGCAACGGUUUUCCAUCGUUGUAAUAUACUCUAUUGCAACGGUUCGGUACUGUUGCUAUACACUAUACAAAACGUUGCAAUAGGAGGUUAGAAAAAUCGUUGCAAUAGGUCCAUCUAUUGCAACAGUUUUCGUAACCGUUGUAACAACCGUUGCGAUAGACCUAUCCCAACACUCACAUAUGCAACGCCUGCCUAACCGUUGCGGUAGAUCUAUUGCAACGGUUUUUUGAUCUAUCGCAACGGAAUUUGAACCAUUGUCAUAGGGCUAAUUUCUAGUAGUGAUUUGGGCUACCUAUGUGAGUCAAAUCUACUGGAAUAUAGUUGUGUGAAACUCUUAUCUUUUAUACAUUUGUUGCUACUACUAUAUUUCUUUGGAGGUUUACACUUCAAUCAUUUGUACAUCCUUGAAGUCUCUAUGAAUUAUGAAGUAUCUUUUCAUUUUCCUCCUCAUUUUUAUACAAAAGUAUAACUAUGACAUGCCCAUUCUAAAAUGGUUAGAAAAGUUAACAAGAAAGAAAAUUAUUUUUGAAAUUUACAAAAAAAUUAGAAUGUUAAUUAAGAUAAUUUGCUUGAAUAGCUAAAAAUAGAAUUAAUGGGGGAGAAUAAAAGGAGGAACAAACAGAAAAGGCAAAUGAAAAAAUAGAGGGGAACACUACUUAGAAGUCAAAUUUUCUUUUCUUUAAUUUCGGAUCUCUUUUCAUUUUUUUUUCUUUUCUUUCAAUAAUGUAUAUGAAAAUUAUUAAUAACAAAAUUUUAAAUAACUUCCCAUUUUCUUUCCAUCUAAUAUUUUAUGUUAAUUAUUUAGUAAUUAGUAUAAGAUACAUAAAAUAAAAACCAAAACAAUUGUUUCGUAGUAUUACUUUUAAAUUUUAUUGUUUGAUUUGCUUUAGAACUAAGAUAUCUUAAAUUAAAUAGAUAAAAAUAGAAUACACUAAAAAAAAAAAAUGGAAGAAAACAAAAAAAAAAGCUUUCUUUGGGUGUCCUCUUUUCAUCCGCUUAUAAUUUUUAUUUGAGAGAGUGAAAAUAAUGUCAAUGUUAACAUAACUGUGCAUACUUCAUAUAAAAAAAUCAAAUACUAAAAAUAAUGCUUAGAGGAAGAAAACAAACGUAAUGACAGAUUAAGUUUGCAUUUCCAAUAUUCUUCAUUACUUUUUUUAUUUUAAAAAAUAAUAGUUUUUAAAACAUUUUCGUCUUUUGAAUUUAAAAUGCAUGUACAAUUUAAAGUGUUGUUUGAUAUUAAUUUCAAAUAUGUACUUUAUUAACUGAAUAGAAAUAGCGAACGUUUUAUUUAUAAAUCCUUUGAGACAGGUGAUGUGCAAGGUUAGCCUUUCCAAGGUCAUUCAAAUAUUUCUUUUAUUAGUGCUGUCGUUCUUUAUCUCAAUUAUUGUGGAUUGAGGGUAGCUUUAUUUACUUUUUAUUAAUUUUUUUUCUCUUUUUAAUUCUUAGAAUUAAGACUUUUCUGCAAACACAUAAAAAAAUAUUUUUUUUUAUCAUUAAAUUUUUAUUAGAAAAUUUAUUUUUUUAUUAAAAUAAUUACUACUAAAAAUUUGGUAGAAUGAUUAAUUUAUUAGUUUUUUAAUAUAAUUAUGACAUAAAUAUCCAAUCAGAUAUUGAUAUGUAUUUUUCAUAUCUGCGCAAAAAUGUGGCACAUUUUAUAGGGUAAGAAAAGCUAUAUUUAAAGAAAUGGAAAAAAAGAAAAAAGUUCUUCAUUUUUGGCUCAUCUCCACUCCACCAAUUUAUAUGGCCAAGCAUUAGCAUUUAUGUUUUUAUAAAAUUUUUAAUCUUUGUCUGAUUUUUAAUUACAAAUUAAUAAACUCUCAGGUAAAGAUUGACUUCAAUGCAAACAUAAAUAAUUUAUUGAUAUUAAGAAUAAUUAAUAUGAUUAAUUAAUUUUCUUAAUACUCUUCGUUUUCUCUCUGUGUAAGUUAUAUACUUCCUCCGUUUGAUUUAACUUGUCAUAUUUUAAUUUGGCACAUUAAUUAAGAAAAAAAUUAAUAACAUGACUAUUUUACUAUAAUACCGUACUCCCUCCAUCCCAAAUUAUCCGUCCCAGAUUUUCUAAUUCAAAUAUAUUAUAAUGUAGUCUUUUUAUUCUUAUUUUUAAUUCUUUACGUUUUUCAGAAAUAAUUUAUUUUAAUUCUUUGUAUUGUUGUACUUUAUUCAUUUAAACCAUAUUUAUAAUAUCUUGGCGGAUAUCUAAAUCUAAUUUUAUUAUAAUUAGGUAGUAUGUGUUUUAUUCUCCUAGAUUUUAAAUGGAUUAUUAAUUUUGAUUCAAUACUAGAUAUUAAUGUAAUUAAGUAGGCUAAUCUUUGUGGGUUUUCUUUUGUUUUAUUUACUUAUAUAUUCUGAAUAAUUACUAAUUAAAGAUUCUUUAAUUUUUCUAAAAGCUUCUCUAUUUUUAAAUGGUCUUCUCAUAAUUAAUUUAAUAAUUUAUAGGUAAAUUCUGACAUACAUCUCACUUCUGUAUUUUUUAAAUUACUGGGCUCUGAUACCAUUUGUAAGGGGGGUGCGGAGUCUUAUUCUUUUAAGCAACAUAAAAUGAUAGUAAUUGAGAUAUUUAUUUAAUUAAUAUGACUUUUUUGUUACUAUAAAUACUAGAGACAUGCUUUUUAUUGCAUAACUUUCUCUGUUUCUAUGAACUUUUUUUCUCAUAUUCUUCAUUAUUGUGAUUUUACUCUUUUUCAUUUGACAUUUUUUGUAAUUUGUUUCCAUAUCUUUUCAUGAAUAUUCGUCGGAUUCAGAUAUUCUUCUUUUUGAAUAUUUUGUAUCUAUUUUUCUUGACUUCUGUAUUGAAUUAAGAUUUUACUCCUUUUCAUUUGAUAUUUUUUGUAAAAAAAUUUCAUGUCUUUUCAUGAAUAUUCGUCGGAUUCAGAUAUUCUUCUUUUUGAAUAUUUUGUAUCUAUUUUUCUUGACUUCUGUAUUAAAUUAAAAAAAAUAAUAAUAAUGCAUUAUAAUGAUAGGAUAAACUAUUCAAGAAAACUGAUACUUGAAAUUUUUCAUAAGAUUGAUUAAUUAGAGAAGGAAGAGAAAUAGACUUGGUUAUUCAGAAAAAUUACGACUCUAACUUUUGUAAAUGCAUAAAUAUAAGAAGAAGCAAAAGAAGACUUUUAUUUUUUUUUUUCCUUUUGCUUUGUUAAUUUUUGAAAAUUUUGAAAACAAAGUUCUCAUAUUACUAUAAGAAUAAGAUGAAAAUAAUUGAAAUAUUAAGAAGUCAAUUACAAAUAUUUUUAACUUUAACCAUUUUAUUAGAUAAAAAAUAAUUUUUGAAAUAAUAGAAUUACGUUAAUAGCACUAUUUUUAAUAUCCAAAUAUUGAAAAAAGAAUUUCGUUGUUACUUUAACCGCGUGAAGCGCGGAAAUAUACACUAGUUAUCAAAAUAAAUUGAAAAAAUAUGUGUGCAUAUAUAUGUAAAAAAAUAUAAUUUUUCGUUAAAAGAGUGGACUCAGAUAAAGUUUUAAAAUAUUAUAAGGAUUUCGUCAUCGCCCAAAUUUAUUUAUUUUAUUAUGUAUUUAUUUAUGUAAUAUCCAUCUUUUCAUUUGUGGAGGACUCAGAAAUCGAUGAAAAAAUUCCUUCAUCGGCCAAUAAAACCAUAUAAGUAUAUUAAAUGCGGAAAGAAACAUAAUAAUAUAGCUAAGGGUGUACAGAUCAAACCGUCAAGUCAAACUGAACCGAUGAACCAAAUCAAACCGAGAAAAAAAUUGACAUAUGAUUUGAUUUGGGUGGUUUGGCGUUAGAAAAAAAUCGUUCAUUCUUGGUUUGGUGUUAACCAGAAAAAAGUCAAAUCGAACCCGAAUCAAACUGACAUAAUAUAUAUAUACACACACAUAUAUACACACACACACACACAUAUAUAUAUAUAAUUUUAAAUUUUUAUACAUAAAAUAUUAAUUAUAAUCUACUUUUUAAAUACUUUUUCAACUAGUUUUAGUAAUUUUUAACAUUUUGAAAGUAGAUGUAGAUAUAUAUUCAGAUUUUGGCCUUUAAGCUAUAAUAUUUGUCCAUUAAUUGCUAAUAAAAUGAUCCAAAGCCCAAUAUAAACUUAAAACCUAAACUUUUCACUCUUCAUCUUACUUUUUAGUUUCAAGAGAGUUUUUCGCUCCUCAAUUUUUCAUAAUUGAGUUUUUUCAUUAGCACGUGAAUGAAAACAUACUUGAUCUAGUGUUCAACCAAAAUAUAAUUGUAAAAAAAUAAAAAUUAUUAAAAAAUUUGAGAAAACCCAAAAAAAUUUGAAAAAAUCGAAAGAACCGACUGAAACCUAAACCAAAAAAAUCGAUUUUAUGUUGGUUUGAUUUGGUUUAUAGUUUUAAUAAACUGACAUAAUUGAUUUAUUUUUUAUUGAAUAAAAACCAAACCAACCCGACCUAUGUACACCCCUACUCACAGGAGUGAGAUGGCCUUAAACAAAAUAACACAUAACACAAGCUCAACUAAAAUAAUGUAAAAAUCAGUCCAAACAUCACAGUGAAGACAAUCAUUAGCAAAUAAAAAUAUCAACAAUAAUUACCAAAACAAUCAAACUAACAUUAAUAGCAAGUGAUGAUGAUACAAAUACUGACAUGAUAAUAAUUGAAAAUCCAUGAGAGAAACAUCACACCAAGAAAUAUUAGAACAAAAUCAAGUAAAAUAGGUAACAAAUUCAUAAGUCAAAAUGGAAAAUUAUAUAGAAGUUUAAGAGUUCAAACAUCCGACCAACUUGUGGUUGGCAUUGCAGAUCUGGCGCGAGGACUUUGUCGGAGCUUGGCUUGUUUCGUCCAGAUCUGGCCGGAGCAGUGACGGAGUUCACCGAAUGAUGUUGUUCACCGGUGAGGAAGGAGAGGAGAGAGAGAAAAGAAGAGGCGGCGUGGUUAUGGGUGUUGUGGUGUUUUCCAGCGAUGGUGGCAUGUGACAGCUGGAGAAGGUAAAGAGACUGUUAAGAUUUUUUAAAAACUAUGGAGAAGAUGAAAGCUUAAAUUGGAAAAUUUAGUAGUAGGGGUUUGUUUGUGUAUAACUUUUUAUAUGUUUGUUUUGUGUGUGUUUGUAUUUUUCUAUUAUAUAGAAGAGGUGGUUUCGACCACCUCUUACGUAAUUACCAAAACACCCCUCUACUCCCAUUUAAUUACAUAUUAUAUCCCAAUAUAUAAUAAUUUCAUUAUUUCAUUAUAAUGGUUUAAAUAUUUAAUAUAUUCUAUUAAUUUAUAUUAAUUAACUAUAACUACAUAUUGNNNNNNNNNNNNNNNNNNNNNNNNNNNNNNNNNNNNNNNNNNNNNNNNNNNNNNNNNNNNNNNNNNNNNNNNNNNNNNNNNNNNNNNNNNNNNNNNNNNNNNNNNNNNNNNNNNNNNNNNNNNNNNNNNNNNNNNNNNNNNNNNNNNNNNNNNNNNNNNNNNNNNNNNNNNNNNNNNNNNNNNNNNNNNNNNNNNNNNNNNNNNNNNNNNNNNNNNNNNNNNNNNNNNNNNNNNNNNNNNNNNNNNNNNNNNNNNNNNNNNNNNNNNNNNNNNNNNNNNNNNNNNNNNNNNNNNNNNNNNNNNNNNNNNNNNNNNNNNNNNNNNNNNNNNNNNNNNNNNNNNNNNNNNNNNNNNNNNNNNNNNNNNNNNNNNNNNNNNNNNNNNNNNNNNNNNNNNNNNNNNNNNNNNNNNNNNNNNNNNNNNNNNNNNNNNNNNNNNNNNNNNNNNNNNNNNNNNNNNNNNNNNNNNNNNNNNNNNNNNNNNNNNNNNNNNNNNNNNNNNNNNNNNNNNNNNNNNNNNNNNNNNNNNNNNNNNNNNNNNNNNNNNNNNNNNNNNNNAAAAUUAAUAAAUUUAAUUUAAUAAAAUAAAUUUCUAAUGGAUAUUUUCUUAGAAUUUGUGUUAGGUCAAUAUGUAUCAAGUUAAAAAGAAAUAAAGAAAAAUAUAUAGUAAUAUUUUAUUAUUGUGAAAGAUAAAUAUAAUGCACUAUCCAAUAAUAUUUAAUAAUAUCAUAUUUUGAAUAUGCAAAUAUAGCAUCCCAUAUUUAAUUAAUAUACUAUUUCGGUGAAUUAUCGAUGAUUACUAUUGGAUAUGAUAAAAUUAUAUUAAUUUUUAUAGUAAUAACAUAAUCGAUCGCUCUUAAUUAAUUAUUAUGAGACAUCUAGGUAUUAAGAAAAUAAAUAAUAUUUAAUAAAAAAUAAAAUAGACAUAAAAUGCGAAAUUAACUUUUAAUGUUUUAAAUUAAAUUUUCUUCUUUCGAAUGAUGAUUUUACUAUAUAACUCCUUAUUAUAAGUCAUUUAUAUAUUAGAAAAAUAAAAAUUAAAAAAUUAUAUGUCAACAUAAAAUAUUUGAUUGACUAUCAAAAAUAUAUUAGUGCGACAUAAAUUGGGACGGAACAGAAGAAGAUAUAAAACAACAUAUAUUAUUUGAAAAUGAAAUUAAAAGUACUAUAAAUAACAAUAAUUAACCAAAAAAAAUUAAAAAUUGACUGAUUUCUGCUUCAGCUGCUUUAAUCGUGAUUUUAAUGUAUAGUGAUGUUUAAAGAGGGUAAAAUGGCAUAAUGAGAUUUAAAGAGGAUAAAAUGUAUGUAGUAAAGUGUGAGAAGAAUAAAGCAUAAGUAAAUUUUAUUACUAUAUUUUAAAGAAAUUAAAGAAAAGAAGUAUAAAGAUUAUUUGCAAAAGAUUUUUACAAACUAANNNNNNNNNNNNNNNNNNNNNNNNNNNNNNNNNNNNNNNNNNNNNNNNNNNNNNNNNNNNNNNNNNNNNNNNNNNNNNNNNNNNNNNNNNNNNNNNNNNNNNNNNNNNNNNNNNNNNNNNNNNNNNNNNNNNNNNNNNNNNNNNNNNNNNNNNNNNNNNNNNNNNNNNNNNNNNNNNNNNNNNNNNNNNNNNNNNNNNNNNNNNNNNNNNNNNNNNNNNNNNNNNNNNNNNNNNNNNNNNNNNNNNNNNNNNNNNNNNNNNNNNNNNNNNNNNNNNNNNNNNNNNNNNNNNNNNNNNNNNNNNNNNNNNNNNNNNNNNNNNNNNNNNNNNNNNNNNNNNNNNNNNNNNNNNNNNNNNNNNNNNNNNNNNNNNNNNNNNNNNNNNNNNNNNNNNNNNNNNNNNNNNNNNNNNNNNNNNNNNNNNNNNNNNNNNNNNNNNNNNNNNNNNNNNNNNNNNNNNNNNNNNNNNNNNNNNNNNNNNNNNNNNNNNNNNNNCCCUCAGCUCAAUCAUACUAAUGAAAAUAUUCUACUGCUCAAACUUUCUACUCCAAAAUAAAUCCUAAAACUUAAAAAUUGCAAUUUACAUGUUCUAUUGUUGGGCCCGUGCUGACACGGGCCUUGCACUUCUAGUUUUAUAAAUAAAAAAAAGUUCCUUUUUUUUUACCAAAAAUUAAUAAACUAAACCCCUUUAUCCCCUUAAUGCACUAUUUAGACCACAAGUCACAGUUUAAUGGAUCUUUUCAUCUUUUUAAUCAAUAUAUAAAAAAUCCUUAUCCAAAAAAUAAAUUCCCAACCGUCACCUCAAGUGUCACCUUUAAAGUGACGAGAUCUUGACUUGAUUGAUUUGUUGCUCCAUGUAUUAAAAUAAUUGAGCCGGCCUUAUCGUUUGUAGACUAUAUUAAAUAAUGUACAAACAUAUGAAUGUCGAUGUAUAAUUACAGAAAAAUGCAAACAACAAAUAUAAUAUAAUUAUCUUUAAAAAAUAUAUUACGUUAUAAACAAUUAAAUUAUAAUAUGUAAAAAAGAAUUAUAGUGUUAUGUUAUAUACGUAUGUACAUGAUUGUGCAAACAGUAUUAAGAUGAUAGUAAACUAAUAAAAUCGUACAAUUUAUGAAACUAAAGAUAAUUUAAAAAUAUGACAAUAAAUUGAUGAAAAAUCCUAAAAAUAUGAUGAUUACCAAAAUUUAUGAACAAUUGUAAAAAAAUAUGUGAAAAUUAUAUUUUAUGUCCUUUAAUGAUCAGAAAGCCUGAAAGCGUUAAUUUUAGGCAUAGGGAGUCAAAAUUGGGUGUCAACAGUACCAAAUGGAUAUGUAUAAUGUCUUUCUGCAGGGAGACUUAGAGGAAGAAGUGUACAUGCAAUUACUUGAAGGCUUCCAGCAAAAAAGGCAUAAUAAGGUCUGUAGAUUGCUUAAAUCCUUGUAUGGGCUAAAACAAGCUUCUAGACAGUAAAAUAUCAAGCUGACUGCAGCUCUCAUAAGUGUAGGAUUCACUCAGAGUACCUAUGACUACUCAUUGUUUACAUGGAAGAAAACAAGAGAAAUGGUGAUAGUCCUAGUUAUGUAGAUGAUCUGCUAAUCACUGGAGAUAAUGAGAGUAUGAUCUUUGAAGCCAAAGAAGUAUUACACAAAUAAUUUAAGCUCAAAGACUUGGGAGAGCUCAAAUACUUUCUAGGAAGUGAAGUUAUGAGGUCCUCACAGGUAGCCAUUUUGAAUCAAAAAAAAUACCUGUUGGAAUUGAUCUUAGAAGUUGGUCUAGCUGGUGCAAAACCAACAUUUACACCAUUAGAAUCCAAUGCUAAGCUGACAUCAUAGAGUAUGAUGAAGUCACAGGGGGUACAAGUGAUAUUGUUUUGNNNNNNNNNNNNNNNNNNNNNNNNNNNNNNNNNNNNNNNNNNNNNNNNNNNNNNNNNNNNNNNNNNUUCAGACAUUGAGUCAAUUCAUGCAGGGGCCUAAGAGAUCCCAUAUAGAAGCAGCUUACAGGGUGAUCAUAUACUUAAAAGGUUCAGUGGUUCAUGGAAUCUGAUUGAAUAAUUAAACUAAUGACAAUUUAGUUUAUUAGUGUGACUCAGAUUGGGCUGCCUGUCCCAAAACUAAGAGAUCAAUGACUUGAUAUGUAGUGCAAUUUGGUGGUUCCUUAAUAUCUUGGAAUUCUGAGAAACAACAUAAAAUAUCUAGAAGCUCAGCUAAAGCUGAUUUUAGAAGCAUGACUUCAUCUAUAGCAGAGCUUACCUGGCUAGAAGGGUUGUUUGCAGAAUUAAAUGUUAUCAUUCAUAAACCUAUUACAGUGUUUAGUGAUAGUAAGUCUGCCAUACAGUUUGCACCAAAUCCAAUCUUCUAUGAGAGAACAAAGCAUAUAGAGAUCGAUUGUCAUUUUAUCAGAGACAAAAUCAAGAGUGGUUUAGUGCAGACUCUACAUGUUUCUUCACAGCAUUAGGUGGUUGACAUACUAACGAAAAGCCUAGGCCAUGACCAACAUUCUACACUCUUAAGCAAGCUUGGUGUGCCUAAUAUUCUUCACCCUUCAUCUUGAGGGGGGGGGGGGUGUUGAAAAGUCUGGAGUCACACUACAAGUGUGAUCAUUAUGUAUGCACUGUUAGAUUGGUUCAUUGUGUGCACAAAAGUUGGCUACUAGUGCACAUGACCUGACUAGUGCACGUGAGUUAGUUUGUUAGGUGGUUAAUGGGAUGUGUGAUGAGCUGGAAGGUUAAGUGUGUGGUUUAGUGAAAAGAUUCUAGAAUAGAAGUUCUAGAAGAUAUAUCUCUAUAUAUAGGUUCAAGUUGUAAUAACCAUGUGAUUUGACAGUUAAUAAAAUUUCCUCUUUCCUUCUUCUUAUCUGUUUAAUGCAACUUGGUAAACCAAGCUUUGUAUCAGUUGUUUGAUAAAAGUUCACAACCCUGACAAUACAACAAUACUAGUCUGAAUAAUAAUUUUGUCGUGGGUCAAAGGUUAUUCAUUUUCAUACAAAGACACCUUACUUCUCAGGGAUUAAAAAGCUCACUUUACAUUGUUGAUAAUUUAUGAGAGAUGAAUUGCAUUGUUGGCCUUGAUUUUGGAGUUUCAACCAAACAAGAGCUUGCUAUCUUGAUGAUAAAAUCCAAAACCUCUUUUACUUCAUCUUCAGGAUAUGGAAGGCGUUCAUCUAGCAAAUCACUAAACUGCACAUGAUCUAUAGUCGACGAAUUCGCUAGCACGGUAAUAUAUUCCCCGAGAUGCUUCCCUUUGAUUAUCUCCAAUGCUAAAACUCCAAAGCUAUAGACAUCACACAUUGGUGUAACCUUCAUUGUAUAAGCAAGUUCUGAAACAACAAAAUUUUCAAAAAAGUAUAUAACAAUUUAAACAUGCAAAUGGGAUUAAAGCAGUACAGAGUGUUAUGCUAUAGAUCAUGAUGUUCAAAAAAAGGAUAAAAAUUAAAGUCAGAUCUUACCAGGUGCAACAUAUCCAUAUGUGCCUGCAAGCGCAGUGCAGUUGGAUGAGUCUGGCUUGAGAAGCUUAGCAAUGCCAAAAUCUGAAACACGAGCUUCAUAUUCGGAAUCAAGCAAAACAUUACUGCUUGAUAUGUCUCGAUGAACAAUCGGUGGUGAGCAAUCCUGGUGCAUGUAAGAUAAAGCAAAAGCAACGCCUUUGAUAAUAUUCACCCUUUUAAGCCAAUCCAGUUUCUUGGACUCAACUUCAUUGCUUAAAACAAAAGACAAACUCCCCCUAUCCAUGUACUCAUAAACCAAGAACGAGUGCUGUACAUGCGAACAAUAGCCAUAGAGGUUCACAAUGUUCCGGUGCUUAAUCCCAGUCAAUGCCCUUACUUCAUUCAUGAAGCUUUUGGGAUGUGUAUUCUCAAAUGAAGAAUGAAGUCUCUUCACAGCUAUAGUCCCUAAUGAUGGAAGGUUAACCUUGUAAACGCUUCCAUGCCCUCCUUGCCCGAUGCAAAAUGUUGCAUCAAACUCCUCUGUGGCAUUUAAGAUGUCCCUGUACAAUGCCUUCCCAUCUAACAUGGAUAUAGAAAGCCAACCAUCAUCAUUCCGUCUUUCAACGUCUUUAGCUCUCCUUUUUUUAUCACACAUAAAUAGAACACCAAGGAAAACACAAAGUAGUACCAGUGCUCCCAUAACAGGAAGUAGAAUAAUGAGGAUGAGUUUACGUCGCUUCGCUAUUGAGUGCGAAGAUGGCUUUUCACAUGGCUGGAAUCCUAUUAGAUUUCCGCAAAGACCUUUAUUACCUUUUAAUGAAGCAUUAGUAAAAGCUUUAUUAUUAGGAAUUGGACCUUCUAACUCAUUAUAUGACAAUACGACAUCCUGCAAACUAGUCAAACUUUCAAAUUCUUCAGGAAUGCGGCCUGAGAGGCCAUUGUGGGAAAGAUUCAAGUUUGACAAGUCCAACAAACUGGCUAACUGAAUAGGUAUUUCUCCAUCAAGAAGAUUAUGGCUCAAAUCAAGUACACUCAGAUGAGUUAUCCUCCCUAUAUCUUUUGGAAUUUUCUGGCUAAACUUGUUGUUACUCAGGUUCAACUGAAACAAGUGCACGAAAUCUCCUACACACAUCGGGAUUGACCCAUUCAAUCUGUUGUUUGAUAGAUCGAGGGACUCUAACUUUGUCAGUGACCCAAGUUCCUCAGGUAUAUUGCCAAAAAUAUUGUUGUUUCGCAAAAUAAGAUCAACUAGAGAGGUUAGUUUUCCAAAUUCCUUUGGAAUCUGCCCAAUCAAAUGAUUUGAUGAAAGAAAAAGUCCUUGAAGCCCUUGGACUUUUCCAAUCUCUGGUGGUAUGCUACCACUAAUGUUAUUUCUGCCUAGGCGCAGAUCAAUCAAUUUUUUGCAUUUCCCCAAGUCACUAGGAAUGGGACCAGAAAGUUAGUUAGAUGAAAGGUACAAUAUCUUGAGCUCAGUUAAGUCACCAAGAGUAAUUGGAAUUGAACCACUUAGCUGAUUAGCGUAUAAUUCCAAAAUAGUGAGGUUUUUCAAAUUUCCUAACUCACUAGGAAUGGGACCAAAAAGUUGGUUAAACUGAAGGUACAAUCUCUUGAGCUUAGUUAAGUAACUUAGAGUAAUUGGAAUUGAACCACUAAACUGAUUACCAGAUAAGUCCAUACCAGUGAGGUUUUUCAAAUUCCCCAAUUCACUAGGAAUGGGACAAAAAAAUUGGUUAGACUGAAGGUACAAUCUCUUGAGCUCAGUUAAGUUACCUAGAGUAAUUGGAAUUGAACCACUAAGCUGAUUAUCAUAUAAUGUCAUAGUAGUGAGGUUUUUCAAAUUCCUUAACUCACUAGGAAUGGGACCAGCAAGAUGGUUAGAAUGAAGGUACAGACUCUUGAGUUUGGUUAAGUCUCCUACAACAGUUGGAAUUGAACCACUAAGAUGAUUAUCAGACAAUUCCAAAUCAGUGAGGUCUUUCAAAUUCCCCAACUCACUAGGAAUGGGACCAGAAAGUUGGUUAGAAUAAAGGUACAGACUUUUGAGCUCAGUUAAGUCACCUACUGCAAUUGGAAUUGAACCACUAAGCUGAUUAUCAGACAAUUCCAAAUCAGUGAGGUCUUUCAAAUUCCCCAACUCACUAGGAAUGGGACCAGAAAGUUGGUUAGAAUGAAGGUACAAACUCUUGAGUUUGGUUAAGUCUCCUACAACAGUUGGAAUUGAACCACUAAGAUGAUUAUGAGACAAUUCCAAAUCAGUGAGGUCUUUCAAAUUCCCCAACUCACUAGGAAUGGGACCAGAAAGUUGGUUAGAAUGAAGGUACAAACUCUUGAGUUUGGUUAAGUCUCCUACAACAGUUGGAAUUGAACCACUAAGAUGAUUAUCAGACAAUUCCAAAUCAGUGAGGUCUUUCAAAUUCCCCAACUCACUAGGAAUGGGACCAGAAAGUUGGUUAGAAUAAAGGUACAGACUUUUGAGCUCAGUUAAGUCACCUACUGCAAUUGGAAUUGAACCACUAAGCUGAUUAUCA